rnacentral:lncRNA from 1 species
UCUCUUUCUUCUCUCACUGCAUUUCCCUCAAGUGGACUACCCACUUCAUUGCAAUCACUUCAUAUUGUAAAAUGUGAGAAUUUAUCCUUCCUACCUCCUGAAACGUGGAGCAAUUACACAUCACUUGUGAGUCUUUAUUUAAUUCAUAGUUGUGAUGCACUUACAUCCUUUCCACUUGAUGGUUUCCCUGUCCUCCAAACACUUCAGAUAUGGAAUUGUAGGAGUCUGGUUUCCAUUUAUAUUUCAGAAAGGUCUUCACCUCGGUCGUCGAGCCUCGAAUCACUUCAUAUCGAAUCCCAUGAUUCAAUUGAAUUAUUUGAAGUCAAGCUUAAGAUGGACAUGCUCACAGCUCUUGAAAGGUUGAAUCUAAAAUGUGCAGAGUUGUCAUUUUGUGAAGGAGUUUGUCUACCUCCCAAAUUACAAUCAAUUACGAUUUCAUCCCAAAGAACAAAGCCAUCUGUAACGGAAUGGGGUCUCCAAUAUUUGACAGCACUUUCCAACUUGAGUAUUGAAAAGGGUGAUGAUAUAGUUAACACCUUGAUGAAGGAGUCAUUGCUACCCAUCUCCCUUGUGUAUCUAUAUAUCAGGGAUUUCGAUGAAAUGAAGUCCUUUGAUGGAAAUGGGCUUCGACACCUCUCCUCUCUCCAAACUCUCUGUUUUUGGAAUUGUCAUCAACUUGAGACAUUGCCAGAAAACUGCCUCCCUUCCUCGCUGAAAUCACUUAGAUUGUGGGAUUGUAAAAAGCUUGAGUCAUUACCAGAAGACAGCCUCACUGACUCUCUUAGGGAACUCUGCAUUUGGAAUUGCCCAUUGUUAGAAGAAAGGUAUAAAAGGAAGGAACAUUGGUCCAAAAUUGCUCACAUCCCUUUCAUAGAUAUAAAUCAUGAAGUCACAAUAUGAUAGACAAGUUGUGUUCCCAUUUCAGGUAUGUUCCACAGUUCCUACCAGAAAGCCAAUAAUCAAUCAUCUGUACGACACACCUCUUAAUAUUUUCAUAUCAUCUCAUGGGUCCUCUGCUACGUAUGUUUUUUUUUAAAAGAUGAAUUUUUAAAGACCAAUUUUUGUAUACAUUUUGCACACAAUAUUUUAUUUUUUAUUUUUAUUUUAUUUUAUUUCCAGAAUCAAUUAAUGUAGCUCGGGCAGUAUGAUAUAUAACUACAUAAGUCAUGCCGGAAAACUGGUUUCUUAUUUAUUUUUGGGCUUAUAAAACUAUCUUUGGAAAAAGCUGUAACUGCUACAUUAAUCAGCUCAUUUGGUCAAUUGAAGCUAAUCAAAGGAAAAUGCUUAUUUCAUCUUUUCAGGAGAUCAAAGGCCUAGCUAUGUGGAUGAUAAUCAGCUCAUUUCGUGAAUUGAAGCCAGAUGCAUAGUUGCCAUUCAUUGCCACAAGAUUUAAUUUACUCAGCUGCUAUAGUCAGAUCAUAUAGUUGAUCCUGGUUGAGACCUUAAGAUCCAUUUUCGUUUCAUUUCUCUUCGAGAAAGUGUAUAUAUAUAUUUCAUCUGAAAGAAUGAUCUGAAUGAAUAUUUGAUCUUCUAAGUAACUGGUUCUUUCACUGCUAAGAAAUCUGCAUCCUUCUUCAUCGACAAAACCUUUACAAGCUAAACAAACUUCCUUGCUGUAUAAGUCAUCUUUUUAAGUUUCACUGCUAAGGCCAAAACUUGUCUACUGAGAUGGUAAAGUUUCUUAAGAAUACAAAACAAAUUACCCUUUUGUUACCUUUGUCAUAAACAAUGCCUCCAAUUUUGUUCCCUUGUUCAUCAAUAAACUCCUAUCUACCAGUUACUAACUAGUCCCUUGCUGAUACUGUCUAACUACUUUUUUCUAAAUCACCAUCUUUUGAUUUUUGUACAUUCUUUACCAAACAAUUUCACUUCCUGGUUUAUUUAUUAUGUGCAAACUGUUAGCCAAUUUCAAUUUUAUUAAUUGAACUGUCACUCACAUAUAAAUAAGGAAUUACCAAUUGAAAAAAGAAAGUAAAUAUAUAUUGUCACGAUUCUUCUUGUAAACUUGCAGUAGAUAUUGCUGCAAUCUGUAUGAGCCGGUCAGACAGAAUAGAAUGCAGUAGGGUUUGUAAUACUAUUAACAUUCACCGUUUGAAAUCUUUUGUUCGACUUCUUUGUAUGUUGGUAAAUGGAAUAAGUUGAAGUAGAUCACUAAAAAUCCAUGUUGUUCUUGUUCUAAAUAUUGGCAACUUGCUUAAGUAACAUAAUAUAGAUUGAUGCUCUUGAUCCUAUUAUAUUGCAUAAAUAUUGGCAACUUGCUUUUCAACUAGGGGUGGCAAUAGGAUCCAUCAAAUCGAUAUCCAUCCAAUCCAUCCACCAAACAAAAACAAUAGUUAAUGGAUUGGAUUUAAUCCAUCCAUUUAAAAUUAUGGAUACAUCCAAUCCAUCCACCUUAUUUUAAAAAUCCAUUGGAUCACCUAAAUAUGAAUAAUAAUCCAUUGGAUAUAAAAUUAUUUUAAACAUGAUUUAAAUUAAUUUUGUUAAUAAAUAAAAAAAAAGUUAUGUUUUUAAUUAUGGGGGCCUAAAAAAAAAAAUUCUUAUUUGAAAAUUGCUUUUUUGACAAUGAAUACUUCCUAUUGACACAAGUAAAUGACUCUUUUACCCCAGCGGCAGUUAACUGUCGUUAAGCUAUGCGCCGGCGGUUAACAACCGCUGGCUUUUCAGCGGUAGUUAAUGUAACAACCAAAUAUUUUAUAUAAAUUUGUUCUUUGUAGUAAUUUUUCUUGCCUAUUAUUUAUUAAAUAACUUAUUUUAUGUGCAAUGAAUUAAGAAAAAUUAUAGUACCCUUCUUUUAAUUAAAUUCUUAUAAUCUAAAAUUUAUUUUUUAUUGAAAUGUAACCUAUAAGAUUUUAAAUUAACUAUUUAUAAUUAUAGUUUAUUCUAUCAUAUUCCAGUACAUUUUAUUUAUCUUAACUUCCUUAUAAUUGCCAGUAGGAUUUCUACAUUAGUUUACAUGGUGAAGCCUUAUAGUUAUACCCUUCAAUUCCUUGACAUGAGUUUGAUCGUUGUCACCUAAAAAUCCAAUUUUAAACCUCUCUCUUUGGUUGGUUUCAAUGACUCCGUCUAUGCACUUCCUUCCAACAUUAAACAAACUAGUAUAGUGACCCGUGCCAGCACGGGGAAAUAAAAAACUUUUUUGAUCAUAUGUAUAGAUUUUAUAUUAUGUUAUCUUAAAGUUAUAAUUGUGGUUAUAAUUUAAAUUCGAUAUUAAAAAAAUAUCAUCUUAAUUUUGUAUAUAUUUUGAAAUAUCCAAACAUUGCAUAUAACGAUAAAAGUAUUUGGAUUACUAUACUUGUACUAAUUAUUUGUAGUAUAAGAUGCACUCAUUGUUAAACAUAGCAUAUGUAAUAUUUUUGCAAAAAUAUGCUGACGUACUGUAUAAUAAUAUUUGUUGACAAAAUGUAUUUUAUUAAUCAUAAAAACUAAAAAAAAUGUAUUUUUUUUUAUAAAAUAGUCAGUGUCGCAUGCAUACACGUAGUCGGUAAAUGCAAACGUUUAAUUUUUUACGUGUGUAUAUAAAUAUAGUUUGGGCUACAGAAACGCCGAUUGUUAUUUGUUUUUAAUUUUUACAAAACAAAUGGUCUAAUGUAAAUAUUGUAUUUUAGGGUAACAACGAUGUAAAAAAAAGGUUUCGCGGAUUGUUAAACGUGAAAAGUGCAUGAAUUAAUAGUCAAUGGCAUGAGGAUCUGCUUAUAUAGAAAUUGCAUGUCUAUAAUGACCAGUACGCCUUACAAAGAAAUUAAAAAUAAAACGACUUCCAAAUAAUAGGAAACUUUAGUUUUCUAAAUUAUAGCAACAACAAUUCUAAAACAUAACCAAUGAUCAUACUUUUUGAAAAACUUCACGAUACACAACAUUUGUGGUCUCCUUACAAACAUUAUUAUCUUCAUCCAUGAUGAGCAGCUUUAGACCUUCUCUUGAAGUUACUUGAGAGACAGCGACAUAAAGUUGUCCAUGCGUGAACACAGGCUUAGGAAGAUAAACCCCCACUCGAGAUAAAGAUUGACCCUGACUUUUAUCUAUUGUCAUUGCAAAACAAAGCGUCAAUGGAAAUUGCCUGCGCCUGAAUUUGAAGGGUAGUCCUGGAUCACUCAGAAUAAGAUUCAUCCUGGGAAUGAAUACCCUGGUACUUGCCCUUUUUCCUGUAAUUACGGUAGCAGCUAUUGUGCUCUUCCCUAGAUGUGUAAUUGCCAGCCUCGUACCACUACACAGUCCAUUGGCCUGAUCAAUGUUUCUCAUCAGCAUAACUGGACAUCCCAACCUUAGUUUCAACCGGUGAUUUGGAAUUCCAGAGCUCUUAAUACCAUUAAGAAAUUCCUUUGUGAACCAUUCGCUUUGGGCAUCAGAAUUUUCACCCGAUCGACAAACAGAAUGAGAGCUUAAAUAAUAUUUCUCUUCACCUGGAAUCAGUGACAUCAUAUAUUCAUUAAUAUGCUCAAUUGAAUCAAGUGUUGGCGCGAGUAUUCCCCUUUCUUGGAAAAAUAGCGGGUCACUAAGGUUAUCAUUCAAAUUGGGAUACACAAAGACAUCAACAGAUUUGUUGUGUCUGAUAUAAGCAAAUCUUCGAAAAUUUAUACCUUCGUUUCACCAUUCUCAUCUAAAGCGUCGUUGCCGUCUUCAAUUGAGAGUAUCCACUUGCCAAAAUUAGCAAUUUCUUCUUGCUCUGCACGUACCGAAGAUGCACCUAAUCUCAUAUUAACAAUAAGCCUCAACACAUUACAAUAAGCCCAUAUCUUUGAUGAAUUGAUUGAGGCAUCAACAAUAUCCUGCCUCGUUCCUUUUCAGACAACAUGCAAUAUCUUCUUGAAAUCACCACAUAAAACUAUUGUCAUUCCACCAAAAGGUCUAAACUCGUUUAAGGGAUCAUUCCUAGACAUGAUAUCACGCAUUGAUCAGUCAACUUCCUCAAAAGACCAUUGGAGCCCCAUCCCAAAUUAUCAAUUUUACAGUACGCACCAGGUCUGCCCUAUGACUAUCCUUCUCCAGCGUAAGCGAUGAUGCCUCAUUAAUCUCAAUAGGGACUGUCAGCGUCGAGUGCGCGGUUCUUCCACUGGUAAUAGAAGAGCUGUUAUACCGCUGGAUGCAGCAUUUAAUACAAUUAACCUUUUUCAUCUAACAACAGCCGACAAUGUUUUCCAUGUAAUUAACCCCUUUAAAAAGUUAUGUGUAAUUAUUCAUUGAUCCAACCUAAUGAAACUUGAUUGCAUCGGGUAAUAGAUUAUAAUGAAGACUGACUCAUCCCGUGAACACCUGUAGGCGUGGAUGCUAAAAUAUGUUUGCUUAAUUUUUUUUUUUUAAAUAGGUAUCAUCCAUAUUUAAUUUUUUUUAUACCCAUGACGAUCAUAAACUUAUGUUUGCUUAAAUUUAAUUUUUUUUUUAUUGAAUGAUUUUUCUUACAAACGACGAAGGAGUUAAAUGGUUAUAUCUCCUAUGUUAGUGGUCAUUUACUAUUGAUUGAUCUUAUUUCCCUCAUCAAUGAAAGUCUCUUCAUUUCAUUAAAAAACAAUGACAUGUUAAAAGUGCUCAUCCCACUUUUACUUAAAAAAAGAUUAUUUUUAAGGACAAAAAACAGGUAUAUUUUUAUUUUAUUUUCCAGGAGAAGGAGAUGGUUUGCAUGGUAUAAUAUGAGUUAGACUACCCGUUGUACUCUCUUUUAUUAUGUAUUAUUUUUCUUAUUAAAACUCAAACAUUAAAUAUCCAAUUGUCAUUCUUUAUCUUUUGAUAAAAUAUCUUUUUUUAAUUCUGAUUUAAUGCACAUUACGAUUAUAGAAAUCAAUACUUUUUUAAUGAUUUCUAUAUUAAAAAAAAAUCUACAAUAAAAACAAUAAAAAUUCAAAUUCCUGUAAAUAAAAAAACUAUAAUAAUCAUUUAUAAGUAUAUUAGAAAUUUUCACAACUAAUUAGUUACCUUAUUUUUAACUUUCAGUUAAAAUUUAAGGUUGACCAUAAUUUUUUUCCGUUAAAUUUUAAAUUAGCAACCACAUAAUAUCAAAUAAGUUAUUUGUCCCAAAUUUUUUAUUCCAUACUUUGAUUGAUUCUCUUGAUUCCAAGAACUUGCUUGGUUUGAUUUUUUUUUCAUGAUGGUUCAAUGAUCUAUUGUUUACCAAGAAUAGUAGAAACAUGAAUUGAAGAACGGAAUGAGGGUCAAGAUUAAAUAGAAAUAAGAAAAAUGAGACAUACAUAUUCAUUAUUGAGUGAUUUAAAAUAUUCCUUGAAUUAACCAAGUUGCUUGGGCUCCAGUGGCAAGGAGCUCCUUCUAAGGACGUACCCGGGGAAUAUCGGGUUCGAUUCUCAGGGGAACAACGCUUGGCCAGUGCGCAUGCCUCUACGCACGAGCCGGAAUGGUCGUCCACCUUUGGUGGGUUGGAAACCGGUGCGGAAAAAAAAAAACUCUAAUUUGUUUUUUGUGAUUGCCUUGAUUGAAAUAUUUCAAAUUUUCUACAAUUUUUUUUACCUUUAAUUCAUGAAUUUUAUUUUUUUAGACCAGAUUACAGUUUAUAAGUGUGGUUAUAAUAAGCCAAAAUUAGUAUAGUGACCCGUGCCAAGCACGGGAAAUAAAAAACUUUUUUAUCAAAUGUAUAGAUUUUAUAUUAUGUUAUCUUACAAUUAUAAGUGUGGUUAUAAUUUAAAUUUCACAUGAAAAAAAAAUAUCAUCUUAAUUUUGUAUAUAUUUUGAAAUAUGUCUAAACAUUGCACAUAAGGAUUAAAGUAUUUGGAUUUAUACUUAUAAAAUAUAUCUGUAGUAUAAGAUGUACUUAUUGUUAAACUUAGCAUAUGUAAUAUUUUGGCAAAAAUACGGUGACGUAUUUGUUGACAUAAUGUAUUAUAUUAAUCAUAAAAAAUAAAAUAUUUUGUAUUUUUUUAUAUAAUAGUCGGUGUCAAAUGUAGACACUUAGUCGGUGAAUGCAAACGUUAAAUUUUUUACAUGUGUGUGUAAAUAUAGUUUGGGCUACAGAAACGCUGAUUGUUCUUUGUUUUUAUUUUUUACAAAACCAAUGGUCUAAUGUAAAUAUUUUUUUUAUUCUCAUGUUUGUUAUACCUGAAAAGUUCAUCAAUUAAAAGUCAAUUGUAGAAGGAUCUGUUUAUAUAAAAAUUGCAUGUCAUGUAAUGACCAGUAAGCCUUACACUGAAAUAAAAAAAAAAACGAUUUCCGAACACCCAAAUAAAUCAAAUGCCUAGCCUAUUAGAGUCUUGUAAGAGCGCAUAACCUUCGUUAAAUAAAUCAAGACUAAAUAACUUUUUCAUUUCCUUUAUAUAUAUAUAUAUAUAUAUAUAUAUAUAUAUAUAUAUAUUUCUUAAACAAUAAAUUUUCUCUCUUUAUCUUUAAUACACUAAACUUGAUCCAAACCUUGUCUAUCUUUCCCGUCCCUUAGCAAGAUUAUAUACAUAUUUUUCUCCCUACUUGAUGUCAAAAGAUUGGUAUAACCCAUCAAAAGCUUGUCUUCUUACUUUGUUCAAUGCCUUCUUCGUCUCAUCCUUAGAUCUCUUAUAACUUUCCCAUAUUUUCCCACAUUUACACCUAGACUACUCUUGAAAACAUUCCCUUUUGAUUCUCCCUUUUACAUUAAUCACUUUCAUUCCACCAUCAAACUCAUUUACCCAUAGAUCCAAAAACUUUUUAUUCUCUUAGUGUCUCUUUUGAUACUUUUCUAAUCUCAUGUGUCAUCUUGUCCUACAUGAUUUGGGCUUCCAUGUAGCUUCGCAAAACCUUGCUUUAAAAUCUUAUGUUUGAAGAGACUUUGUUUUUCACCUUUUAAGUGCCACCACUUGAUCCUUGGAGCCUAAUCAUGGCUUCUUCUUUCUCUCCUUUGAACCCUUACUUCCAUAACCAAUAAUAUAUGAUGGGUUGUCAAAUUCUCUCCAAGUAAGGCUUUACACUCCAAACAAAAUUUUCUGUUAGAAUUUCUAAUAAGAAAUAAACUCCCUACGUGCCCAUUUAUAGCCCCUCAUGGAAAAUUAUUUUCUCCUAGUAGUAUAUUGUGAAUUAAGUCUCCUAAAUCCUCCUAAAAACUUACUUUAAGGUGUUUUUCCAACUCUACCCGAGGUGCAUAAGCACUAUUAACAUUAAAGAGGUAUUGUUCCACUAUAAAUUUUAAGAAUAUGAUAUGAUAUUAUAUCAUUUUACAUCUAUAAUAUCCUUUCUCCAUUCCUUAUCCACUAUAAUGCCUACCACAUUUCUCGACAUAACUUAUAACACUAUGUAUUGUUCCACUUCAAAUUUUACGGUAUGAUCUCAUAUCUUUUUUACAUCCACAAUAUCCUUCUUUCAUUCAUUAUUCACAAUAACACCUACUUCAUUCCCCACAAUUAUUAGAUAGAAAAAUUAUUGGUUAGACCAUAAUUAUCUUCCAGUCGAAGUCCGGAUCAUUGGGAUUCCCUUCUCCAAAAAAUGAGAAGGCUAACAUCAAAAGAUCUAAGCGGUUAAUGUUGAUAAAAAAAAAAAACUAAUUGAUUCAUGUAUGUAUGUAUUUAUAUAUAUUUGUGUGGAUGAAUGUGUAAAUACUAUUGAAAUUCAGACUUACAACAUAGAGAUGUCCAACUUAAAAACUAUCAUAUUUAAAUAAAUUAAAUAAUUUUUUAUCUACAUACUCAUUUAAAAUCCAAAUGAUAAAUUAAAAUUUCAAAUGUUAGUAAUCCUAAUCCAUGAUAAUAAUUAUGAAUUGCAAAUAUUUAUUGUGAUUUUCUAAAAAAGUAAAAACUUAGUUUGCAUGUAUUUGCAAUUAAACCAUUAAGUAAUUUUUUUUAGAUUUAAUUACUGGAAAGGAGUCAGAAAAUAAGGAGUGUGAUGUUUUAGUAAAAAAUAAAAAAUAAAAUCAAAUUGUUUGGGCUCCACUGGCAAUGAGCUCCUUUCAAGGACGUAUCCGGGGAAUAUCGGGUUCGAUUCCCAAGAGAACAAUGCUUGGCCAAUGCUAAGCAUGACAACAAUACUCGUAUCCGUGGGUACCCGACCAUACCAACCCCAAUUUGACGGGUUUUCUCCACUUUGACUGGGUUUGGGUAUGGGUUUGGGUUUUCCCUGGUUUCAAAACAUGGGUAUGGGACGGGUAACGGGGUUAUAUGCACCCACCCCGAACCCAUACCCAUACCCAUCCCGAAUAUAAAAAAUUACUUUUUUUACUCCUUUUUAUAUAAAUACAAACACAAACCUAGAUCAUUUCACUCUGGUCCGAACGACAAAUGUCAUUGUCAGACGACACUUUUAUGGGUUUUCUCUCAAGCAGUCAUUGGGGGUUAGAAAAAAGAACUUUUUUUUUUAUUAAAAAAUGAUUCACAGCGGGUAUGGGGAUGGGAUACCCGAACGCGUCGGGGACGGGGACGGGAUUCAAUUUCUUAUCACCGUUGGAUAUGGGUAGGGUAACGGGUAAGUAUAUGGGAAUCGGGGAUGGGGAUGUGGAAGGUAAAACUCGUCCCCACCGAGCCGCAUUGCCAUGUCUAGCAAGUGCACAUGCCUCUACGCACGAGGCAGAUUAAUCGCUCACCAUUGGUGGGUCGGAAACCGGUGCGAAAGCAAAAAAAAUAUAUAUAAAAAAAAAGCAUGAUGUUAUUAUAAAAAGGAGUGCGAAGAUCAAAGUAGUCAAAGGAAUAUAAUGUAAUGUAACCGAAGUCUAAUAAGAAGUUGUGUAAAUAUGACACAAAUAUUAUAGUUGUCAAUGUGAUCUUUUAUUGAAUUAGUAUAAAUAUAAUGGAAUUUCGAGAAUUAUAUAUGCUCCAAAUGACAUUUAAUAAUAAAAGAGACUUGUUACCAUUUCAUCAAAGUGUUCUUGGGUAUGAUAUUAUAUAAUGUUUAAGAUUAUGUUGUAUAAAUAUUUUUUUUUUGGUACAAUAUGUUGUAUAAAAUUUAUUUGAUACUCAUACGAACUUCGCAAGUGAGUCAAAUAUUUCAGAAGAUCAAAAUCGAUUUAAAUGACAUUAAUACAUUAAAAUCAAAUAGUUCUAUCAGUUUAAAUGAAAUUUAAUUUUUAAAUGAUGUGAUUGUCGUUACCAUUUACGGUACGUAUUGAUAUCUGAAUUUAAGUUCGAGAUAUUUUAUAGGGUCUGAGUUUAAAUUUGAUAUUUAAAUUUAGAAUUGUUUCCUUUAUCAAGAACACAUUUGUUACAAUUUUCACUAUUUUUUUUUAAUGAGUUAUCAAUUUUGAUUAAUGAAUUUUUUUAUGUGAUUCCUAUAUUUAAUUUUUUUUGUUGAACUUAUAGAUAUAGUACAUUUGAUGUACGAUAAUUUAAUAAUAUUACGAAGAACAACAAAAUAAAUCUCUAACUUAUAGAUAUAGUACAUUUGAUGUACGAUAAUUUAAUAUUAUUACGAAGAACAACAAAAAACAUAUGAAUUUGAUUUAUAUAAUUUUUAUAUAGAGAUUUAAAAUUGUCUUAUUUUUGGGUGAUGUUUAUAUUUUUAAAAUUAUAUUUAUACCAAUAAGAUUCGAAAAAUAUAUUUUAAUAUAUUUAACGUUUUUAUAUAUGCUUAAAGUUAUGUUUGUAUAAUUUUUUUUUGGUAAUAUAUAUAAAUUUAUUUAAUAUAUACAAACUUCUCAAAUAAGUUGACUAUCUGAAGAAAAAAAAAUAUACUCCCUCCGUCCCUAAUUAUAAGAUCCUUUUGAAAAAAAAAUUGUCCCUUUUUAUAAGACCCUUUGUUAUUUCCAACUACAUUAAUUAUUUCUUUACAUACAUGCCCCUAUUUAUUAUACAUAUUUUUCUUCAAUCAGCAAUAAAUAGCAUAUGGAAAACAUAAACUAACUCUCUCUCUUCAGGAUAAAAUUGUAAAAACAAUAGUGAUUACAAACAGCUUUAAUGCAAAUAUCCACUUUCUUAAUUCCCGUAAUUUUAGCAAAAGGGUCUUAUAAUUAGGGACGGAUGUAGUAGUUUACAUAUCAUUAAUGCAUUAAAAUCAUGUGAUUCUCCUUCCUUUCUCCAAUAAAUGUUAUUUCAUACGUAUAUACAAACUUCUCAAAUAAUAUCUGAAAAAAAAUAGUUUACAUAUCAUUAAUGCAUUAAAAUCAUGUGAUUCUCUUUCCUUUCUCCAAUAAAUGUAUAAGAUAAUCUAGUAAUGGUUUUAAAUUAAUUUAAUCAAAAUAGUGUGAUUCACAUUACCUUUUAAAAUUAAUAAUGGUUUUGUGUGAAUGUUGAAUAAUUAAGUUUGUUAAUAUCUUAUCAAACUACUAUUUGUAUAGACCAAUUUUCGUUGUAUAUUCGAUUUAUGCAAAGAAAAGAGCAACAUCGUUGUGUUAGAAAGAAUGAAAACAAUAGGAAGAAAAAACCACAAAGAUAAAAUACAUCGAUCAUAGAAUAAAUAAAUUAAUAAUAACAGAUGUCCAACUCGAAUUUUUCAUUACACCCAUAACCAAAUUUAUAUAAUAUUCAAUAAAAUCUUAUCAAUAUUAGAAUCUAAAGAAAAAAAAUCAUGAUAAACAUAUGAGUUCUUACGGCCUGUUUUUGUUGAUGCACAUCAAAGUUGAAAGUACAACAUAAUCAUUAAUCUAUAGAAACACCACUAUUUUGGAAUGUGAAAUAUCAUUUACGAUACAAAUUAAAUUGUAUUUUUAAAACUAAUUACAUGAAUAGUUGUGCAAAAGAAUAAUCAUCACUUAAAAAUUAAUAAAAUUCAUUCUAAUCAAAGUGUUUAAUCCAAUUUCUUCAGAGUUCACACCGUAUGUUGAUUCUUUCAUCAGAUUCCUCAUUUGAGAUCCACUUCUGCAACAAUUAAAAUCAGGUGAAUAAAGAUCAAGAUGAACUGAAGGUAGGAAAAUAGAGAGAAGUUCGUUUAAUUGUUUUUCCAAUUGAAAAAAAUAUCUAAAAUCAAACAAUAUUUAAGAAUUAGAUCUAUGAAAAAAAUGGGAAUAAGAAGAAAAAAUUAAUAAAAUGAAAGAGUGAUAUCGAGUAGUUUUUCAAAAUUUUAUCAUGAAUCUCGAAAUUGUGUGAAAAUGUUAACUUAACAGCAUAAUUUAUAGCAAAAAGAUGUGAAAUUUGUGAGUUGUAAGACCAUCCACAAUGGUGAGUGCUUCAACUAUUUAACACCACAUUAAUAUAUGGGUGGCUAUGGAAGCACCAUCUCUUCAUUUUUCUUUAAUAAAUCUUAAUAAAAUAAAUAAAUGUUGUUAAAAUUUAAUGAUAUAAAAUUAUUUGUGGGACCUAUUGAAUAAUUUAUUGAGGUGCUGGGUUGGAGAAAAGUGGUGCUUAUUAAGUAUUACCGUAAAAUGAGUGAUGCGUCAAAAAAAUUAUUCCCUUAAUUUAUGGAUGUGGUAAUUGAAAAUAAAAUGAUACAAUAAUUUUAAAAAAAUAUAUAUGAUUAAAAUUAGGAAGAAAUUUAUAGUCAACAUGUAUGAAGGCUAACGACUCGAACCCUGAUAUUCCAGCUUUCUUUAGAAAGGGAUAUAUCAGAGAUCAAUGUUGACCAAUUAGUCUAAUUUAUCAUAUAUUUUUUAGGACAAUUACGUAAAACAAUCAAAUUCUACCUCAUGUCUUAGAUAUUAAACAAAAUAUAAUAGUAUUUUUCUUUUUAUUUUGGUAAAUGAUAGCAAUAGCUUUGUGGUCGAAAAAAAUAAAAAAAAAAUAAAAAACUGGUCUAAGGUUUUUUUUCGGCCAAUAUACCAUUCAAUCCCAAUAAUUCCAAAAACUUUUUUUUUUUUUGGUCAAAUAAAAAAGAGACACAUUAUAAGGAAGUAAUAUCUUCUCCAAUUAACCAUGAUAUUAUUUGAAAUAUCUUCUCCAAUUAACUAAUACUAAAAGCUAUUAAAAUUAUCUACCCAAAAAAAAAAAAAAGCUAUUAAAAUUCUUCCAAACUAACAAUGUACAGUAAACAUAUAGGUAUAAACAAAUAGUAACCUUCUUCAAAACAAAAAAAAAAAAUACUAAUUGAAAUUUAGCAUUAAAGUUUAAAUCAGUCGGUCAAAUUCGAGUGCCACGUGUAUUUAUAAAUUUGUGUUUAGUAAAUUUUUAUUUAUAAAAAAGAAUAUGAUUAAAAUAAAAAAAUUGCAUAAAUAAAAUUCACAUAAAUUUCAAUAGAAUAAAAAUUCACAAUUCAUGUCUCUCAAAUAAAAUUUGUAUCAAUUACAAAUACAAUUCAUAUCUCUAAACAAUCAUGACCGGUCUAAUUUUUUAAUUGUAUAUGAAACAAUGUAAAGAUUACACGUUAUACAACAGAAAAUCAGAAAAUAAACAUGUCUUAAAUCUUAAAUUAGCAUUUCCUGGUAUCUCUCACGAAUCAUAGGAAGACAAAUGAAACCAUGAUACUUCUAUUUUGCAACAAAGAAUAAACAACGAAAAAUAACUAAAAUGAAAAGGAAAAAAAGAAGUGAUGAGAGUGUGUGAUUUGCAAUAGUGUAGAUUCAGAUGUCUAAUUUAUAGACAUAUUUCACGGGUACUUUGGUAAUAUGAAAUAAACAUUUUUUUUUUGUGUUUUCCUUCAAUAUAAUAAUUUUUUUGUACCUAAUUUUUUGUAACACGUUUUAAAUAAAUUUGACCAAAAGCAUUUAUAGGUAAUUAUGAUUUUUUUAAAACGUUUUUAUAAAUAGAUCACAAACGCAUCCAAAUGAUUAAUGGUCCCCAAUAAAUCAAUAAAGUUUACUUUUAUUGACUAAUAAAACACAUGCACCAUUAUCCAGAAGUCCUAGCUCAAUUGGUAAAAUGCCGAAAUUGUUAUGCCGGAUGCCAUGACCGGGGUUCGAACUCUGGUACCUUCACUUGUGUGUGUGAGUUUAUAAUGGCUUUGCCAUUUCGCCUAUCUACCAAAAAAAAAAAAAAAACACAUGCACCAUUUUUUCUUUCGUUCCAUUUUUUUAAGAAAACUAAUAUAUAUAUUAUUGCCGAACAGAGAGGGAUCAAUUUAUUGCAAUUCAAAAAGUAUCACGUUCAAAUUUGUUGUUUCUCCACAAUCAGCCAUUUAAUUCCAAUAAAUUCCAAAAACUUUUAUUUUUUCGGUCAAAUAAAAAAACUCGGUCAAAUAAAAGCUGCACACCUGAUAGACGUUUGCAUGGUUUAUAAGAAUUUUUCCUAUCCCAAAAUGAACACUUUGAGGAAAUAAAAUCUUUUCCAAUCAACCAUGAUUGGAUUGCCAUAUUAUUGUUAAUCAGACGUUUAUGUUAGUAUUUGACGACUGAUACACUAUUAAUUCAAAUUAGCUCAAAUUCCCACUCCUUUUCCAAUGAGCCAAAAAAAAUUAGACUGCUGCUAGUCACACCAAAAAAAAAAACAAGUUACACCCUUAGAAUGACUAAUAUACCCUUAAAUUGAACAUAAGUAAACUUAAUUUACAUUAACCUAAAUUGAACAUAAGUAAACUUAAUUUACAUUAACCUAAAUUGAAAGUAAGUAAACUGAAUUUACAUUAACCUAGAUUGAACAUAAGUAAACUUGAUUUAACGUAAGUAAACUGAAUUUACACUAACCUCUUAUAUACAUACACGUAAGUAAACUGAAUUUACACUAACCUAGAUUGAACAUAAGUAAACUAAAUUUACAUUAACCUAAAUUGAACAUAAGUAAACUUAAUUUACAUUGAACAUAAGUAAACUUAAUUUACAUUAACUAGAUUGAACGUAAGUAAACUGAAUUUACAUUAAUCUAGAUUGAACAUAAGUAAACUUAAUUUACAUUAACCUAGAUUGUAAGUAAACUGAAUUUACAUUAACCUAGAUUGAACAUAAGUAAAUUUAAUUUACAUUAACCUAGAUUGAAGAUAAGUAAACUUAAUUUACACUAACCUAAAUUGAACAUAUCUCAUAUCAAAACAAACAAUAAACAAAUAGAAACUCAUCGAAAAUGAAAUUCAUAAAAUUCACUAACCUUUAUGAAUAUAGUACAGAUCAAUAACAAAGAUGUUGAUUCAGAUAUUGGUUGCACAUCUAUGGUGAUUUGUGGAUGAAAGAGGGUAAGGGUUCAUAAUGAUCAUAAAAGAUGAGUUUUUAAAAAUUUACAUGAAGAGGGCAAUUUUGGUAUUAUUGUAAAAUUUUAAAUAAAUUUGGGUGUAACUUGUUUUUUUUUAGGGUGUAACUAGCACCAGUCAAAAAAUUAUUAUAGUUGAAAUAUGAUAUUAUUUAAAGCAAUAUCGUUAAAAUUUUAUUCUUUAAUUUACUAAAAAAAAUAAAUCAUUCCUUGAUAUCAAUUACAAAAUAUAUGAUAAUAAAAUUAUCUCACAAUAUUAUUAGUCCACUAUCAUCAUAAAAAUAAGAAUAAACAUUUGUUCAUUUUAUUAAUUCAUAAAAAAAUAUUAUUUGAUUUGCAAAUAAAACAAUUUGAUAUGGUAUCAACCGGUCAAUGUUACAACAAUAUUUUUUUAUUAAAAAAUCAUUAUUAAUUUUUUUUUGAGAGAAUUUAUAUAUUGACUUACAUUAUAAUACAACUAAUUUUGUCAAAAAAAAAAUUAUAAUACAAAUAAUAUAAUAUAGUAAUCUAAUACUACCUCCGGUCCUAUUUACAAGAGACAAUUUACUUUUUAGAUACAUUGAAUAAUUUAUGUAUUUGGUUUAGGUUCUUGACUAGAUACAUACAUUAUUCAAUGUAUCUAAAAAGUCAAUUGUCUCUUGUAAAUAGGACCGGAGGGAGUAUAAUUUAUACACAUGGUUCCAAAUACUAAUUACAAAAGUUAACACGGAAAGUUAUAAUAAUGCAAAGUUAUAAUAAUUCCAAAAUUAAUGCAUAAGAAUAAAACAAUAUAAGAGUGCCACAUGUCGUGACUUCAUGAAAUUCUAAAACAUUGAAAUGUAGUGGCACAUGUCAAGAGCAAAAGAGUAGAGAAUUAUUUCCAUAAAAGUCUAUGAAAUGGGUCAUAAAUUUAUAUUAUAUAGAUAGAUUAUAUAGAUUUAAGUAGCUUUGAUCCUUUGACCAAGUUUGAAGAACAAUUAUUUGCCUGAAUUAAGAAUAUUAAUCCUUCCCCAUUUUAAAUCUAUUCCACGACGUAAUUUAUGUCAAAUAAAAGAGAUUGAUCAAUUUGUUUCCUCUUAUUGCCAAAAUUCAAUGAAAACCAUUUUUGUUGGCUUUCAUCCCACGGUUUCUCUCUUUCUCUCAUUACAAGUGUAUAAUCUUUUCCUAUCCUUAUGAUUUUGACCAAAUAGAAGCCAUUGAUUGUCUUCUUGAUUUAGAUAAAGUCAACCAUAAUACUAUAAUAUUCUUCAUUUUGAUUUCCUCAUAACUCCAAAUUAUUACCCUUAAUAUAUGUCUUACGUUUUCAAUUAUUCUACAACACCUUAUCAUAUAUUUAAAAUCCCUUGGUCAAUUCCAAGAGGGCAUGUGUAAGAAAUCAGAAAACGAAACCUCGCAUAGCUAGCCUUCUAAAUAUCCUUAGCUUUGGAAGCUUACGCCCAUCAUCAUUGCCAUCAACAUCAUCUCACCAAAAUUCUAAGUCUCGGUCCACUAUACUCUUUAGAAGGUCUUAGGAGCCUUAAAGACUUGCUUGUGCGUUCGGUUCGGAAUCAAUCCUAGUACGUCUUGUGUCGAAGGAGAAUCACUCAAAGGUAAGGGCGGUAUUCUGUAUAAUUAUAUAUUCAUAAUCUUAUAACUUAUAAGUUAAUCUGAACGUAGAACCCUUAUCCUAAUAAGAUGAGAAGACUUGAAUAUAAAUAAAAGAAUGGAAUAUAUAAUUUUUAUUGCAUUUCAUGUUUGAUGAAAAGGUCUCAUCUUUUGUGGCAUAGCAUGACGUUAUGAUUUGACUCUCUUGUGCUUUAGAGAAAAUGCUUUGAUAAAUGUGAUGAAUAUUUUGAAAGAGAGUUUGAAUAUCUUAGUUGAUGUUGUGAAAAUGGUGAUGAUUUCAAAGAGUGUGCAUCAUGCAUGGCAUGACAUGUAAUUGUGUCAUAGGGUGCCGUAAGGGCGAUUUACUCUGGUGCCGUAAGGGCGAUUUACUCUUGUGCCGAGAGGACAUUUAUUAUGUGCCGAAAGGGCAAUUUAUUCUUGUGCCAAUUGGGGCGAUAUCCGGAUCAUGGUCAAGUUGCAUCUCAUGCAUCAUUUGCAUAAAAAUCGUAUUUUGAUUUCUGUUAUUUGUAUUGAGCUUUUGACUCUUAUCUGGUGAGUGUCUUACUGUUCUUUUUAUCUUGUGCCUUUAUGUCUAUAUAAUUGUAUUUUUGUGGUUUAAGAAUACUGAUCCCUUACAACCAAUAUUUUAGGUAUUGAUGAGUUUGAAGAUUUGAAGAAAGUAUGAUGUUAAGUUUGCACGCGCGCGGGAAAUAAAUUUGGGUUUUUCAUAAAUUGUAAUUUAAAAUAUUUUUGAGGUUCAUUUUAGUUUCUUGUAAUAAUCCAAUUUAAUGAAUAAUUUCUAUUAUUUUACUUUAAUAGUUAGCUUCUAAAUAUCCUUUCUAUUAAUUAUCUUUUAUUUUCAAAAGCAAAUAUACUCAUAUUUUCUAAAGAAUAAAUAAUAUUUAGGUAAUGUCUUGGAUUAAAAUCCGGGGCAUUACAGUUAACUUCCGUUGUGUUCGUGAUAUAUGAACAGAACAGUAUAGGAGUUUCUAAAACUCCAUUGUUAUUGUUAUGUUUUUUGCUUCCAUAGGUGCGAAUUUCACAAAGCAUAAGCCAUUCUAAGCCAAUUUCAAGCACAAAAUCAAGUAAGGUUUUUGAAUCAUAUUGCAUUGCUAUUUUGUGAUUGAUUUGUUAGUUUUUUUUUGUUAAAUUGCGAUUAUAGAGGUUUAUUGAUUUUAUGAUGUUCUGAUAGUUUAGGUUGUUUGAAUUGUUAGGUUUAGGUUAGAAUUGUUUAGAUUGUUAGAAUUGUAGAAUUGUUAUGAAAUUAUGGUAGAAUUUUUAGGAUUAGAUGAAUUGUUGUAUAAUCGUUGCGAUUAGUUUAGGUUUGUUAUGAAAUUUUGUUGUUAUGAAUUUGUGAUAGAAUUGUUACGAUUAGUUACAGUAUAAUUUUUAGGAUGAGUUUAGGUUUUGAUGAAUUAUUGUAGAAUUGGUACGACAUGAUGUAGGUUUUGAUCGUCGAUUUGUUUAUGUAGAUAUGUCUCAGAAUCAAGGAAACGUUGAGUUGAACAAGAAGAAGAAGGGUGACGACAAGAAGAAAGAAAAAUCACUGAUGACAUGGCACAGAAUCACAUGUGAUGGAUCCGUCAAAAAGAAGGAUUCGAAGGUGCUGGUGUAUAAUCAUUCGAGGUUGAGGAGGAGCGGGAGGACAUGCUAUAUUGUCCUUAGCCAAAAGCAGGUGCCCCAUGGAUUGUCGAGGACAACCCAAUUGACUUGUGUGAUGCGGAAGAUGAUUGAAUGUAAUGUGUUGUAAUAUCUAAUUGUUUUGGAUCUUUUUUUAUGUUUUUUUAUGGUAAAUUUUGCUUGACAUAUUGGUACUUUGAAUAAAUUCGCGUUUUGAAUAAUUUCAAUUAAAAUCGCAUUUGGAAUAAUUUCAAUUAAAGUCGUGUUUCGAAUAAUUGCGUAUUCGAAUAAAAACUAAUUAAAUCUAACGUGAAUUCAAUUAAUUAAAAUUGCGUAAUGAAUAAAUAAAAUCAAAAAGUAAAUAAAUAAAAUAAUUAUUGUUCCAUUCAAAACAAAAUGUAUUAUGCACAUUCAACUAUACAUGUUAUCACAUUACAUUGUAUUACAUUACAUUCCAGAAUGUACCUUCCAACUGCAACAAUUAUCUUACCCUUGAAUGAGGCAAAUUCAAACUUGUUAAACAGCAGGACUCCAACAUCCGAUCAACAUCUUGAAUUAUGGUAUUCAGGUGUCAAAAGAACGAGAUGCAUUCCUUGACACUUCAAUACCAGUAUUCAAGAUGCUUAUUGAAUGCUGGAUUCCUGCCGUUUAACAAGUUUGAAUUACCCAAUUCAAAGGAAGACAAUUGUUGCAGUUGGACGUUUGUACCUUCCAACUACAACAAUUUUGUUACCUUUCAAUAGGAUAAAUUCAAACUUGCCAAGCAGCAGGACUCCAAUGUUCGACCGACAUUCCCAUAAUUCCAUUCAAAAGAUUAAAUUCUUGUUAGAUUUGGUUUAAAUGACGGUAUUCAAGUGUCAAAAGAAUGAGGUCCAUUCAUUGACACUUCAAUGAAUGGACAAUUGUUGUAGCUGGAAGGUGCAUUCAUUCAGUACCUAAUGACGAUCUUCUGGCGGAAUCAAACUUUUGAUGAUAUUUCAGUUGAUCUCAGCAACGUCACCCGCAUAUCGAUCCACUGGAACAUGUGCUCCCAAAACAUGCUCAUCACGUUUUCGUCGUUCGUUAAUUCCACCCAAUUGAAUGAUACUCUCCCCUCGUCGAGCGUUGGACAUUUAUACCGAAUGUAUUCCACCCUCCUUGUGUCUCUCAAGUUUACUCCUUGGUUGAAUUCAGCCAGUUCAUCCUUGAGACCUCUUAACGUUACACCAAUGCACUAAACCUUCAACCUCUGAGGUUCUCCGCCGUUGAAUUGUGCAUGAACGUCGAUCCACCCGGCCAUUGUUUCAAAUCUACACAAUUAGAAAUUAAAAAUAAUCAAUGAAAAACUCAUUCAAACACUUGUAGUGAAAAGUUGACAUAAACCAUAAAAAUCCUAAACAAACCCUAAAAAAUUUAUAAAAAUUUGAAAAAAUAUAUAAAUUUAAGCAUUAUAACAGGUAUUCAUAAUAUAUGUUAAUAACAUUUCAGAUCUACAACAUAAUUAUAUUAAAAACAAAUAUUCAAACCCUAAAAAAUUUAUAAAAUUCGAAAAAAAAUAUAAAUUCAAGCAAUAUAACUUCAUUAUAACAUGUAUUCAUAAUAUAUGUUAAUAACAUUUCAGAUCUACAAUAUAAUUAUAUUAAAAACAAAAAUUCAAAAUUUAAUAAUUAAACAACAAAUAAAAUUAUAAACAUAUAAACACAUAUACUAACUAAAAUGUAUGACAAUAGCAUAAGUGAUAACUUACUUGCGAUUUCGUAGAAGAAAUUUUGGAUGAUUUGGUAGAGUUUUUUUAGAGAGAGUGAGUGAAAAUUUGAGAGAAAUAUGGUGAAGGUGAUGAUGGAGUGAGUGAGUGUCUGGGUUAUGGCUACUGACUUGAAUAUAUCACGAACACAAUGACAGUUAACUGCUGCUGGAAAUCCAGCGGUUCUUAACUGUCGGUGCACAGCCUAACGGCAGUUAACUGCUGUUAGGGGUAAAAACGUCAUUUACUUGUGUUAAUAGGAAGUAUUCUAUGUCAGAAAAGCAAUUUUCUUCUUAUUUUUUCCUCAAAUGUUGGUCCAUAAGAUUCAGCUCACUCAAUUAAAAAAAAUCGGCCCAUUAAAAAAAAAAUCAACAUAAUGUCAGCAUCUAUGGCCACCGGAGCUCCGCCGGACAGCCACCAUCCAUCGCCAUGACUUUGCCGGAGCUCCGUUGUGGAUCGCCGGAAAAUCUAGAUUUCCGGCCAUAUCGCCGCCGCCCACGACCGUACCAGUCGCCGGAGAACUUGUCGGUCAACGUUGGUGUCCGGUGGUCAACGCCGGUACACCACCACCUUUAAUUUAUUUAUUUUAGUAAUAGAUGGAUUGGAGGGACAUAAAACUUAAUGGAUGGAUUAGAUAUUUUUUUUUUCAAAAAAGAAUUGGUGGAUUUUAAUGGACUAAUGGAUUUUUUUGAUCCAUCCAUUAGGAUCCAAAUCCAUAUCCAUCCAUUUUGCCACCCCUAUUUUCAACUAGUCUUGUUGCAACUAUUAAUUCUAAGAGUCACAACAAUGCAGUUUUUUGUUUGAGACUUCUUCUCUGUUAUGCCAAAAUAAAAGUUUUGUUUACCAAAGUAAGACAGGACUAAUAAUUUGAAAAAUGAAAUUAUUGUAAAAUUUUGAUAUUAUUGUAAAAUUUCAAGUAAAUUUAGGUCUAACCAGCAAUACAUGGGGUGUAACUAGAAAAAUUCAUAAUAUAAUGAUCUAUAUUGACUUAGGUCUAACCAGCAAUAUAUGGAUUAGGAUUUUAAAAGAUAAUUUGUAUGAAAAAUCUAGUGGAUUUUAAAAGACUAUGUAAGAUUUUAAAAGAUUCUCAAGAUUUGUAAUUUGGAUUUCAAAGGAUUUAUAUUCAAAGAUUUUAUAAGAUUUUAAAAGACUAUGAGAUUUCAAAAGACUAUGAGAUUUCAAAGGAUUUAUAUCAACAAGCCAAUUGUGUUUUCUUCUAGAUGCUUAUGAGAUGUUUUUUUUCUUUCCAACACUGUGUAUUACAUCAUGAUAUUCAUUUCUAAAUUAUAAAAGACUUUGAAGCCGUCUUACAUAUUAAAAAUGGUUUUAGACACAGAGUCAUCUUAAAAGAAAAUUAGUUUGAAACAGAACUAAUAAAUUGAACAAAUAGCUAAAAUUUUACGAGAAUGAAAAUUAAUACGUCCAACAUUGAAGCAGUCUUGCAUUUUUUUUCCUUUCCAUAAUAACAAUAAUUUGGUUGAAAAGGUACAGUGAUUUAAAAAUGACCGUCCUUUCAAAACAAAACAAAAAAAAAUGCAAGACUGCUUCAAAGUUUAUAAGCCUCACAAUCCACCAACAUUAUUUCGGUGAAGGUAGCUCAAACUAUAUUGACUGAAAGUUUUCUACACCCAAAAUAAUGUUCACCUGGAAUAAUGUUCUAUGCAUCUUGAAACUAAUGGGAAAAUGAAUCUCGUUGAAUACCACAAGAUUUAUUUAUAUUUUAUAAAAGUCUUGAUUGAAUACUGUUGAGUUUGUCUUCAAAUUUGUGGUUUGGAAGAACAGGGAAAUCGUGACACGAUUUUGGUAUCGUGACGCGAUUUCGGAUGCCGUGAGUUAGGGUUGCAGGGGUGCAAAUCGUGACACGAUUUUGGGAAAAUCGUGACACGAUCAAGAAACUUGCUCGUUAAGUAUCCUUGAUAAGGACUGGUCGUUCCUUGGGACGGACGCAAAUCGUGACACGAUUGGGCAAAUCGUGACACGAUUGGAACAGAGGAAGACUAGUACUUAAGUGUUCUUGUGCAGAUUUGAAGAGAGGGUUGAAAGAGAGAGACUUGGGAAAUCAAAGGGGAAGCUCUAGAGUUUAGGGUUCUUUGAUUAGAGUACCUCUUGGGUUGAAAACAUGGGAAACACCUUGUAGAGAGAAUCAUUGAGUGUCUUGGUGAGAUUGGGAAAGGGGUAGAAAUUAGGGUUUGUUCAUAGUGAACAUUGUCAAGCUAAUUUCUUGUAACCUCUUGUAUUCCUUUUGUAAAGAACUCAUUUGAUAGUGGAUUGGAGAGUACAAACUCUCCUCCAGAGUAGGUCAAGUUUGGACCGAACUGGGUGACCAAUCUCUUUGUGUUUAUUGUUUUCUUCUUCCCUCUCCUUGUUUAUCUUGUGUUUAGUUGCUUUGUUUCACACUUGUUUCCUAGAUUGGAUCUAGGUGGUGUUUGUUGUUUCUUGCUUGCUCAAUAAGCUUGGUUUGGUGGUUACCACUCUCCGUCGCUCCACACAUCAUUAUUCUUUGUAUUGGUGUGGUUCGAUCCGGACCUUGGAGGUUCGGGGAUUCACAACAAUUGGCGCCCACCGUGGGGCAAUGGUAGUGAUUUGGUUUAGUGUGUACCAUGGGUUCAAAGUGGGAUAUUGAGAAGUUCACCGGGCUCAACGAUUUUGGGUUGUGGAAGGUGAAGAUGCAAGCGGUGUUGAUUCAACAAAAGUGUGAGAAAGCUUUGAAGGGUGAAGGCGGUUUGCCGGACACCAUGUCACAAGAGGAGAAGACCGAGAUGGUGGACAAGGCGAGGAGCGCCAUUGUCCUGUGCCUCGGGGACAAAGUUUUGAGGGAUGUCGCGAAGGAACCAACUGCGGCAUCGAUAUGGUCUAAGUUGGAAUCGUUGUAUAUGACCAAGUCGUUGGCUCAUAGGCAAUUCCUUAAGCAACAACUCUACUCAUUCAAGAUGGUGGAGUCAAAGACCGUGAUGGAGCAAUUGGCGGAGUUCAACAAGAUCCUCGACGAUUUGGAGAACAUUGAGGUGCAACUUGAGGACGAAGACAAGGCUAUACUCUUGUUGUGCGCACUACCGAGGUCAUUUGAAUCCUUUAAGGAUACCAUGCUCUAUGGCAAAGAAGGCACUGUCACCUUGGAAGAAGUUCAAGCGGCUUUAAGAACCAAGGAGUUGACCAAGUCUAAGGACUUGAGAGCGGAUGAAAACAGUGAAGGCCUUAGUGUGUCAAAAGGAAAUGGUGGAGGUAGAGGCAGCCGGGGAAGCUCAAAGAGCGGAAACAAGGAUAAGUAUAAGUGCUUUAAGUGUCACAAGUUGGGGCACUUCAAGAGGGAUUGUCCGGAGGAAGAUGAUAGCUCCGCGCAAGUUGUGUCUGAGGAGUAUGGAGAUGCGGGUGCUUUGAUGGUGAGUUGUUGGGAGGAAGGUGAAGGUGAGGGUUCUCACCUUGGAGUUGAUUCCUUGUAGAUGGUAUGGUUCGUCUGGAGAGACGUUAAACACUCAACGUCAGCCUGGAGAGGCGGUGGUGAGAAUACUCGUGGUUAGUCUGGAGAGGCGGUGGUAACAAUACUCGUGAUCAACCUUUGAGGUGGAGUGGCAAGGCGGAAGCAUAGUGGAAGUACUCAUUUGGAAGUUGAGGUAGAGAAAGCUCAACUUGAGGUGGAGUUGGUGACUCCGGAAAUGGUACGGCUAUGGAGGCUUUGGGAGUUUAUGCUCUAGUGGUGAGCAUGUGGAUUCUUCAUGAGGACGGAUGGUAUUCCGGGGUUUGAAGAAUGUAUGGGGUGGCUUGUGUGAUUGCCUAAAAGGCCAAGGGUGAUCGGAUGCAAGGUGAUCUUCGAGGAGGCGGGAGACGUUCCGUGGUUGAAGAUGGUUUGGUGAAAAAUGAAGACUUGUGGAGCAACUUGGUGUAGAGUUGGAUGCAAGGGAAAAGGAAGAUUGGUGGUUGAUGGUUAAAGUGGCAUCAUCACCAAAUUAGAAGUCAAGGUGGAGAAAUGUUGAGUUUGUCUUCAAAUUUGUGGUUUGGAAGAACAGGGAAAUCGUGACACGAUUUUGGUAUCGUGACGCGAUUUCGGAUGCCGUGAGUUAGGGUUGCAGGGGUGCAAAUCGUGACACGAUUUUGGGAAAAUCGUGACACGAUCAAGAAACUUGCUCGUUAAGUAUCCUUGAUAAGGACUGGUCGUUCCUUGGGACGUACGCAAAUCGUGACACGAUUGGGCAAAUCGUGACACGAUUGGAACAGAGGAAGACUAGUACUUAAGUGUUCUUGUGCAGAUUUGAAGAGAGGGUUGAAAGAGAGAGACUUGGGAAAUCAAAGGGGAAGCUCUAGAGUUUAGGGUUCUUUGAUUAGAGUACCUCUUGGGUUGAAAACAUGGGAAACACCUUGUAGAGAGAAUCAUUGAGUGUCUUGGUGAGAUUGGGAAAGGGGUAGAAAUUAGGGUUUGUUCAUAGUGAACAUUGUCAAGCUAAUUUCUUGUAACCUCUUGUAUUCCUUUUGUAAAGAACUCAUUUGAUAGUGGAUUGGAGAGUACAAACUCUCCUCCAGAGUAGGUCAAGUUUGGACCGAACUGGGUGACCAAUCUCUUUGUGUUUAUUGUUUUCUUCUUCCCUCUCCUUGUUUAUCUUGUGUUUAGUUGCUUUGUUUCACACUUGUUUCCUAGAUUGGAUCUAGGUGGUGUUUGUUGUUUCUUGCUUGCUCAAUAAGCUUGGUUUGGUGGUUACCACUCUCCGUCGCUCCACACAUCAUUAUUCUUUGUAUUGGUGUGGUUCGAUCCGGACCUUGGAGGUUCGGGGAUUCACAACAAUUGGCGCCCACCGUGGGGCAAUGGUAGUGAUUUGGUUUAGUGUGUACCAUGGGUUCAAAGUGGGAUAUUGAGAAGUUCACCGGGCUCAACGAUUUUGGGUUGUGGAAGGUGAAGAUGCAAGCGGUGUUGAUUCAACAAAAGUGUGAGAAAGCUUUGAAGGGUGAAGGCGGUUUGCCGGACACCAUGUCACAAGAGGAGAAGACCGAGAUGGUGGACAAGGCGAGGAGUGCCAUUGUCCUGUGCCUCGGGGACAAAGUUUUGAGGGAUGUCGCGAAGGAACCAACUGCGGCAUCGAUAUGGUCUAAGUUGGAAUCGUUGUAUAUGACCAAGUCGUUGGCUCAUAGGCAAUUCCUUAAGCAACAACUCUACUCAUUCAAGAUGGUGGAUUUAAAGACCGUGAUGGAGCAAUUGGCGGAGUUCAACAAGAUCCUCGACGAUUUGGAGAACAUUGAGGUGCAACUUGAGGACGAAGACAAGGCUAUACUCUUGUUGUGCGCACUACCGAGGUCAUUUGAAUCCUUUAAGGAUACCAUGCUCUAUGGCAAAGAAGGCACUGUCACCUUGGAAGAAGUUCAAGCGGCUUUAAGAACCAAGGAGUUGACCAAGUCUAAGGACUUGAGAGCGGAUGAAAACAGUGAAGGCCUUAGUGUGUCAAAAGGAAAUGGUGGAGGUAGAGGCAGCCGGGGAAGCUCAAAGAGCGGAAACAAGGAUAAGUAUAAGUGCUUUAAGUGUCACAAGUUGGGGCACUUCAAGAGGGAUUGUCCGGAGGAAGAUGAUAGCUCCGCGCAAGUUGUGUCCGAGGAGUAUGGAGAUGCGGGUGCUUUGAUGGUGAGUUGUUGGGAGGAAGGUGAAGGUGAGGGUUCUCACCUUGGAGUUGAUUCCUUGUAGAUGGUAUGGUUCGUCUGGAGAGACGUUAAACACUCAACGUCAGCCUGGAGAGGCGGUGGUGAGAAUACUCGUGGUUAGUCUGGAGAGGCGGUGGUAACAAUACUCGUGAUCAACCUUUGAGGUGGAGUGGCAAGGCGGAAGCAUAGUGGAAGUACUCAUUUGGAAGUUGAGGUAGAGAAAGCUCAACUUGAGGUGGAGUUGGUGACUCCGGAAAUGGUACGGCUAUGGAGGCUUUGGGAGUUUAUGCUCUAGUGGUGAGCAUGUGGAUUCUUCAUGAGGACGGAUGGUAUUCCGGGGUUUGAAGAAUGUAUGGGGUGGCUUGUGUGAUUGCCUAAAAGGCCAAGGGUGAUCGGAUGCAAGGUGAUCUUCGAGGAGGCGGGAGACGUUCCGUGGUUGAAGAUGGUUUGGUGAAAAAUGAAGACUUGUGGAGCAACUUGGUGUAGAGUUGGAUGCAAGGGAAAAGGAAGAUUGGUGGUUGAUGGUUAAAGUGGCAUCAUCACCAAAUUAGAAGUCAAGGUGGAGAAAUGUUGAGUUUGUCUUCAAAUUUGUGGUUUGGAAGAACAGGGAAAUCGUGACACGAUUUUGGUAUCGUGACGCGAUUUCGGAUGCCGUGAGUUAGGGUUGCAGGGGUGCAAAUCGUGACACGAUUUUGGGAAAAUCGUGACACGAUCAAGAAACUUGCUCGUUAAGUAUCCUUGAUAAGGACUGGUCGUUCCUUGGGACGUACGCAAAUCGUGACACGAUUGGGCAAAUCGUGACACGAUUGGAACAGAGGAAGACUAGUACUUAAGUGUUCUUGUGCAGAUUUGAAGAGAGGGUUGAAAGAGAGAGACUUGGGAAAUCAAAGGGGAAGCUCUAGAGUUUAGGGUUCUUUGAUUAGAGUACCUCUUGGGUUGAAAACAUGGGAAACACCUUGUAGAGAGAAUCAUUGAGUGUCUUGGUGAGAUUGGGAAAGGGGUAGAAAUUAGGGUUUGUUCAUAGUGAACAUUGUCAAGCUAAUUUCUUGUAACCUCUUGUAUUCCUUUUGUAAAGAACUCAUUUGAUAGUGGAUUGGAGAGUACAAACUCUCCUCCAGAGUAGGUCAAGUUUGGACCGAACUGGGUGACCAAUCUCUUUGUGUUUAUUGUUUUCUUCUUCCCUCUCCUUGUUUAUCUUGUGUUUAGUUGCUUUGUUUCACACUUGUUUCCUAGAUUGGAUCUAGGUGGUGUUUGUUGUUUCUUGCUUGCUCAAUAAGCUUGGUUUGGUGGUUACCACUCUCCGUCGCUCCACACAUCAUUAUUCUUUGUAUUGGUGUGGUUCGAUCCGGACCUUGGAGGUUCGGGGAUUCACAACAAUUGGCGCCCACCGUGGGGCAAUGGUAGUGAUUUGGUUUAGUGUGUACCAUGGGUUCAAAGUGGGAUAUUGAGAAGUUCACCGGGCUCAACGAUUUUGGGUUGUGGAAGGUGAAGAUGCAAGCGGUGUUGAUUCAACAAAAGUGUGAGAAAGCUUUGAAGGGUGAAGGCGGUUUGCCGGACACCAUGUCACAAGAGGAGAAGACCGAGAUGGUGGACAAGGCGAGGAGCGCCAUUGUCCUGUGCCUCGGGGACAAAGUUUUGAGGGAUGUCGCGAAGGAACCAACUGCGGCAUCGAUAUGGUCUAAGUUGGAAUCGUUGUAUAUGACCAAGUCGUUGGCUCAUAGGCAAUUCCUUAAGCAACAACUCUACUCAUUCAAGAUGGUGGAGUCAAAGACCGUGAUGGAGCAAUUGGCGGAGUUCAACAAGAUCCUCGACGAUUUGGAGAACAUUGAGGUGCAACUUGAGGACGAAGACAAGGCUAUACUCUUGUUGUGCGCACUACCGAGGUCAUUUGAAUCCUUUAAGGAUACCAUGCUCUAUGGCAAAGAAGGCACUGUCACCUUGGAAGAAGUUCAAGCGGCUUUAAGAACCAAGGAGUUGACCAAGUCUAAGGACUUGAGAGCGGAUGAAAACAGUGAAGGCCUUAGUGUGUCAAAAGGAAAUGGUGGAGGUAGAGGCAGCCGGGGAAGCUCAAAGAGCGGAAACAAGGAUAAGUAUAAGUGCUUUAAGUGUCACAAGUUGGGGCACUUCAAGAGGGAUUGUCCGGAGGAAGAUGAUAGCUCCGCGCAAGUUGUGUCUGAGGAGUAUGGAGAUGCGGGUGCUUUGAUGGUGAGUUGUUGGGAGGAAGGUGAAGGUGAGGGUUCUCACCUUGGAGUUGAUUCCUUGUAGAUGGUAUGGUUCGUCUGGAGAGACGUUAAACACUCAACGUCAGCCUGGAGAGGCGGUGGUGAGAAUACUCGUGGUUAGUCUGGAGAGGCGGUGGUAACAAUACUCGUGAUCAACCUUUGAGGUGGAGUGGCAAGGCGGAAGCAUAGUGGAAGUACUCAUUUGGAAGUUGAGGUAGAGAAAGCUCAACUUGAGGUGGAGUUGGUGACUCCGGAAAUGGUACGGCUAUGGAGGCUUUGGGAGUUUAUGCUCUAGUGGUGAGCAUGUGGAUUCUUCAUGAGGACGGAUGGUAUUCCGGGGUUUGAAGAAUGUAUGGGGUGGCUUGUGUGAUUGCCUAAAAGGCCAAGGGUGAUCGGAUGCAAGGUGAUCUUCGAGGAGGCGGGAGACGUUCCGUGGUUGAAGAUGGUUUGGUGAAAAAUGAAGACUUGUGGAGCAACUUGGUGUAGAGUUGGAUGCAAGGGAAAAGGAAGAUUGGUGGUUGAUGGUUAAAGUGGCAUCAUCACCAAAUUAGAAGUCAAGGUGGAGAAAUGUUGAGUUUGUCUUCAAAUUUGUGGUUUGGAAGAACAGGGAAAUCGUGACACGAUUUUGGUAUCGUGACGCGAUUUCGGAUGCCGUGAGUUAGGGUUGCAGGGGUGCAAAUCGUGACACGAUUUUGGGAAAAUCGUGACACGAUCAAGAAACUUGCUCGUUAAGUAUCCUUGAUAAGGACUGGUCGUUCCUUGGGACGUACGCAAAUCGUGACACGAUUGGGCAAAUCGUGACACGAUUGGAACAGAGGAAGACUAGUACUUAAGUGUUCUUGUGCAGAUUUGAAGAGAGGGUUGAAAGAGAGAGACUUGGGAAAUCAAAGGGGAAGCUCUAGAGUUUAGGGUUCUUUGAUUAGAGUACCUCUUGGGUUGAAAACAUGGGAAACACCUUGUAGAGAGAAUCAUUGAGUGUCUUGGUGAGAUUGGGAAAGGGGUAGAAAUUAGGGUUUGUUCAUAGUGAACAUUGUCAAGCUAAUUUCUUGUAACCUCUUGUAUUCCUUUUGUAAAGAACUCAUUUGAUAGUGGAUUGGAGAGUACAAACUCUCCUCCAGAGUAGGUCAAGUUUGGACCGAACUGGGUGACCAAUCUCUUUGUGUUUAUUGUUUUCUUCUUCCCUCUCCUUGUUUAUCUUGUGUUUAGUUGCUUUGUUUCACACUUGUUUCCUAGAUUGGAUCUAGGUGGUGUUUGUUGUUUCUUGCUUGCUCAAUAAGCUUGGUUUGGUGGUUACCACUCUCCGUCGCUCCACACAUCAUUAUUCUUUGUAUUGGUGUGGUUCGAUCCGGACCUUGGAGGUUCGGGGAUUCACAACAAUUGGCGCCCACCGUGGGGCAAUGGUAGUGAUUUGGUUUAGUGUGUACCAUGGGUUCAAAGUGGGAUAUUGAGAAGUUCACCGGGCUCAACGAUUUUGGGUUGUGGAAGGUGAAGAUGCAAGCGGUGUUGAUUCAACAAAAGUGUGAGAAAGCUUUGAAGGGUGAAGGCGGUUUGCCGGACACCAUGUCACAAGAGGAGAAGACCGAGAUGGUGGACAAGGCGAGGAGCGCCAUUGUCCUGUGCCUCGGGGACAAAGUUUUGAGGGAUGUCGCGAAGGAACCAACUGCGGCAUCGAUAUGGUCUAAGUUGGAAUCGUUGUAUAUGACCAAGUCGUUGGCUCAUAGGCAAUUCCUUAAGCAACAACUCUACUCAUUCAAGAUGGUGGAGUCAAAGACCGUGAUGGAGCAAUUGGCGGAGUUCAACAAGAUCCUCGACGAUUUGGAGAACAUUGAGGUGCAACUUGAGGACGAAGACAAGGCUAUACUCUUGUUGUGCGCACUACCGAGGUCAUUUGAAUCCUUUAAGGAUACCAUGCUCUAUGGCAAAGAAGGCACUGUCACCUUGGAAGAAGUUCAAGCGGCUUUAAGAACCAAGGAGUUGACCAAGUCUAAGGACUUGAGAGCGGAUGAAAACAGUGAAGGCCUUAGUGUGUCAAAAGGAAAUGGUGGAGGUAGAGGCAGCCGGGGAAGCUCAAAGAGCGGAAACAAGGAUAAGUAUAAGUGCUUUAAGUGUCACAAGUUGGGGCACUUCAAGAGGGAUUGUCCGGAGGAAGAUGAUAGCUCCGCGCAAGUUGUGUCUGAGGAGUAUGGAGAUGCGGGUGCUUUGAUGGUGAGUUGUUGGGAGGAAGGUGAAGGUGAGGGUUCUCACCUUGGAGUUGAUUCCUUGUAGAUGGUAUGGUUCGUCUGGAGAGACGUUAAACACUCAACGUCAGCCUGGAGAGGCGGUGGUGAGAAUACUCGUGGUUAGUCUGGAGAGGCGGUGGUAACAAUACUCGUGAUCAACCUUUGAGGUGGAGUGGCAAGGCGGAAGCAUAGUGGAAGUACUCAUUUGGAAGUUGAGGUAGAGAAAGCUCAACUUGAGGUGGAGUUGGUGACUCCGGAAAUGGUACGGCUAUGGAGGCUUUGGGAGUUUAUGCUCUAGUGGUGAGCAUGUGGAUUCUUCAUGAGGACGGAUGGUAUUCCGGGGUUUGAAGAAUGUAUGGGGUGGCUUGUGUGAUUGCCUAAAAGGCCAAGGGUGAUCGGAUGCAAGGUGAUCUUCGAGGAGGCGGGAGACGUUCCGUGGUUGAAGAUGGUUUGGUGAAAAAUGAAGACUUGUGGAGCAACUUGGUGUAGAGUUGGAUGCAAGGGAAAAGGAAGAUUGGUGGUUGAUGGUUAAAGUGGCAUCAUCACCAAAUUAGAAGUCAAGGUGGAGAAAUGUUGAGUUUGUCUUCAAAUUUGUGGUUUGGAAGAACAGGGAAAUCGUGACACGAUUUUGGUAUCGUGACGCGAUUUCGGAUGCCGUGAGUUAGGGUUGCAGGGGUGCAAAUCGUGACACGAUUUUGGGAAAAUCGUGACACGAUCAAGAAACUUGCUCGUUAAGUAUCCUUGAUAAGGACUGGUCGUUCCUUGGGACGUACGCAAAUCGUGACACGAUUGGGCAAAUCGUGACACGAUUGGAACAGAGGAAGACUAGUACUUAAGUGUUCUUGUGCAGAUUUGAAGAGAGGGUUGAAAGAGAGAGACUUGGGAAAUCAAAGGGGAAGCUCUAGAGUUUAGGGUUCUUUGAUUAGAGUACCUCUUGGGUUGAAAACAUGGGAAACACCUUGUAGAGAGAAUCAUUGAGUGUCUUGGUGAGAUUGGGAAAGGGGUAGAAAUUAGGGUUUGUUCAUAGUGAACAUUGUCAAGCUAAUUUCUUGUAACCUCUUGUAUUCCUUUUGUAAAGAACUCAUUUGAUAGUGGAUUGGAGAGUACAAACUCUCCUCCAGAGUAGGUCAAGUUUGGACCGAACUGGGUGACCAAUCUCUUUGUGUUUAUUGUUUUCUUCUUCCCUCUCCUUGUUUAUCUUGUGUUUAGUUGCUUUGUUUCACACUUGUUUCCUAGAUUGGAUCUAGGUGGUGUUUGUUGUUUCUUGCUUGCUCAAUAAGCUUGGUUUGGUGGUUACCACUCUCCGUCGCUCCACACAUCAUUAUUCUUUGUAUUGGUGUGGUUCGAUCCGGACCUUGGAGGUUCGGGGAUUCACAACAAUUGGCGCCCACCGUGGGGCAAUGGUAGUGAUUUGGUUUAGUGUGUACCAUGGGUUCAAAGUGGGAUAUUGAGAAGUUCACCGGGCUCAACGAUUUUGGGUUGUGGAAGGUGAAGAUGCAAGCGGUGUUGAUUCAACAAAAGUGUGAGAAAGCUUUGAAGGGUGAAGGCGGUUUGCCGGACACCAUGUCACAAGAGGAGAAGACCGAGAUGGUGGACAAGGCGAGGAGCGCCAUUGUCCUGUGCCUCGGGGACAAAGUUUUGAGGGAUGUCGCGAAGGAACCAACUGCGGCAUCGAUAUGGUCUAAGUUGGAAUCGUUGUAUAUGACCAAGUCGUUGGCUCAUAGGCAAUUCCUUAAGCAACAACUCUACUCAUUCAAGAUGGUGGAGUCAAAGACCGUGAUGGAGCAAUUGGCGGAGUUCAACAAGAUCCUCGACGAUUUGGAGAACAUUGAGGUGCAACUUGAGGACGAAGACAAGGCUAUACUCUUGUUGUGCGCACUACCGAGGUCAUUUGAAUCCUUUAAGGAUACCAUGCUCUAUGGCAAAGAAGGCACUGUCACCUUGGAAGAAGUUCAAGCGGCUUUAAGAACCAAGGAGUUGACCAAGUCUAAGGACUUGAGAGCGGAUGAAAACAGUGAAGGCCUUAGUGUGUCAAAAGGAAAUGGUGGAGGUAGAGGCAGCCGGGGAAGCUCAAAGAGCGGAAACAAGGAUAAGUAUAAGUGCUUUAAGUGUCACAAGUUGGGGCACUUCAAGAGGGAUUGUCCGGAGGAAGAUGAUAGCUCCGCGCAAGUUGUGUCUGAGGAGUAUGGAGAUGCGGGUGCUUUGAUGGUGAGUUGUUGGGAGGAAGGUGAAGGUGAGGGUUCUCACCUUGGAGUUGAUUCCUUGUAGAUGGUAUGGUUCGUCUGGAGAGACGUUAAACACUCAACGUCAGCCUGGAGAGGCGGUGGUGAGAAUACUCGUGGUUAGUCUGGAGAGGCGGUGGUAACAAUACUCGUGAUCAACCUUUGAGGUGGAGUGGCAAGGCGGAAGCAUAGUGGAAGUACUCAUUUGGAAGUUGAGGUAGAGAAAGCUCAACUUGAGGUGGAGUUGGUGACUCCGGAAAUGGUACGGCUAUGGAGGCUUUGGGAGUUUAUGCUCUAGUGGUGAGCAUGUGGAUUCUUCAUGAGGACGGAUGGUAUUCCGGGGUUUGAAGAAUGUAUGGGGUGGCUUGUGUGAUUGCCUAAAAGGCCAAGGGUGAUCGGAUGCAAGGUGAUCUUCGAGGAGGCGGGAGACGUUCCGUGGUUGAAGAUGGUUUGGUGAAAAAUGAAGACUUGUGGAGCAACUUGGUGUAGAGUUGGAUGCAAGGGAAAAGGAAGAUUGGUGGUUGAUGGUUAAAGUGGCAUCAUCACCAAAUUAGAAGUCAAGGUGGAGAAAUGUUGAGUUUGUCUUCAAAUUUGUGGUUUGGAAGAACAGGGAAAUCGUGACACGAUUUUGGUAUCGUGACGCGAUUUCGGAUGCCGUGAGUUAGGGUUGCAGGGGUGCAAAUCGUGACACGAUUUUGGGAAAAUCGUGACACGAUCAAGAAACUUGCUCGUUAAGUAUCCUUGAUAAGGACUGGUCGUUCCUUGGGACGGACGCAAAUCGUGACACGAUUGGGCAAAUCGUGACACGAUUGGAACAGAGGAAGACUAGUACUUAAGUGUUCUUGUGCAGAUUUGAAGAGAGGGUUGAAAGAGAGAGACUUGGGAAAUCAAAGGGGAAGCUCUAGAGUUUAGGGUUCUUUGAUUAGAGUACCUCUUGGGUUGAAAACAUGGGAAACACCUUGUAGAGAGAAUCAUUGAGUGUCUUGGUGAGAUUGGGAAAGGGGUAGAAAUUAGGGUUUGUUCAUAGUGAACAUUGUCAAGCUAAUUUCUUGUAACCUCUUGUAUUCCUUUUGUAAAGAACUCAUUUGUAACCUCCAGAGUAGGUCAAGUUUGGACCGAACUGGGUGACCAAUCUCUUUGUGUUUAUUGUUUUCUUCUUCCCUCUCCUUGUUUAUCUUGUGUUUAGUUGCUUUGUUUCACACUUGUUUCCUAGAUUGGAUCUAGGUGGUGUUUGUUGUUUCUUGCUUGCUCAAUAAGCUUGGUUUGGUGGUUACCACUCUCCGUCGCUCCACACAUCAUUAUUCUUUGUAUUGGUGUGGUUCGAUCCGGACCUUGGAGGUUCGGGGAUUCACAACAAAUACCACAAAACUUUUUUAUAAUGAAAAAGUCUUUUAAAAUCCCUUGAAAUCUCAAUUCAAUACACCCUCCUUAAAUAUUCAAUCAGUUCACUUUUAAAUGUCAUUUUAGAAAAUUAGUCUCCAAUUAUGAAAGGUUGAAUCACCGCCGAGGUUUUGCGUUAUCACCAUUUGUGAUCCCAAAGGUAUUUGUUAUUCUAUCUCAUUUUUUUCUAUUAUUAUUGUCAUUAUUAUUAUUACUAUUUUUUUGUGGUCAAACUUAGUUUCCCAAGAAUAAAAUUAGGCAAGACAACAAAAUCGGUAAUCCGUCGAAACCCACACCGAGUUGAGCCGUUUGUCUCUUUUCGACUGAGUUUGGAUAUGAGUUUAGGUUUUUUCUUACUUCAAAAUAUAGUUAUGAGAUAGAAGUACCCACCCCAAACUCUUCUCGAAUAUUGAAAAUUAUUGAUAAGCAAACUCUGAAUGUCACAGUGACAUUUUCCUAGUUUACAAUCGACAAAUACACAUGGUGUUGGAUGUGUUUUCCUACCCCAACUGGAUUAUAUUAAUGGAAUUUCUAAUAGUAUGAUUGGGUUUGGGAAAAAAGAAUUGAACGAGGAGCGAUACACGGUGAACAUAUCAUGUAGAAUUCUGCAAAGUGACAAUUUGACAAUAAGGAUGACUUAUCUGUCAGCUUUACCACUCUUACCCCUAAAAAACAAACUUUGUCUUAAUAGGGGAGCGAAUGGGAUUAGAGACCUAGUAAACGAUGGAUACUAGGUAGAGUAGUGAUAGUUUUGCUAUGACAUUUUGUUACCGUUUGACCGUUACAUAGACUUUUGCUUCUGAAAAAGAUAUUUUAAAGUAAAAUGACUUAUAUAUUGAAACUUAGAAUAUAAUAAACCCUUCUGCAUGGAGAAGAAGAGUAGCCAUCCGAAUUCAAGGCGAGUUUGGGGCUUGAAAAACUUAUUCGUUAUAAAAAAUUAUUUCACUGUAGGGGUGGGGACAAGGAUACUUGAACCUGUCGAGGACGAGGAUAAGGUUCAAAUCCCCAUUUUCGUCAAAGAUCGGGUAAGACAACGAAUAAGUGUAUGAGAUUUGGGGACCUAGGCGAGGAAGGUGAAAUUCUUACCUUGCUCAAUUGUCAUGCCUAAAUAAAAUCCGGAGUAGUUUUGACGUUUUUAUAACAGGUCACCAACUAGUACUUGACUUUGAGUUUUUUAUUUUUUUAUUUUUAUUUUAUUUCAAAGGCUAAAUUUACCCGUAAACAAAUUGUGAAGCACUAAAUUGGAUCUCCAUUAUUAUUAUUAUUAUUAUUAUUAUUAUUAUUAUUAUUAUUAGUAUAUUUUUUUGGGUAGAGUAUUGAUAAGGUUACACUGCUUUGAACAAGAAGAUCUUUAAUGUUUUGAACAAGAAGAUCUUUAAUGUUUUGAAUUAGCACGACAUGGACAUGGUACUUCACACUGGGACCAUUGAUAAGGUUGAUGCAGAGAAGUGAAUUAGAGUAGCAAACAAGUUCAUUGAUACCCCAAGUUCUUGGCCAAGAUCAGACAUUGGUAAAUAGCAAAUAAUUUCGCGUGCGUUAUAUCAGAAGAUCCUGGAAUGUUCCCAGAAAAUCAAGAUUGUUAUUAUUCUACUUUAUGUGUCUCUCAUCUGAAACACCAUUAGCAUGAGGAGAGAAACUAGACUUAAGAACAUCCACCUUAUUCUUGAUGUUAAAUGAAAGACGGUUAAUGGACCAAGUUUCAAGCACAUCAAGUUACGAUACCUCCAAUACACCAGACACCAGCUGAGAACAGGAAUGCAAUCAAACCUAUAGAACCACCCUUGAGCAAAUCUUUCCGUUAAAUUGCUUUUUUUUUCUUCUUCUUUCGCAUUCCUAUCUAUAUUCUAUUUUGUCUAUUAUUAUAUCAGUGUUUAUAUAAGGUUUGCUUAAAUACCUAUUUGGUCCUUUAACUUUAAAACCGGUCAAUUUUACCUCUUAAUAUAUUUUAAAAAUUCAGUUUGAUCCCUUAACUUUAAAACCGAUUAAUUCGUCCCUUAACUUCAGCAAAUUAAUUCAACUUGGUCCCUUAACUUAUAAAAAAAUAUUAUCAUUUUCAUCGAUUAAGAAACCAAGUUGCACUAAAUUGCAUAAGUUAAGAGACCAAAUUGAGCAAUUUUUAAGUGUAGUGACCAAACUAAACUUUUAAAAUAAGUUAAGGUGCCAAAUUGAUCAAAGUUCAAGUUAAGAGACCAAAUUGAACUUUUAAAUUAAGUUAAGGGACCAAAGUGUUAUUUAAGCUAAAUAUAUUCAUCUUUGUAAUUAUAUUAUCAAUUCAAACAAACAAUUUCAAUAACUUGAAACCUUUUGAAAAGGUCACCAUCACUGCAAUUCUCUUUUUUUGGUUUUUGGUUCAAUUCAAGCUUCCCUUGGAAUGGGAUUAGUAUCCUAAGCUCAGAACAUAUCCUCAGCAGUAGACAAAGUGAUUUACAUUUCUUCAUAAGGCAGGGGCUUAUUUAAAUGUCUAGGUGGCUGAAUUGGACUAAAAUGUCAAAAUUGUCUAAAUAAAAUCAAUGAGCUUGGCUUAACCAAAGUCUGAAAUUUUAGCCAUGAAAUAAUCAUCUAGAAGCACAUUUUCAGGCUUGAUGUCACAAUGAACAAUCUGUGUCAUAAUCUUAAUGCUGAUAUUAAAUCUUGUAUUCCAGUCUAAAUGAAAUUCAGCUUUUUUCUUCUUGAUAUCCAUUUCUUUAUUGGACAUAUACACAUAAACUGAAUGCCUAUGAGUUCCUUCUGUACAAAAUCCUUUAAGGGGGUAAGGUAAUAAAUGCUACCGAUGAUGCUAACUUUAGCUCUGAACUCUUUCUUCACUUGACCAAUAAUACCUUCCAAUUUCUUCACAGCCAAUUGAGUCUCAUCAAGUAUUGAGUACCAACCCAAAAUCCCCUUGGCAUACCAGUUAAUUGACCAAUAAUAACUUCAAUAUCUUUAUGUCGGUAACAUAUUGGCAUACCAGUUAAAUUUCCGAGAAAUUUUCUUCUCAGAGAUUCAGGUAAAUUUUUCUUUUUCAAGUAGUAUCUAGCCCCAACAAAGAGCUGAACGAUAUUACAAGCAACUUUAAUUUGACAAUAACGACAAACUUCUAUGGAAGGACAUUGCAAGACAAGAGAAAUUUCCACGACAAUAUGUUUGAAAACCAGACAAAUCGGUUUUCUAAAAGGGAUGUAGAAAUGAAUUGCAAAGUAACAAGUCCGUCAUCACCUUUCAGAAAUUCAGUAGAUUUUUCUGAUUUAUCAUCACAACUGGAAACAACCAAGGACAGCUAGACAUAAGGUUGAUUGUGAAUAUGAUAUAGCCAUGAAGGGAUCAUAUCGUUGAUGUGUACCAAAAAGAUCUUGUGGUAUUCUUGUUGAUGAAUCACUGUUUAUUCCACCAUUGUUGAGAGUAGAGAAAGUAAUAAAACCAUCCCUUCCGAAAACUGCAAUCCAAGUUGCUUUCACACAUGCAUCAGCAUAGAAAGUAAAUUGCAACAACAAAGACAUCUUCUCGUCAUACAAUCUCCAUAAAUUGUUACUGAUAUUUGCAGUAGCCAAAACAUUAUUGUCCUUAUCAAUUGUUUUGCGGUUACCCUUCUGCAUAGUCUAGUAAGUCAGUGGAGUUUCCAAACCAGCAGAAACAAUAGCAUUACCAGAUUUUAUCUGAAGAACAUAGGUCGAGUUAUUUGGAAUAGGUUCACUUGUAAGUUUCUUUACCUCUUUGAAUUUCUUUGAAGUCGUCAAAGUUGUUGGGAGAAUAAAAACUUUGCCAAAGUACCAUACUAUUGUUGUUUCCAAGCAAAACUAAUUUUAUUUUAUUUUUAUAGAUAGACGAAAUGGCAAAGCCAUUAUAAACUCACACGCACAAGUGCAGGUGUUGGGGUUCGAACCCCGACCAUGGCAUCCAGCCUAACAAUUUUGACAUUUUUGUCAGUUGAGCUAGGACUUGUGGAGAAAAUCAUAUUGUGAAAAUAUUUCCCUAAUUUUGCAUACAUUUGUACAAAACUCAAACAGAACACUCUAAACCCUAUGGAAAUGGAUAAAUUAAUUAAUAAUAAUUUGCAUAUGUUAUUUGUUAUAUUAAUUAUUAAAAGUGAUUUUAGUGAAUGAACAUUUUGUGAUGAACCUGCCAUCAAGGUAGUGCCAAGCAACUAUGGAAUGUGUGAAGUCAUUCUAUUCCUCAAACCUCCUUCUUCUUCCUUCUCUGCUUAGCCAGAAAAUUUCUUAGUUAAUUUCAAUUUACAUUCCCUAGUUGUAAUUGCCUUCCAGCUUUUACAGUGAAAGUUGAACUUUCUACUUCUCAAUUUCCAUAAAAGCAGAACCAGCAAAGAGUUCAACUGGACAUGGUACAGGUGCAGGGGUCCCACUCCCAGGACUGCAUGGAGUGAGAAUGAGCAAGGACAUGAAAAGUGAUCAACUCUUGUGAGUAAUUUCGUUGUUUGAAUGUUUUAGACACAUAUCAAUCAAUACAACACGAUUUUACUGUAAAUCAUCUUCACUUAAUUUUAGCUUUAUAAUAUGCUUUCUUAAUUAAGUUAACAUUGAUUACUUCACUCAACACUCUUUGACGUUGUUAAAGAACUCAUAGUUGAGAGAUAAGAUUUCUUCCUCGAUAUAACGAUUGAAGAAAAAUGAGUCGUUGUUGAUUAAUAUUAAUCGACUGUUUGCAUAAAUUCUGUUCACGUCAAUAAUUUCAUAUUGCAUUCAUAGUUGUGUGAGAAGUUGCAUAUUUUUUUUGGUAGCAAUAACGUCUCUAAUCAUGUUUUUAUUAAUAUAUGAAGAUUAAUUUCACAUGAAUAGAGCCGGCAACAAGCUGCACCGCUACAUAUAUUUGAUAGGAUUGAAGAUGUAAUUUGGUGUUUAAACAUAAUGAAAGAUUGCAUAUGUUGGUGUCCCUUUUAUAAAUCUUCAAAUUGUGCUAUUUCAUAUUAGGAAACUUUUAUUACCAGAACAGAAACUUUGGUGAUUUGUCAAGAAUAAAUAAAUAAAUUAAGUAUGAUACAAAUUAUAAUAAUUAGGAUAAAUAAAAAAAUCUUUCACAUUUGACUUUAACUUCUGUAGCUUAUUCAAGUACAGAUCUUUUCUUAACGGCAAAAGGUACUAUAGUGUUAUGAAAAUAUUUCCACUAAAAAUUUAUCUGUUAACAUAUCCAAUUUUUUUAUAAAAGACUUACAUUGAUGCAAAUUGAGUUCACAGUGAUCAAAGUAUUUUGGAACAUGAGUAACUCAUUUUUUUAUUUUUUUAUGAUAUGAACUAGAUUCUUUCAUCUUCAUUAUUCUAUAAAAAAGCAAAUGAUAUACUCCGUUUUCUGAUUAAAAGCUUUUUGAUUGUGUGAUCAGGUCGUUUUCGACUUUCGUUUCUUUGCACUCCUUGCUGUUGGAGGUUCCUUGACUGGCUCAGAAAGGUGCUAUAAUGUUGUUUUUAUGUUUCCAUAGAAAGAUCAAGGACUUGUUUGGAUUAGGUCAUUAUCUACUGACAUAUGCAUUUUUCGGACUAUUGGAAAGAGAUUAUGGGAACAACUUAUGACAUGUAUAUAAGCUAUUUUUAAGUUAUUUCUAUAAGCUCUCUAAGUGAUUCUAUAAGCUCUCUAGUGUAUAGUUUUGUAUUGCAUUUGUAUGUUACUGAUUCCACAACACAAAUUCAACCCUUGAAUCGCAUGGUCACAUGGUUCAAAUGUCAGUAAACAUGGGAAUGAGUUCUCUCAUGUUAAAACUCCACAUGAUUUUUUUUUUUUUUUUUUUUUUUUUUAAGUUCCAACUUUUUGAUUAAACAAACGAAGGAGCCUGAACACGGCUUACAACAAUGGCAGGUUCAAUGGAUGUUACUACACCAGCUCUGUUGACACAAUUCACCACAAUGAGAGCAUCACAGGAGAGCUUCAAGCUUUGGAUGCCUAACCUCACUGCCACUUGAAGCGCCCAUGUCACUCGUAGUGCUUCGGCCAAGCAAGGGUCUACUUCCACCGAAUCCAAUUUGCACUUGUGAUGAGUAAUUAUUCCUGUCUGUGUCUGGUUUUUCAGAAUCAGCCCCCAUCCUGUUUGUCCGUUUGAAAAACAUCCAGCAUCCACAAACAUAUGAUGGGAUAUAUCCUGGCACGUGCCAUCAUUGUCCCUCCUUUGGCGGGGUGGUUGAGGCCUUUGCUUGACAUUUGCUGCAUUGAACUCCUGAAUAAACUGAAUAGCUGUGUGAGCUAAAUUAACAGGGUCUGUAGUGGCCCCAUUAAAAACAGCUUGAUUUCUAGCGUACCAAAGCUUCCAGAGGAUAGUGCAGAACAGCUGCGAGUCAUCCUUAACAGCACAAGAUAGCCAAUCUAACAAAUAGCUAUGCAGGUCCAUAUUAAAGGGAGCAUGGGAACGCAAAGGCGAUGCAAACAGUGCUAGUUUGGACAAAUUACAGUUCAUGAAUAAAUGUUCCACAGUCUCUGCUUCAGAAUGACAUAAAGGGCAGGAGGUGUCUAGAACAAUACCUUUCCUCUGUUGGUUGUGUCUAUUUGGGAGAAUGUUCUUUGCCAAGCGCCACAUGAAGUUUUUGAUCUUGUUGGGGAUUGGUGCUUUGCAAAUUUCAUUCCAUAGUCUUUCGUUCCUGCGUUGGGAUGGUCCUAGCUGAAGAUUUUCUCUGAUUCUGCUCAAUAAGUGGUAUGCUGUGUAGCAACCAUUUUUCUCCCAGCGCCAGCAAAUCUUGUCUUUUGGAAGGGAUUGGGAUAUAGGAAUACUUACAAUUUUAACGCUUCUUGAAAAUAUUAUAAAUUAAGGUCCUAUUCCGUUGUAUAGUAUCUGGAUCCAGAAGUUCUUCCACCAAGGCUUCCUGCCUCAAAGUACAGUUAUCGCUCUUUGAUGUCAAAAUUUCGAGGUUUGGCAUCCUUCCAAAAUUUGAUGCUUUUACCAUCUCCGUAUAUUAAUCUGCCACCUUUCUCAACCCCCUCUCUUGCGCUGAUAAUGCUUCUCCACCCAUAACUUGGUUGAUAUCUGGCCUUUGCCUCCAAGAACGUACCUCUAGGAUCGUACCUGCUCUUUAACACCUUUUCUAGAAGGGAAUCAUCUCCAUUGGAGAGCCUCCAACAAUGCUUUCCUAGCAAAGCUUUGUUAAAUCACAUGAAAAUUUUGUAGUUACAUGAGAGUGACAAUUUCACAUACAAUUUUCAAGUGAAAAGAUAAUGUAAAAUUUUAACAUGAGAGCAUUCAUUCCCAUUACUAGUGACUUAGUAAUAAUGAUAUGAACUGUGAAUUGAUUUUUCUUAUUUUCUGUUAUUAAAUCCCCUUUAGUGAUAAUUUUACUUUUGAUUAAGAAUGUUUUCUGAUAAGUAUUGGUGAAAUAAUAGAGCUAGUGUCAUAUUAAUAAACUUAUUCAUGUAUCAUGGUCAUUUUAGGGCUGUGUCAAAGGAGUUCACACUGGAAAUAUGGUUCUGCGCUUGGUUGAAAUGAAUCUUUAUGACUAAUUUCUGAUAAGAUUUAGUUUUUACUUGCAUUUAGCCUUCUUUAUGACAAUAAAAUAAAUGAAUCUUGCUGCUGCAGAUGUUUAUCUUGCUGGUACUGUUAUGUUGAUUUUUAUAAUGGGUUUAUAUGGAUUGUUUAUCAGCAACAUACCUCAUGACAUUUCACGUUCUGUGGACCGUUCCCUUAAAGGAUCCUCUCUCUGGAAUGUUUGCUUUGAAGGUAAUCGUAAACCCUAUAUUCAUGUAGGGGGUACGGUCGCGGUCCUCCACUCACUCUAUGAGUAAAUCUCGUCAGUUACUCCGUUUCAUAGCUCUAUAGAUUUUAAUUUUAUCGAUUCAGCUGUUGAAUUAUCUUAACAAAAAUGUAUAUAUUGUUUGAAAAGUAUAUUCAAGCAAUAAUCAAUACCUACAUUCAGAAAGCUUCCAAUAUGCAAUCAGUACCUCGUAUGCUAUGCUUCAUUAGGUUUUAUAUCACAUAAAAUUCUCAAGAAAUGCUUUUCCCUAAUUAUUUCUUUAGAUGGUUGAAACAAAAAUUGAAAUUUCAAAAGCAAAUUACACAUCAAAAUAUUAAUGUCUUGCUUCCACAGCAGAAUUUCAUGUUCUUUUCUUAUGUGAACAUCCGCACAGUUAAUCAAUUAUUUGUUAACAUAUUGUUUUAAAUCAAAAUAGUACAUGGUUGAAACUUCAAAAAGAUGCAAGUUGCAUUUUAUGUGUGCAACAUUUCUUUGUAUAUUUAUUAUUGAGCCAACAAACAACUAUUAUUAGUUAUUACUAUUAUUAUUCAGACGUCAGUCUUCUUGACUCUUACAAAUCAUCACUUAUCUUUCAAUUUAAUUUAAAGUUUUUUUUUCCUUUCCCUGCUUUACUUUACAAAUCAUCACUUAUCUGUUUUUUGUGGUGACAUAUUUAUUAAUUUUCAAAUAUCUUUAAAAAUUAUCAUAAAAAAAUAUUCAAAAGAUAUUAUAUGACAUAAUUGGAAGAAGUGGCCUCAAAUAAUAACAAUUCACAACAUUAUUUUUCUCGGAAACUAUAUUUGACUGAGGUUGUGUCAAGUCUUUGUUUUGGGGCCAUGCAAUAAUAUCAUAUUUUUUUCCCAUAAAGUGUGUGUUUUGAAAUAUCAUUUACAUUCAAACCUUCAUUUAGUAAAUUCUAUAUUUAAAAUAUCGGUACAAUAUUUCCUUGUAUCAAUUAUUUUGUGGGAUGUGGGUCCAAUAUUAACCACUACUGAGCUUUACUUUCCAGCUUUCAAAUUUUGUUUCUUCAUUAAUUCACAUACAUAUAAGUCUUCUUGAGUCUACCCUUUACAAUAUGCACUUCCAACCACUCAAAAACAGCGCUGUUAGUGUUAUCCAUUCAUUCACAAGCGAGUCUUCUUUGAGUCUUUAACAAGAUCCAUACCAUAGUUUCUAUCCCUUAAUCUUCAUAGCUCUUACUUUCCAUCAAAAUUCCAUACUAUUUUCUACAAGUUCCAUACCUUAGUUGCUGGUUUGCUUUAAUAAGAUCAACUGAAGAUGGCUGCAACUAUGAUAGGAGGUGCUUUUCUCCAUGCAACUGUUCAGACCUUAGUUGAGAAACUUACUUCAACUGAGUUUCUUGAUUACAUCAAAAACACAAAUCUGAAUGUAUCACUCUUCAGACAGUUACAAACAACCAUGCUCAAUCUUCAGGCUGUACUAGAUGAUGCAGAGGAGAAGCAGAUCAGCAAUCCCCAUGUCAGACAGUGGCUUGAUAACUUGAAAGAUGCUGUCUUUGAUGCCGAGGACUUGCUCAACGAAAUCAGUUACGAUUCACUGCGAUGCAAGGUGGAGAAUGCACAAGCUCAAAACAAAACUAAUCAGGUGUUGAACUUCCUUUCAUCUCCUUUUAAUAGCUUCUACAAAGAGAUCAAUUCUCAAACGAAGAUCAUGUGUGAAAGGUUGCAAUUGUUUGCACAGAAUAAAGAUGUACUUGGUCUGCAAACUAAAAUUGCUAGAGUAAUUUCUCGUAGAACACCUUCAAGUUCAGUGGUAAAUGAAUCUGAGAUGGUUGGUAUGGAGCGUGACAAAGAGACAAUAAUGAACAUGUUGCUAUCAGGGAUGGGCGGAACCCAUAAUAAGAUAGGUGUUGUUGCAAUUUUGGGCAUGGGAGGUUUAGGAAAAACUACCCUUGCCCAACUUGUUUACAAUGAUUAUAAAGUUCGAUACCAUUUUGAUUUGCAGGCAUGGGCUUGUGUGUCUGAGGAUUUUGAUAUUAUGAGAGUAACCAAGUCUCUCCUUGAAUCGAUCACUUCUAGAACUUGGGAUAACAAUGAUCUUGAUGUCCUUCGAGUUGAGUUAAAAAAAAACUCGAGGGAUAAAAGAUUUUUGUUUGUGUUAGAUGAUAUGUGGAAUGACAAUUAUAGUGAUUGGGAUGAACUUGUAAGUCCCUUCAUUGAUGGAAAGCAUGGAAGCAUGGUGAUUAUAACAACACGCCAACAAAAAGUUGCAGAGGUGGCACGCACAUUUCCUAUACAUAUAUUAGAACCUUUAUCAAAUGAAGAUUGUUGGUAUUUACUUUCAAAGCAUGCAUUGAGAGUUGGUGAGUUUCACCAUAGUACAAACUCAACCCUUGAAGAAAUAGGCAGGAAGAUUGCAAGAAAGUGUGGAGGAUUGCCAAUAGCUGCUAAAACAAUAGGAGGACUUCUAGGUUCAAAGGUAGAUAUAAUAGAGUGGACAACAAUUUUGAAUAGUAAUGUAUGGAACUUACCAAAUGAUAAAAUUCUUCCUGCUUUGCAUUUGAGUUAUCAAUGUCUUCCCUCUCAUUUGAAAAUAUGUUUUGCAUAUUGUUCAAUUUUUCCAAAGGGUCACACACUUGACAGGAAGAAAUUGGUUUUGCUGUGGAUGGCAGAAGGCUUUCUUGAUUAUUCACAUGGGGAGAAAACGAUGGAAGAAUUAGGUGGUGAUUGCUUUGCUGAAUUAUUGUCCAGAUCCUUAAUUCAACAAUCAAAUGAUAAUGGUCGUGGAGAAAAGUUUUUCAUGCAUGACCUUGUCAAUGAUUUGGCUACAGUCGUAUCUGGAAAAAGUUGUUGCAGGUUUGAAUGUGGUGAUAUCUCUGAAAAUGUUCGUCAUGUUUCAUAUAUUCAAGAAGAGUAUGAUAUUGUAACAAAGUUUAAGCCUUUCCACAAUUUGAAAUGCUUGCGAACCUUUCUACCUAUUCACGUUUGGAGGUGCAACAAUUACUUAUCCUUUAAGGUAGUUGAUGAUUUGCUACCAUCACUCAAAAGGUUGCGCGUGUUAUCUCUAUCAAAGUAUAAAAACAUCACCAAGCUACCUGAUGAUACAAUUGGCAAGUUAGUGCAAUUGCGAAAUCUAGAUCUCUCAUUCACUGAAAUUGAAAGCUUGCCUUAUGCAACAUGUAACCUUUACAAUUUGCAGACCUUGAUUUUAUCAAGUUGUGAGGGUCUCACUAAAUUACCAGUACAUAUUGGAAAUUUAGUACAAUUGCAGUAUCUAGAUCUCUCCUUCACUGAAAUCGAAAGCUUGCCUGAUGCAACAUGCAACCUUUACAAUUUGAAGACCUUGAUUUUAUCAAGUUGUGAGAGUCUCACUGAAUUGCCGCUACAUAUUGGAAAUUUAGUCAGUUUACGUCACCUUGAUAUAAGUGAGACUAACAUAAGUAAGUUGCCUAUGGAAAUGCUGAAACUAACAAACCUUCAAACUCUAACCCUUUUUUUAGUGGGUAAGCCCUAUGUAGGGUUAAGUAUCAAAGAGCUAAGUAGAUUCACAAACCUACGGCGAAAACUUGUUAUUAAGAACUUGGAAAAUAUUGUUGAUGCCACAGAGGCAUGUGAUGCCAACCUUAAAAGCAAAGACCAAAUUGAGGAGUUAGAGAUGAUAUGGGGAAAGCAAAGUGAAGAUUCACAAAAAGUGAAAGUAUUGCUCGAUAUGUUGCAACCACCAAUAAAUUUGAAGAGUCUGAAUAUUUGCUUGUAUGGUGGGACAAGCUUUUCGAGUUGGUUAGGAAAUUCUUCGUUUUGUAACUUGGUAUCCCUCGUAAUCACUGAUUGUGAAUAUUGUGUGAUACUUCCACCACUUGGGCAACUACCUUCUCUCAAGGACCUAGAAAUAUUUGGAAUGAAGAUGUUGGAGACAAUUGGCCCGGAGUUCUAUUAUGUCCAGAUUGAAGAAGGCUCUGAAUCUUUCUUCCAACCAUUUCCAUCCCUUGAGCGCAUAAAAUUUAACAACAUGCCAAAUUGGAAUCAAUGGCUUCCCUUUGAAGGAAUAAAUUUUGUUUUUCCUCGACUUAGAACUAUGGAGUUAGAUGAUUGUCCUGAACUAAAGGGGCAUUUUCCUAGCGACCUUCCUUGCAUAGAAGAAAUUAUGAUAAAAGGUUGUGCGAAUCUAUUGGAAACACCACCUACUUUGGAUUGGUUGCCGUCAGUAAAAAAAAUUAAUAUCAAUGGUCUUGGGAGUGAUGCUUCAAGUAUGAUGUUCCCUUUUUACUCUCUUCAAAAGUUGACCAUAGACGGUUUUUCAUCUCCGAUGUCUUUCCCAAUAGGCGGUCUUCCAAACACCUUGAAAUUUCUCAUAAUCAGUAACUGUGAGAAUCUAGAGUUCCUUCCUCAUGAAUACUUGGACAAUUCCACAUAUCUUGAGGAAUUAACAAUAUCUUAUAGCUGUAAUUCAAUGAUAUCAUUUACCUUGGGAUCUCUCCCUAUCCUCAAGAGUAUGUUUUUUGAGGGUUGUAAAAAUCUGAAAUCGAUAUCAAUUGCAGAAGACGCGUCAGAGAAGAGUCUCUCAUUUCUUAGAAGCAUUAAAAUAUGGGACUGUAAUGAACUUGAAUCAUUUCCCUCAGGUGGAUUGGCUACUCCAAACCUUGUUUAUAUUGCAUUGUGGAAGUGUGAGAAGCUUCAUUCACUGCCAGAAGCAAUGACCGAUCUUACUGGCCUUAAAGAAAUGGAAAUUGAUAAUCUACCAAAUGUUCAAUCUUUUGUCAUAGAUGAUUUGCCUAGCAGUUUACAGGAACUGACUGUUGGCUCUGUUGGAGGGAUUAUGUGGAAAACUGAGCCAACUUGGGAACAUCUCACUUGUCUUUCAGUGUUGCGAAUAAGCGGUAAUGAUAUGGUGAACUCGCUAAUGGCGUCAUUGCUACCUGCAUCUCUUCUGAGACUACGCGUUUGUGGUCUUACUGAUACAAACUUGGAUGGGAAGUGGUUUUUACAUCUCAGUUCUCUCCGAAACCUUGAGAUUGUUAACGCUCCCAAACUCGAGUCGUUGCCAAAUGAAGGAUUGCCUACCUCUAUUUCUGUACUAAGUUUAACUCGCUGUCCAUUACUUGAAGCAGGGUUGCAGAGCAAGCAAGAGUGGCGUAAGAUUCUUCACAUACCUGCCAUAAUUAUUGAUGACAAAUUAAUCACAUGAGUUUCAUAUCUUGGUGAGUCUCUGAAAUACUUCUUUUUGUUUCUUUCUUAUUAUGUAAGGGUCAAUUAAUAUUAUUAAUUCAAUAAUAACAUCAAAAUACAAAAUUAUAACUCUAACUGAAUUUUUUUAAUCAUAGUAUUAAAUUCUGUAUCACCCCUGCUUCUGCACAAUCUUGCUUCUGCACAAGAACUGUUUUAUUGACCAGGAACAGAUGUAAAUGAGAAAUAACAGCUGACCACAAAUAAGUUAGAUACUUUUUUUGUUUGUGAGUUGUGAUGUCAUAUAUAUUUGAAUGAGUUGGUUUUGUGUUCAUAGAAUAUCAUUUAUGCAUUAUCUAACUGUCUUUACUUAAUAUUGCUUCCUUGUGUUGGUUCCUUGUGAUUAUUCUUCUACCCUUUGCUUUGUAUGGCAGAUAAAGAUGCUUAAGAAAGUUAUUUGAUUCUAAAUUAUGUUUUGAUUUUGGGACUUUAUGUUUUGUUGUUUGCCAGUUCAUCAACCAGAUUUGGUGGCUUAGUUUUUAUUUUCAAUUUAUUUUAUCUCUGCCCUGUUUGCAGAUCGACCAAGGGCAUCAAGUGAGAUUGAUGGCUUGCAACAAGAUGGCAGCAGUGGAAUCUAAGGUACAAAUUUAGAUAUUAGUACAUGCAUGUUCUAAUUCUCUUAUUUCUUUCCAUCAAUAACAUGGUAUUUCUUUUUUUAUCUUCUUUCUUGUUUGUUAUUGGUCCUUCAAUAAAUCUUGUUUACUCAAUUUCAAAUCUGCAACCAAAUUACUUUCACAUCAGUAUUGUGUUUUCCCCCUCCCCAGUUUAAAUUUUACAAGUUCUUGUUCAGAAGUUGUCCCUUGUGUAGAUUUAUUUGUUGUUAGUAUUUAUUCUAGUCUCUCUUCAAGUAUUUUGCAGGAUUUAGAAAAUGAGGUACAAAUAUUCUUUGUGAAAAUAAGUGUUUUUGAUAUCAAUUGUGUUAAAGAUGCUGCUCAAAUUGCUAAUGUUAAUAGCUUUGGAUUAUCAAAAUUAAUUUAAUGAGUUUUUUCUGUUGUUCCUCUUUGGAACAAGAAUUCCAAAUAAAUAAGUGGCCACCUUGAGUAUCUUCAAUUACUUUCUUAUCUUUGUGAAACACUUCAUAAUUGUGAAAAGCUUGAGUAUCUUUUGUUAAUGCUUAUUUGAUUUUUUCAGGAGUGUGGGGUUCGUAGAUUUGUAUUGGCUGCAUUUUGUUAAAACAAGAGUUCUAACAAGAUGUCGGACAAGAUGUCUUGACAUGUUGGUGCGACAUCAUAGCGUGUCUUGUUUUGCUUUCUUGGAGACUGUAUUUUAAACGUGAGAUUCAUGAAGAUUCUCUGAAGAUUUGAUUCAUGUGGAGUUGACCAAGAAGCGUGUGGUUUCUAGAAGCAAUAAUAGGUAGUUUUGCUUUGACGUUUUCUUAAGUGUGAUGUUGUAACAUUUAAGGAAACAAUAUAUUUUCUUCAGAACUUUGUGUUGAAAAUCGUGUGGUUCAGCGGAUUAUUUGGCACGAGUUAUGCACCAAGCUCAUUCUGCACUCAAGCUAUAUAAAGGAAGACUCAAGACCUAAUUCACCAUUGAAGCCGUAGUUCAAAAAGUGUCAUUUUUAGGGUUUUAGUUUGUCCUUGUUAUUUGUGAGCCACUCUUGUAUCACGCGUUGAUGCAUAGAGUUGGACUGUAGUUGAGUUGUAAACUAUGAAUCACUCAAAGCUUCUAAGCACAAGUUGAAUCUCUGUUAGGAGUGUGUCUCCAUCACUGUUGUUAUUAUUGAGUCAAUCAUUGGGACUGUGGUUGAGAGGAAGGGAUAGAGGGAUCUCAUAUCUAGGAGAGUCUUAAAUUGAAGAUAGUUUUUAUGUAUGCUUCAAAUUAAUAUUAUCACAGUGAAUUUCCUUCCUAGCUUGGUAGCCCCUAGAUGUAGGUGACGUUGCACCGAACUGGGUUAACAAACAACUUGUGCAUUUUACUUCCUGCUUUUAUUAUUCACGAUUGUUGUUUGUUAUAUGUGUUGUCAUGACGUUCUGAAGUCAUUCUUGACAUCUCGCUUGUCCUAAGAUCGUGUAUAACAUUUUUAGUGCGUGCUAGAAUUUCAAUUGGCAUCAGAGCAGACACCCUAUUCUGUUUCUGGGUGAGCUCCAGGGAAAAUAUUUUCUGGUACAAUGGAAAAGUAAGGAGGACAAGUUAACAGACCACUUGUUUUGGAUGAGUCCAACUAUGACUAUUGGAAAGUGCGCAUGGUGGCAUUCCUUAAGUCUAUUGACAAUAUGACUUGGAAAUCUGUUGUAAAAGGUUGGGAUCAUCCUCUAGUUAAUGAUAAUGAUGGUAAGGACACAACUGAGAUGAAACCUGAAGAGGAAUGGUCAAAGGAGGAAGAUGAGCUUGCUCUUGGAAACUCCAAAGCCUUGAACAAAUUUUUUAAUGGAGUAGACAAAUAUAUGUUCAGAUUGAUAAAUAUUUGUACCGUGGCCAAGGAUGCUUGUGACAUCUUGAGAACUACACAUGAAGGUAUAUCUAAGGUUAAGAUGUCAAAAUUGCAGCUACUUACCACUAAAUUUGAAAACUUUAAGAAGAAAGAUGAUGAAUCCAUUCAAGACUUUCACAUGAUCCUGGAUAUUGCAAAUGCUUCUGGUGCUCUGGAGAAAAGAUGACUGAAGAGAAGCUUGUCGUAAAAAUUCUUAGGUCUCUUCCCAAGAAGUUUGAUAUGAAAGUAACUGCCAUCGAAGAAGCCCAAGAUAUUAAGAACAUGAAAGUUGAAGAACUUAUUGAGUCACUUCAAACUUCGCUUAAUUACUGUUUUCGCCCCCUAAGUUUUCAAAUGUUGUGAUUUUGGCCCCCUAAAAAAACAACUCUUUCCAAGCCCUCUAUGUUUACUUUCUAUUGCAAUUUUAGCCCCCCAAUUUUGACCCAGUAAACGUACACGUGGGCGCCACAUGUGUAAUUUUUUUUUUGUUUUUUUAAUUUAAAAAAAAUAUAUAUUAAUUUUUUUUAUUUUACACAUUUACAUGUGGCAUUUUUAUUUAUUUUAAAAAAAAAUUACACACGUGGCGUCCAUGUGUGCGCCACGUAUGUAUUGACUGGGUCAAAAUUAGGCUAGGGGGCUAAAAUUGGAACAGAAAGUAAACAUAAAGGGCUUGGAAAAAAUUGUUUUUUUUUAGGGGGAAAAAUCACAACAUUUGGAAACUUAGGGGCCAAAACAGUAAUUAAGCCUUCAAACUUUCGAAAUGGCUAUAAGUGAUAAGUCUGAAAAGAGAAAAACAAAAGCGUUGCUUUUGUGUCUAAUACCAGUGAUGAUCAAACUCAAGGUGACCGUUUUUUUUUUUUUUUUGAAAACUCGGUAUCCGAUCCAAGAAUCGACUAAUCCGAGGGGACCAAUCCCACCGUCCACUUGUGGGGGCCCCGUUUAAAGCCAGAGCAAGCUCUGUAUGGACUUAGCCCACCGAAAUUGGCACUAGAGGGAAUCAAACCUGAGCCCUCUGGAGGAGCAAACUCCAAGAUCCCAAGCCAACCCCAAAUGGGUUAAACUCAAGGUGACCUUGAAACUGAUGAAGGAAUAUCUCAUGAGAUGGUGCUUCUUGGAAGACAAUUUAACAAUAUCCUGAGCAAAAUGGAUAGAAAAAGCAGACCUAAUGUCAAGAACAUCUCGUCUAACAUUAGCAAAAACUUGCUUCAACAGAUUUUCUUGAUUACAUCAAAAACACCAAGCCAAAUGUCUCACUCUUGAGGCAGUCAUACAAACUGUUGCGAAUCCGAUGAAAAUCACACCAAUAACAACUUGAUGUGUGGAGCAAGGGAUAAUCAAGCAACCAAAACAAAGUGUAUGGGACAAUUAAAUACAAGCCAAAAGUAGAAAACAACGGCGAGAAGAACACAAAGAAGAGAAGAACACAAAAUAAUUUGUUGACCCAGUUCGGUCCAAAUUGACCUAGUCUUGGGGAGAGAGCAGCCCUCCGAUCCACUAUAUGAUGAGUAACGUUACAAAAGAGAAAUCAACGGGUUACAAGAAUAAGUCUCCCUCCUAAUUCUACCCAAAGUCCCAGCCUCUUCCCGUAACCAAGAGACUCGAUCCUAAUAGUGUUUCCCAAGGUGAAUCAACCCACAAACCCUAGUGUUUGUUCCAAAGAGACAAACUCUAUACAAACCCUAGUUUUGUUAUUGCCUUUCUAAACCCUUGUUCCAGCCCCCUCUAUCUCUCUCAAAGUUUGCUCCGAUACAAGGUCUAUAUUUAUAGUAAAAGCAUCGCUUAAAAUUUGGAACAAAUCUGCACUCAAAAAUAUGUUUCUGUUUUUCGCUGCCAGCGCACCAUCGUGCCACGAUGAGAGAUGGAAAUUAGACCCAGAUUCUAUGGGCACUCGCAAAAAAUACCCGCUAUGGGUAGGGUAAAACCCCGCUUUCAUGGGUCCGAGCUUGGGUAUGGGUAAUUACCCGCAAAUUUAUAUGGGUAUGGGCACGGGUAUGGGCACUGUACUACCCAGCCCCGCAACCCGCAUCUAUGUAUUUAUAUAAUAUUAUAAAUAAUUUAUUUAUUUUUGGUGUACAAUUAAUUAAUAAAUUUAACUAUUUAAGCCUAACCUUAAACCUAAAUCAAAUUAAUAAAAACUUUAGUAACAAUUUAUUAUGAUUUUAACAUGCAACUAGAACUUUUUAACGUAUAACUGAUGUAAGGUAUCUAUUUUUUUUUUCUUUCUAGGAAUAAUUUGGAUGUUUUUUUAUUUGGUUAAAUAUUACGAUUCAUAUUAUUUCGUAAGUUGAUUUAAAAAAAUUUGCAUCAUAGUUUUAUUUCAAGUGUGGUGAUUUUUAUUAUCUUUUCAUGGCUAAAGUGCGGGUAAUAGGUGAGGGUAUGAGCACUUAAGUACCCAUAGGGUAUGGGGAAGGGCACUAAAGUUGUUGCCCACGAGGGUAUGGGCACGGAUACAGACAUUUUUUACAAACGCGGGUAUGGAGAUGGAUACUGUAGUACCCUAUCCAUUGGGUACCCAUUGCCAUCCCUACACGAUGUGAUCCCAUCGUGCCACGAUUUUUCCAGUGCCUUGCCUCAAAACUGAAACCUCCAUCGUGCCACGUUGCCUUGCGAUCAUGCCACGAUUCCGCAUAAAUCUGAUUUUCAGUUAACUCUUACACAAACAACCAUGCUCAAUCUUCAGGCUGUACUAGAUGAUGCAAAGGAGAAGCAGAUCAGUAAUCCCCAUGUCAAACAGUGGCUUGAUAACUUGAAAGAUGUUUUCUUUGAUGCUGAAGAUUUGCUCCAAACACUUGACAUACGUGAUUGUAGGUGUUUGGAUUCCAUUUUUAUUUUAGAAAGUCCUUCAUGUCGGUCGUCAAGCCUCCAGCCACUUAAAAUCAAAUCCCAUAAAGCAAUUGGAUUGUUUAAAGUCAAGCUUAAGACGCUCACUGCUCUUGAACAGUGGGCUUUGACUUGUGGAGAGUUGUCAUUUUGUGAAGGAGUUUGCCUACCACUCUUUCAAGAUUGGUAAUUGAAAAGGAUGGUGAUAUAGUUAACACCUUGGUAAAAGAGCCGUUGCUAACCAUCUCCCUUGUGUCUCUGAAUAUUGGUGAUCUCUAUAACAUGAAGUCCUUUGAUGGAAAUGGGCUUCAACACCUCUCCUUUCUCGAAAUCUUCACUUUCGUAAUUGUCAACAACUUGAGCCAUUUCCUGAAAAUUGCGUUCCUUCCUCGCUGAAAUCACUUGAAAUUUGGAGUUGUGAAAGACUUGAAUCAUUACCGGAAGACUGCCUCCCUGAUUCUCUGAAGCGUCUGAGCAUCGUAUUUUUCCCUUUGUUAAAAGAAAGGUAUAAAAGGAAGGAACAUUGGUCCAAAAUUUCUCUCAUUCCUGUCAUAAAAAUAAAUGGCGAAAUCACAAUAUGAGCCAUGUUAAAGUACUGAUGAGAGAGAAGAGUUGCAUUCUUAUUUCAGGUACGUUUUUCAUUUACCUGCCUCGUCGAAAAUGAUUUAUCAUUUGUGUGUGCACAGUCCAAAGAGAUAUUAAUAACCAUAACAUAGUCCACUUCCAUAAUGAUGAUCUUUGAGGUUUUUAAGGUUCAUAUGAUGAUUAACACACUGAUCAAAACUGGACUCCACAUCAUUUAAUUACUUACGUCAUAGACUGUUCGACUAUUUGUUAAUAAAUUAUUGUAAGGAUUGCAAGAAAUCAAAUCUUAUACACAUAUCUUGAAUAAAUUUACACUGCCAGUUUUCUGCAUAAAUCAGUUUCUUUGUUAAUCAGCUGGAAUAACUCAUAAAAAUCAGUUUUCUGUAUUUUUUUAAGUUUAUUCUCUUGUUCAUCAAUAAACUCCUAUCUAGCAGUUACUAACUAGUCCCUUGCUGAUACUGUGCAACUACUUUUUUCUAAAUCACCAUCUUUUGAUUUGUAUACAUUCCCUGCCAAACAAUUUCACUUCCUGGUUUAUUCAUUUUGUGCAAACGGUUCGCCAAUUUCAAUUUUAUUAAUUGAAUUGCCAACUCCUACCUAUCAGUUACUAGUUCAUUAUGUUCAAACUGUUAGCAAAAGUCAGUUUGUGUUUCCUUAUCGUCGACUGUAUGAGCCGGUCAGACCGAGUAGAGUGUAGUAGGGUUUGCAAUAUUCUUCAGACCGAGUAGAGUGUAGUAGGGUUUGCAAUAUUCUUAAUUCGUAGUUAUGUGUAAGUGGAUGCUCAUAACAUUCAUCGUUUGAAAUAUUUUGUUCUACUGUUUUGUUUGUUGGUAUGUAGUAAUAUAAUAAAGAUUGAUGCUCUUGAUUCUACUUUUCAACUAGUCUUAGCUGCAACUAUUAAUUCCAAGAAUCACAACAAUGAAGUCCUAUCAGAUUUACUCAUUUCUUUUUUGUCUGCAUUAUUUACCACAGAAAAAGAAAAAAAUUGACCCUUUAGUAACUUUCUGCUUCACGACCCUUUGCUUCAUUUGCUGCUUCAUAACUUAAAAUUUGUAGAUAACAAAAAUAUAUCCUACUUUCCUUAAAAAAAGAAAAAGAAGAAAAAAUGCUAGUAAAUUUUGAAGAUGUAAGCUAUUAAGGACAAUUUCAAGAGCAAAUUACACAUCAAAAUGUCUUGCUUAACAUCCGUACAAUUAAUCAAAUAUUUGUUACAUGUACUAACAUAUUGUUUUAAACUUUUUGUAAAAUAAAAUAUUGCUCUAAACUUUUUCAAUUUUCAAAUAUGAUCAUUCAAAGAUAUUAAAUGAAAAUAAUUGAAAGAAGUGGCCCCUACUGAAAUAAAUUAUUCACAAAAUUAUUAUUAUUGGACACCAUAUUUGACUAUGUCAUUGGAUGUUUGUUUAAUAUGUCCCUUGGAUUGCUCAAAGGCCUCAAAAUAUAUUUUACUUUAACAGCGGGAUAAGUGGAAUUGUCUCUUCUACUUCAGAAAAAAUAUAUUGAAAUGGUACAUGGUUGAAAAUUCAAAGAUGCAAGUUGCAUUUUACGCGUACAACAUUUCCUUGUAUAUUAUUUUGUCAGAAGUAGAUCCAUUAACCAUUAUGAGCCAACAAACAAGUAUUAACCAUUCAUGACUCUUUCUUUGCUCCUUGCUUGCAAUUUGAUCUGAUCCAUAAACUAUUAUACACGAGUCUUACUUGCAAUUAUUGUUAUCCCCCAAUCUUCAUAGCUCUUAAUUUCUAUCAAAAUUCUGCUAUUAGCUACAAGUUCCUUACUUGCUAAUUUGCUCUAACAAUAUCCGAUAGAAGAUAUGGCUGCAAUAGGAAGUGCUUUUCUCUCUGCAACUAUUCAGACCUUGGUUGAGAAACUUGCUUCAACAGAGUUUCGUGAUUACAUCAAAAACACCAAGUUGAAUGUCUCACUCUCGAGGCAGCUGAAAACAACACUGCUCACUCUUCAAGUUGUGCUGGAUGAUGCGGAGGAGAAGCAGAUCAACAAUCCUGCUGUCAAACUAUGGCUUGAUGACUUGAAAGAUGCUGUCUUUGAUGCUGAGGACUUGCUCAGCGAAAUCAGUUAUGAUUCCCUUCGAUGCAAGGUGGAGAAUGCACAAGCUCAAAACAAAAGUUAUCAGGUGAUGAACUUCCUUUCAUCUCCUUUUAAUAGCUUCUACAGAGAGAUCAAUUCUCAAAUGAAGAUCAUGUGUGAAAGCUUGCAAUUGUUUGCACAGAAUAAAGAUAUACUUGGUCUGCAAACUAAAAUCGCAAGGGUUUCACAUAGAACUCCUUCAAGUUCGGUGGUAAAUGAAUCUGUCAUGGUGGGUAGGAAGGAUGAUAAAGAGACAAUAAUGAACAUGUUGCUUUCAAAGAGAGAAACAACCGACAAUAAUAUAGGUGUUGUUGCAAUUUUAGGCAUGGGAGGUUUAGGAAAAACUACCCUUGCCCAACUUGUUUACAAUGAUAAAGAAGUUCAACACCAUUUUGAUUUGAAGGCAUGGGUUUGUGUGUCUGAGGAUUUUGAUAUUAUGAGAGUAACAAAGUCUCUCCUUGAAUCUGUCACUUCGACAACUUCGGAUAGCAAUGAUCUUGGUGUCCUUCAAGUUGAGUUAAAGAAAAACUCGAGGGAGAAAAGAUUUUUGUUUGUGUUGGAUGAUCUGUGGAAUGACAAUUAUAAUGAUUGGAUUGCACUAGUAAGUCCCUUCAUUGAUGGAAAACCUGGAAGCAUGGUGAUUAUAACAACGCGCCAAGAAAAAGUAGCUGAGGUGGCACACACAUUUCCUAUACAUAAAUUAGAACUUCUGUCAAAUGAAGAUUGUUGGACUUUACUCUCAAAGCAUGCAUUGGGCAAUGAUAAGUUUCCCCAUAGUACAAACACAACCCUUGAAGCAAUUGGCCGGAAGAUUGCAAGGAAGUGUGGAGGAUUGCCAAUAGCUGCCAAAACACUAGGAGGACUUCUACGUUCAAAGGUAGAAAUAACAGAGUGGACUUCAAUUUUGAACAGCGACAUAUGGAACUUAUCAAAUGAUAAUAUUCUUCCUGCUUUGCAUUUGAGUUAUCAAUAUCUUCCCUGUCAUUUGAAAAGAUGUUUUGCAUAUUGUUCAAUUUUUCCAAAGGAUUACCCACUUGAUAGGAAGCAAUUGGUUUUGUUGUGGAUGGCAGAAGGCUUCCUUGAUUGUUCUCAUGGGGGAAAAGCGAUGGAGGAAUUAGGUGAUGAUUGCUUUGCUGAAUUGUUAUCGAGAUCGUUAAUUCAACAAUUAAGCAAUGAUGCUCGUGGAGAAAAGUUUGUCAUGCAUGACCUUGUCAACGAUUUGGCUACAGUCAUAUCUGGACAAAGUUGUUUCAGACUUGGAUGUGGUGACAUCCCUGAAAAGGUUCGUCAUGUUUCAUAUAAUCAAGAACUGUAUGACAUUUUCAUGAAGUUUGCGAAAUUAUUCAACUUCAAAGUCUUGCGAAGCUUCCUAUCUAUUUACCCCACAACGUCGUAUGAUAAAUACUUAUCCUUGAAGGUGGUUGAUGAUUUGCUACCAUCACAAAAAAGGUUGCGUCUGUUAUCACUAUCAGGGUAUGCAAACAUCACCAAGCUACCAGAUUCAAUUGGGAAUUUGGUGCUGUUGCGGUAUCUAGAUAUCUCCUUCACUGGAAUCGAAAGCUUACCUGAUACAAUAUGUAACCUUUACAAUUUACAGACCUUGAAUUUAUCAAACUGCUGGAGUCUCACUGAAUUACCAAUACAUAUUGGAAAUUUAGUCAGUUUACGUCACCUUGAUAUAAGUGGGACUAACAUUAAUGAGUUACCUUUGGAAAUUGGGGGACUAGAAAACCUUCAAACUCUCACCCUUUUUUUAGUUGGUAAGAACCACAUAGGGUUAAGUAUUAAAGAGCUAAGGAAAUUCCCAAACCUACAAGGAAAACUUACCAUCAAGAACCUGUAUAAUGUUGUUGAUGCCUGGGAGGCACGUGAUGCCAACUUGAAAAGCAAAGAGAAAAUUGAGGAGUUAGAGCUGAUAUGGGGAAAGCAAAGUGAAGACUCGCAAAAAGUGAAAGUUGUGCUCGAUAUGUUGCAACCUCCAAUAAAUCUGAAGAGCUUGAAUAUUUGCUUGUAUGGUGGGACAAGCUUUCCGAGUUGGUUGGGAAAUUCUUCGUUUUCUAACAUGGUAUCCCUCUGUAUCAGUAAUUGUGAAUAUUGUGUGACACUUCCACCCAUAGGUCAAUUACCUUCUCUCAAGGACCUAAAAAUAUGUGGUAUGAACAUGUUGGAGACAAUUGGUCCGGAGUUCUAUUAUGUCCAGGGAGAAGAAGGUUCUUGUUCUUCCUUCCAGCCAUUUCCAACCCUUGAGCGUAUAAAAUUCGACAACAUGCCAAAUUGGAAUGAAUGGCUUCCCUAUGAAGGCAUAAAAUUUGCUUUUCCUCGACUUAGAGCUAUGGAGUACACGUAAUUGUCGAGAACUAAGGGGACAUUUGCCUAGCAACCUUCCUUGCAUAAAAGAAAUUGUAAUAAAAGGUUGUUCUCAUCUAUUGGAAACAGAGCCAAACACUUUGCAUUGGUUGUCGUCAGUAAAGAAAAUUAAUAUCGAUGGGUUUGGUGAAAGGACCCAAUUGUCAUUGCUUGAGAGUGAUUCUCCAUGUAUGAUGGAAGAUGUAGUGAUUCGAAAGUGUGCUAAGCUAUUAGCUAUGCCAAAAAUGAUUCCAAGAAGCACUUGUCUUCAACACUUGAAACUCUAUUCUCUUUCAUCUAUCGCCGCAUUACCCUCAAGUGGUCUACCCACUUCAUUGCAAUCAAUUGAAAUUGAAUUUUGUUUGAAUUUAUCCUUCCUACCUCCUGAAACGUGGAGCAAUUACACAUCACUUGUGAGACUUUAUUUAAGUCAUAGCUGUGAUGCACUUACAUCCUUUCCACUUGAUGGUUUCCCUGCGCUCAAAUCACUUACCAUAGAUGGUUGUAGUAGUCUGGAUUCCAUUAAUGUUUUAGAAAUGUCUUCACCUCGGUCCUCGAGCCUCCAAUAUCUUGAGAUCAGAUCCCAUGAUUCAAUUGAAUUGUUUAAAGUCAAGCUUCAGAUGAACUCGCUCACCGCCCUUGAGAAGUUGUUUCUGAAAUGUCGAGGAGUGUUGUCAUUUUGUGAAGGAGUUUGUCUACCUCCCAAAUUACAAAAGAUUGUUAUUUUUUCCAAAAAAAUAACACCGCCGGUUACGGAAUGGGGUCUCCAAGAUCUAACCACUCUUUCCGAAUUGAUGAUUAAAGAGGCAGGUGAUAUAGUUAACAACUUGGUGACGGAGUCGUUGCUACCCAUCUCCCUUGUGUCUCUGGAUCUCUAUAAGAUGAAGUCCUUUGAUGGAAAUGGGCUUCGACACCUCUCCUCUCUCCAACGUCUCGAUUUCUGUCAAUGUCGACAGCUUCAGUCAUUGCCAGAAAACUGCCUCCCUUCCUCGCUGAAAACACUUCGAUUUGUGGAUUGUUAUGAGCUUGAGUCAUUGCCAGAAAACUGUCUCCCUUCCUCGCUGGAAAGCCUUGACUUUCAAAGUUGUAAUCAUCUGGAGUCAUUACCAGAAAACUGCCUCCCUUUGUCGCUGAAAUCACUUCGAUUUGCGAAUUGUGAAAAGCUUGAGUCAUUUCCAGACAACUGCCUCCCGUCCUCGCUGAAAUCACUUAGAUUGAGUGAUUGUAAAAUGCUUGAUUCAUUACCAGAAGACAGCCUCCCUUCAUCUCUUAUCACUCUGUACAUUAUGGGAUGCCCAUUGUUAGAAGAAAGGUAUAAAAGGAAGGAACAUUGGUCCAAAAUUUCUCACAUCCCUGUCAUCACAAUAAACAACCAACGCACAAUAUGAUAGACAAGCUGUGCUCCUGUUUCAGGUACGUUUUCAAAUCAUUUCAUGGGUCAAUAAUUCAAUAUUAAAAUGCAAUAAUCAACACAAAGCCAAUAAUCAAUCUCUGUUAUUGAUUGUGAUAACAAUCCAAAGAUAUCUCAAAAUAUUUUCAUAUUGGCAACUAAUUAAUCUCUGCUAUGUAUGUAGUUUUGAAGGACAAAUUCUCAUUGGUCCAAAAUUACUCACCAUAUGAGGACAAGUUGUGUUACCGUUUUCAGGUAUGUUUUCCUUUUACCUUCCAAAACAAUGUUAUCUUUCGUAAAAGUUCAAAUUGUAUCCUCUGUAUGAGAUUUGAUGAUCACUCAUUUCAAUGUUAUUUUCAAAAAUUGAAUUAUUUGUUUUAAGGACUGUUCUUUGGUUACCCUUUAGUCUCUAAUUACCUUUCUGACAAACAAUACCUCCAAAAAUCUUACAAUCUUUGCUUCAUUAAAUUCAAGCUUAAAUCAUAAAAAAAUUGUAUUUUCAUAAAGAUCAAAGGAUUUCUACAAGAGGUACAAUUUUGAGAAUGUUAGCUAUUGAGAACGGUUUGAUUUCAAGUAACUUAGUCCUUCGAUAGAAAAAGUAUCUUUUUUGAGAUAUGAUUACUCACCUGUAAUAACUCAUUAUAUUUUUCGUGUACAUAACAAGAUUAUUUUUUUUCUUCUUCUGUAAACUGGAGUCUAAAUGGAAUUAUCUGAAGACCAUUUUCUUUAACAAUAAAAAUUUGAUAUUAAGGUCAUCUGAGAUAAUGAAAUAAAAAUGCUUAUUUUCUUUACAGGUGAUGAUGGCCUAAGUGGAUGGAACUCAGUUCAUUUGAUAAAUUGAAGACAAAAGUGGGAUAUGUGGUUAUUGUUCUCAUGAUUCAUCUUGUAUAAAUCUUUGAGUGGAGAAAAAAUGGUUGCCAUUGAUUGCCACAAGUCUCUUUGUAUUUUAUUAUCUUUUGGUUGUAUCUUGGUAUGUUUUGUAAUAACCUGCUUGGUCCAGUCAUACAGAGUACAAUGCAGUAGGGUUUGUAAUAUUCUUGCUUUGUAGCUUUAAGCAAAUGCUCAUAUGAUUCAGAAUGUUGGAUACUGUUUGAAAUAUUCUGUUCCACUGCUUUGUUAGUAUGUGGAAACAUGAAGCAUAAAUAAAUGGAACAAGUAGAAGAAUCCAUGUUAUUGGUUCUAAAUAUUCUAUUCAUAUAAACAUUUUGUUGAAUUAAUGUGGUUGUUACAUAUAGUAUCUCCUUUGAUAAAACCUGUGCAUAAACAGCAAUGGAAGUAAUGGAUGCUACAAAUAAAUGGAACAAAUUCCUUUAGUUACCUGUCUAUCUGGAUUUUGAAUCCUACUCUCAUUGUUUGUGUUUUAGCCAUUAAUUAAUUUAAAUGGUCCGAAAAUUAAAAUGUGAAAAAGUUUGCCGACACAUAUUGAAUUUGAACUCACUACUUACUGGAUAGUAGCAGGUGCGUUGUAAAUCCUUCUUAAUUUGCAUAAGCAAGAGUAGAAUGCAGCAGGCAUUGUAAUAUUCUCAAUUCAUAUAUGUAAGUGAACACUCAUAUGGCCCAAAAUAUUGAUGUUGAUACCGUCGGAUGGACAUUCCGCUCAUACCGCUCGUAUAUAUGUAAGUGAACACUCAUGUUUAGAGGAAUGUAGUUUGGAAGCAACAGCAGAGCAGAAAAUAGAAACUGGUCUAACAUGCAUAUUUAUUUUCACACAAUUGAACUUUAAUAUGUUUUAAGCUAUAGAAAGAAUGUUGUGAAUUCGUUGAGAAAACCACACCAAUAAAAACUUGAUGCAUGGAGCAAAUUAAUACCAAGUAAUCAAAUCAAGCGGGUAGCAAAUAAUCCAAACAAAAACAGCAAGAGAUAAAAGAGAGAGAGAGAGAGAGAAAAACACAAGAUAUUUGUUUACCCAGUUCGGUCUAAUGAUGACCUAGUCUGGGGGAGAGAGCAGCUCUCCGAUCCACUAUAAUGAAUGAGUUUCUUUACAAAGAGAUAAUGAGUUUCAAGAAUCAGUCUUCAAACCUAAUUCUACCCAAGUCCCAGCCUCUUCCCGUGACCAAGAGACUCAAUCCUAAUAGUGUUUUGUUCAAGGUGAAUCAAAACAAUCCCAACCCUAGAGUUGUUGCCAAGAGAGAUUCUCUAUAAACCCUAGUUUGUUUGUUGGUCUAAACCUUGUUUUUCUACACACUUUUAUCAUCUGAUACAAGGCUGUAUUUAUAGUGGAAAGUAAACCCUUAAAAAACUGAAACAAAUCUAACUGAAAAAUACGUUUUAUUUUUAUAGCGACCAUCGUGGCACGAUGAGUCUUCAUCGUGGCACGAAAUUUCCAGUGUCUUCCCAGGAAUCUUGCUUCAACCAUCGUGACGCGAUGCUUCUCCAUCGUGGAACGAUACUCCAGAUUUCUGAUUUUAAGUUAACUCUCACAAUUCUCCACCUUGACUUCAAAUCAGUGAUGAUGCCAGUUUAACCAUCAAUCACCUUGCUGCUCUCUCCAGUCCUUCAUCUAUGCUUCAAUGAAGUUUAUCAAGUCCAAGCAAUGCUUGAAUCUUGAUCUUGGUAAUGAUUUGGUGAACAUGUCUGCUGGAUUGUCUUCCGAUGCCACUUUCUCUACCAUGAUCUCCUUAGUCUCAAUCAUGUCUCUGACGAAGUGCAAACGAAUGUCAAUGUGCUUUGUCCUUUCAUGAUACACCUGAUGAUUUGUCAAAUGAAUGGCACUUUGGCUAUCACAAUGUAUCUUCAUACAUCCUUGACUAAUCCCCAUUUCUCCAAUCAUACCUUUCAACCAUAUGGCUUCCUUGACCCCUUCAACAAGGGCUAUGUAUUCUGCUUGAGUUGUUGAAAGGGCUACAACUGAUUGUUGAUUUGCCUUCCAAGUUACCGCUGUACCGAACAUUGUAAACACAAAACCUGACAAAGAUUUUCUGGUGUCUACGUUACCUGCAUAGUCCGCAUCCACAUAUCCCUCCAAAGCAUCCCUACCUGGUUGUGACCUUGUAUACUUUAGACCACCUCUCAAAGAUCCAUUCAAAUAUCUCAGAACCCACUUCAAAGCUUGCCAGUGUACUUGACCCGGAUUUGCCAUAAACCGACUUAUCACACUGAUUGCGUAGGAUAAGUCCGGUCUACUACAAACCAUACCAUACAUGAUGCUUCCAACCCCACUUGCAUAGGGAGUACCCUCCACCUUGCUUUUUUCUUCAUCGGAUUGAGGACAUUGCUUUAUAGAUAGCUUAGUGUGGUGACCAAGAGGAGUGCUAACGACUUUAGAAUCUUUCAUUCUGAACCGCUCCACCACUUUCCUCAAGUACCCCUGCUGAGAUAAGAACAACUCACCUUUGUUCCGGUCUCUUAUGAUAUCCAUUCCAAGUAUCUUCUUUGCAUUACCAAGAUCCUUCAUCUCAAAUUCAUCAUUCAAUCUUUCCUUGAGCUUCUGAAUCUCUUGUAUGUCAGAACUUGCCAUAAGAAUAUCAUCUACAUAAAGGAGAAGAUAGAGAAUGACUUUCUCAUUCCUUCUCAUCAUGUAAACACAACUAUCAUAGUUGCUUCUCACAAAACCAGCCUUUACUAGGAACUCAUCAAACCGACGAUACCACUGCCUUGGACUUUGCUUCAACCCGUACAAAGAUUUCUUGAACAAACACACUUUUGUAUUGUCUUCUACAAAACCUUCUGGUUGUUGCAUAUAGAUAGUUUCUUCCAACUCUCCAUGUAGAAAUGCGGUCUUCACAUCCAUUUGUUCUAACUCAAGAUCAUACAUGUUAACAAUCGCCAUAAGUACCCUUAUAGAACAAUGUUUUACCACCGGUGAAAAGAUUUCAUUGUAAUCAAUCCCUUCCACCUGAGUAAAACCCUUUGCUACAAGUCUUGCCUUAUACCUUGGUGCUUCGACCCCUGGUAUACCUUCUUUCAUCUUGAACACCCACUUGCUUCCCACUACCCUUUGAUUCUCAGGUAAUGAAACAAGUUUCCAAGUCUGGUUCUUCUCCAAUGAAAGCAUUUCCUCAUUCAUUGCCUUCAGUCAGUCCUUGUUUUCAUUGCUUUCUAAUGCUUCCCUGAAGUUCUUUGGUUCCGAGUCUUGCAAUUCUUCAGCCGCAUUCAAAGCAUAAUAAAUAAGGUCAGCAUAACCGUAUCUGUUAGGUGGAUUGAUAUGUCUCCUCUCCCUAUCUCUUGCUAGCUGAUAGUCAGGAUUCACUAUCUCUUGGCCUUCACCCUCAUCAGGUACUGGAGUUUGAUCCUCCUCUUCCCUUUCAUCAGUGAUAGGCUCCACCUCAAACUGAAGUUUCUCUGUCCCCGUUUCUGAGCUUGUAUCCAGGUCUUUGCACUUCAUCCCCAUGCGGGUCUCAUCAAAAGUAACAUCCCUGCUUAUAAUAAAUUUUGAUUCUCCAGGUUCCAUCUUCCACAGUCUAUAACCUUUCACACCUUCAGGAUAACCCAUGAAAAUACACUUCACAGCUCUAGCAUCAAGUUUGUCUUGCCUGACAUGGGCAAACGCUAAAGCUCCGAAGACUUUCAAGUUAGAGUAGUCUGCCGGUGUCCCACUCCAAACCUCCAUAGGUGUCUUGAGAUCUAUCCCUAUUGAUGGACAUCUGUUAAUCAAAUAUGCUGCAGUACUAACAGCCUCUCCCCAGAAACUCUUGGACAAUCCAGCUCCCAACAGCAUACAUCUCACACGCUCCAACAGAGUCCUAUUCAUUCUUUCAGCAAGACCAUUCUGUUGAGGUGUGUAUGCCACGGUUCUAUGCCUCUUUAUACCUUUCUUCCUGCAAAACUCAUUAAACUGUUCUGAAACAAACUCCAAGCCAUUGUCAGUUCUCAACACUUUCAGUUUGGUACCAAUCUGAUUUUCUAUAAGUAUAUCCCAUUCCUUGAAUUUUUCAAAAGCAUCACUUUUCUUCUUCAGAAUGAAAACCCAUACUCUUCUAGAAUAAUCAUCAAUGAUAGACAUGAAAUAUGAACCUCCCCCAUGAUUCUUCGUCGAUGCUGGACCCCAAAGAUCCGAAUGAACAUACUCAAAAGGCCUACUAGAUUUAUGCACCCCCACUCCAAACUUCACCUUGUGUUGUUUGCCUAAUGUGCAGUUAUCACAAAAAUCUAGCUUGUUCAAUUUUUCAUUCCCUAGCAAACCUUGUUUAGCUAGCUCCACCAAACCCCUCUCACUGACAUGACCUAACCUCAAAUGCCAAAGUUUAGUUAUGUCCAGAGUGUCAACACUAGCAACCGAUGCAUUUGCUAUUACGGUAGAACCUUCUAAAAUAUAUAGACCUUGUAUUUUAGACCCUUUAGCCAUAACCAAUGCACCAUGAGAAAUUCUCAUCACACCACGUUCAAUUCUAGUGCAAUAGCCUAGACCAUCAAACAUGCUUAUGGAUAUUAAAUUUCUCCUAAGUUCAGGAAUAUACCUCACAUUCUUCAAAAGGAAAUCACGAUCAUCAAACAUUUUGAGUCGGAUAGUACCCAUACCUUGAAUUUUACAAGCCUUAUUAUUACCAAGGCGAACUACUCCACCUUCUUUCAGCUCUAACGUUUCAAAGUACUCCUUUCUUGGACAAAUGUGAUAAGAGCACCCAGAGUCCAAGACCCAGCUCUUUUCAGGUUACCAACUUGUCACAGUUAGUGCUCCAGCACUCUCAUAACCUUCAUCUUUGCUUGCAAUCUGAACGGAUGAAUUUCCACCUCCAUUGUCCUUUCUCUCCGGACAAUCCUUCUUGAAGUGACCUGGAUUAUGACAAAUAAAACAUUUGUACUGUGUUUUAUUGCCAUCACCCUUCGACCUAGACUUUGACCUGGAAUUCUUGCCUUUCCCUUUUCCUCUGUUCUGACUUCACCCCCUUGAGACAUUCAAGCCUUCUCCACUAUCAUCAAAGCUGCUUGGUUAACUCUUUGGUUCUCAAAGCUGCUUGAACUUCCUCCAAAGUGAUAGUGCCCUCUUUGCCAUAAAGCAUAGUAUCCUUGAAAUUCUCAAAGGACCUGGGUAAAGCACACAGUAGGUGUAAGGCUUUAUCCUCGUCUUCCAGAUUAACAUCUAUGUUCGCCAAAUCAUUAAUAAUCUUAUUGAACUCCGUCAAUUGCUCCAUUAUAGGUUUUGACUCCACCAUACGGUAAAAGUAGAGUUGUUGUUUCAGACACUGUCUAUGUGCCAAAGACUUGGUCAUGUAUAAUGAAUCAAGCUUAUUCCACAUAGACACAGCAGUAGCCCCCCUUGAUACUUCUCUCAACACCUUAUCCCCAAGACACAAAAUGAUAGCGCUGACCGCCUUAUCAUUCAUCUCCGUCUUCUCAGCAGGUGUUAGAUGUGCAUGAAGGUGAAAAACACAAGAGGGGGGGGGGGUUGAAUUGUGUUUUCUUUUUCUCUUAAAAAAUACUUCUUCUGAUAAAACUUCAGAAGCAGUUUGAUUGCUUCUGAUGAAAUGAUCAGAGUCAGAUUGCAGCGGAAAAGAACAGAGCAGAGAAAAGAAAGACAAAGACACAAGCAGUUAUCCUGGUUCCUUCCACAACACGGAAGUAGUCCAGUCCCCCUUGCACUUCCAAGGAGAUUUCACUAUAAUCACAAGAUUACAACUGCUCAAUACUUUCUAAGUAUGAGACUUCACAAAACUAUGCUCAAGCACACACGCAAGAGUCUUCCAAUGCUCAAGCACUAAGCAAGAGACUUCUAAUGCUCAAGCACGCAGGCAAGAGACUUCUAAUCAAACAAAAAUACAGAGAAUUGAGUUUGAAUUGAACACUUGAUAUACAAUCAGUGGUGUUCACAAUACAAUACAGAAAAGACUCUAGACUUUGAAUUUCUAAGAUGUAUCAAAUCAGUGCAGAAAUUCAGUGUGCUUUGUAGAAUCAAAUUGACAGAGUUUUGGCGCUUUUGAACUUAUGUAUCUAUGUCUGCAAUCUUCAAGUCUUCACUCCUUUAUAUAGAGGCGUGAAAGAGACGUUGAGAUAAUCAGCACGUCUAAAGAGUCGUUUGAAAUCCUUUGAAUAUCCACCAGUGAUCCUUUGCCUGAUUUGGGUGUAGUCCUUUGAAGAAUAAACUUCAAAUUCAUUCCCAUCUUGAGUGUACAAUUCUGCAGGCAUGGCUGUUGUUUUGUCUUGUAGCGUAGACAGAAAACAGAGUAGUGGAGGUAGUGGUUGUACACUUGUACUUUGUCAACUCUAUUAAUGAGAGGCAAGUGCUCAGUGCUAUCCAUAUAUCCGUUGAUACCUCCCUUUCAAUUCUUCGUUCUUCUUUGAUAAGACUGAAUUGAGAAUCAGCUACUUUGAAUUUUUCAGUUUGAUUAAAAGAUCAAAUGUAGCUUCUGGUGCCAACUUUUGCUUCUGAUGAAAUCUUUUGCUUCUGAUGACUUUCUGCUUCUGAUGACGUCAUCUCUUCAGGAGCAGUUUAGCUUCAGGAGCAGUUUUCUUCAGAUGCUCAGAAUUUCUUUUUCUUUCCAUUGUUCUUCCAAGACCUAUUGAAAUAACUUGAGUAGCCUUUGGUCCUGUACACUUGAACAAUUAUUAGUAAUAACCAAUUGACAAUUUUUAAUACCUUGUUAUCAUCAAAACUUAAUAAGGUUCAUUGUGAAACACAUUUUGUUCCAACAGUGCAGACAUCUGUACUUCUCCCUUUAGUGCUUCAACGCACUUUUGUUGAAUUAAGAUUGCCUUCAUCUUCACCUUCCACAACCCGAAGUCGUUACUACCGGUGAACUUUUCAAUAUCCCACUUCGAACCCAUUAUACUUGGUUAUUGACUUGACCUUUGCCCCACGGUGGGCGCCAAUUGUUGUGAAUUCGUUGAGAAAACCACACCAAUAAAAACUUGAUGCGUGGAGCAAAUUAAUACCAAGUAAUCAAAUCAAGCGGGUAGCAAAUAAUCCAAACAAAAACAGCAAGAGAUAAAAGAGAGAGAGAGAGAGAGAGAGAGAGAGAGAGAGAAAAACACAAGAUAUUUGUUUACCCAGUUCGGUCUAAUGAUGACCUAGUCUGGGGGAGAGAGCAGCUCUCCGAUCCACUAUAAUGAAUGAGUUUCUUUACAAAGAGAUAAUGAGUUUCAAGAAUCAGUCUUCAAACCUAAUUUUACCCAAGUCCCAGCCUCUUCCCGUGACCAAGAGACUCAAUCCUAAUAGUGUUUUGUUCAAGGUGAAUCAAAACAAUCCCAACCCUAGAGUUGUUGCCAAGAGAGAUUCUCUAUAAACCCUAGUUUGUUUGUUGGUCUAAACCUUGUUUUUCUACACACUUUUAUCAUCUGAUACAAGGCUGAAUUUAUCGUGGAAAGUAAACCCUUAAAAAACUGAAACAAAUCUAACUGAAAAAUACGUUUUAUUUUUAUCUUCAGCGCGAUCAUCGUGGCGCGAUGAGUCUUCAUCGUGGCACGAAAUUUCCAGUGUCUUCCCAGAAAUCUUGCUUCAACCAUCGUGGCGCGAUGCUUCUCCAUCGUGGCACGAUACUCUAGAUUUCUGAUUUUAAGUUAACUCUCACAAAGAAUUUGCCAAAAAUAUUUUUGAUUGGGAAAAAUACAAAACCUGAUACAAAAAUCUACAAAUUAAGGAGCAACACUUUUGCGAAGUCACGUUCUUUCAAAAGGAAUGUUGUUAUGCGCCAAUUGGUUUGUGAUAGAUUUUCCACAGUAGGGGUAGCGGCAUUGACAUCAAACACCACAACUUGUUAGCGCAUGUAGUUCAUAGAGCCUCUUCAAUUUCAUCCAAAGAUCUUUCUAACAUUCUUUGUUUGACUAGGAACUCACAUGUUGGCAAAUUUUCAAAAACUAUAUGUGAAAUACAUGUAAGAAAGAGUAUUGCUUAUAAACUAUAUGAACUGACAUUAUAAAUUAAUUACCUGAUCAUUUUUUUUUUGUAGAAUAGAUCAUAAUUCUAUUCAUUGAAGUUUUCUUGAUCAGGACUCCAGUCAUCAAAAAUUUCUUUUCCCUUAUUCAAAUUCAUAUUUAUGUCUUGUUCUGUCUACAAGUUCAUUCAAUCAAACAAAUGACUUACAUGCUUAGACACAAAGUUUCAAUACAAUAGUUUAUAUUAAUACUUAAAUUUUUUCUUUUUGAGGUAGUAUCUAACAAAUUGAAAACUGUUAUACUUCAUUACUCCUCCUUGUUCUGUAGACCUUUGGAGAAACUGAAGGAUUGGUUGCUAUGUGAAAAUCUAUAAGCAGAGUGAGUUUACUGAAAUAUACAACAGUUAGCUGUACACAUUUGACUUUAACUUCUGUAAGUUAUUCAAGAACAGAGCUUUUCUUAACAGCAAAAGGUACUAUACAAAUAUUUCCACAAAAAAUUUAUUUGUUACCAUAUCCAAAUUUUUAAUAAAAGACUUUAUGCCAAUUGAGUUCAUAGUGAUCAAAGUAUUUUCAAGUUAUUUCUAUAAGCUCUCUAAGAGGGCUUAUGAAAACAACUUUUAUCUUAUAUGAAAACAAUUUAACUUUAUUUUAUCUUUUGUUAUAGAAAUAACUUAUUCUGUAAGCACUUAAUUAUGGUUUUAACAAAACAGAUAGCAAACCCAUUUUGUUUGUCUGUACUCUAUAGUCGGAAGUUUUGUAUUGCAUUUGCAUGUUACUGAUUCCACAACUCUAAUGGUCCAAAUGUUACUUCACAUGGAAAAUUUCGUAGUUACAUGAGAGUGACAAUUUAAAACAAAAUUUUCAAGUGAAAAGGUAAUGUAAAAUUUUAACAUGAGAGCAUUCAUUCCCUCUUUUGCAUAGUUAUAAUUUUACUUUUGAUUAAGAAUGUUUUCUGAUAAGUAUUGGUGAAAUAAUAGAGCUAGUGUCAUAUUAAUAAACUUAUUCAUGUCAUGAAUAAGCCUACAUAUAUUUGACUAAAUAUAUAUAUCAUUUUAGGGCUGUGUUCUAAGCAUACAAAGUCUAUUGGUCAAGCUGUGUCAAAGGAGUUCACUCCGGAAAGAUGGUUCUGCCUCAGGUCGACGCAAUUGGUAAGAAUAUUAUUAUCCACCAUCACGAGAAAGAACAUUCUAGAUUAUAUCUGACCUGCAUGUUUCCAAACAAAGAACAUGAAAAUAGCUUUUUUCUUUUUCUGUUUUCAUUUGGAAGUUUUAACUUUACUUCGGUUUCUGUCUAAAUUUCUGAUAAGCUUUAGUUUUUACUUACAUUUAGCCUUCUUUAUGACAAUAAAAUAAAUGAAUCUUGCUGCUGCAGAUGUUUAUUUGGAAUGCGUAUAUAUGUAUGGAUUGUUUAUCAGCAACGCGCCUCAUGACAUGUCACCUUCUGUGGACCGUUCUCUUUUUGGAAUGUUUGCUUUGGGGUAUGGUCGUGAUCCUCCACUCACUCUAUGAGUAACUCUCGUCGGUUAAUCCGUUUCAUAGCUCUUUAGAUUUUAAUUUUAUCGAUUCAACUGUUGAAUUAUCUUAACGAAAAUGUAUAUAUUGUUUGAAAAGUAUAUUCAAGCAAUAAUGAAUACCUACAUUCAGCAAGCUUCCAAAAUGCAAUCAGUACCUCCUCAAGAAAUGCCUUUCCCUAAUUUUUUCUUUAGAUGAUUGAAACAAAAAUUGAAAUUUCAAGAGCAAAUUACACAUCAAAAUAUUAAUAUCUUUUCCGCAGCAGAAUUUCAUGUUCUUUUCUUAUGUGAACAUCUGCACAGUUAAUCAAUUAUUUGUUACAUGUACUAACAUGUUUUAAACUUUUUGUAAAAAUGUCGUCGUGCGCUUGGCUUAGUUGGUAGGGACAAUGCAUAAUACAUGCAAAAUCCAGGGUUCAAACCCCGGCCACCACAAACAAAAAACUUUUUAUAAAAAAUAUUGUUCUAAACUUUUUCAAUUUUCAAAAUAUGAUCAUAUAAAGAUAUUAACCGCAAAUGAUUGAAAGAAGUGGCCCUGCUCAAAUAACUAUGCACAAAAUUAUUAUUAUUGGACACCAUAUUUUACUAUGUCAUUUUAUUGUUGUUCAAUAGGUCCUUGGAUCGCAUAAAGGCCUCUCAACGGAUUAGGUUGUAACCUCUGGUAGUCUUUUUUUUUUUUUUUUUGCAUGUGUAAAGUUCGAUCGAGUCGUAGCUUCCGAUUGGUUUAUUUUCUCUUUAAAAAAUGUAAAUAGUUGAAGAGUUUAUUCAACAAUCAUCUUAUUAUUUGUGGUGGUUGUGUCAAGUCUUUAAAAUAUAGUGAAGAUAAGAGGAAUUGUACUUAGUUCAGAAAAAAUCUAUGGAAAUGGUACAUCGUUGAAACUUCAAAGAUGCAGCAAGUUGCAAUUUAAGUGUGCAACUAUUACUAUUCAGCAACAAUUGUGACUCUUAACUAUAUGCACAAGCUAAGUCUUCUUGAGUCUUCAUUACUCUUAACUUUCUUUCCUCCUUUCAUGCAAUUUCAUUUACAUAUUCUUUUUUUACUUUCCCUGCUUUACUUUACAAAUCAUUACUUAUCUGUUACUUGUGGUAACAUAUUAAUUUUCCAAUAUCUUCAAAAAAUAUAAUAAAAAAAAAUAUUUAAGGGAUAUUAUAGGAAAUAAUUGAAAGAAGUGGCCACAAAUAACAACAAUUCACAACAUUAUUUUUCUCUGAAACUUAUUUGACUGAGUAUGUGUCAUGUCUUCUUUUGGGCCCAUACAAUAAUAUCAUACUUUCUUAGAAAGUGUGUGUUUUGAAAUAUCAUUUACAUUCAAACCUUCAUUUAGUAAAUGCUAUAUUUUUCAGCAAUGAUAUACUCAUCAGUUAUCACAUUUAGAAAGGUUAUCAACGUAAUCUCUAGUAAAUUAUUUUUAAAUUUUAACACAGGUGAUAAGAAAAAUGACAAUAUGAUACAUUUAUUUUUAGUAUAUGAGAGGAAUUUAACUAGAAAUUGCAUAUUUGACUCACUUUCCUAAAGUAAAAAUGUAUAUACAGGAUCUGCUAUUUAAAGAUUUCGAUGCUUUUAAUUGAGUGUGUCCACCAAUCUUUUCCUUUUUUCUUUUGGCCUCAAUUAUUUUGUGGGAUGUGUCCAAUAUUAACACUGCUGAGCUUUGCUUUCCAGCUUUCAAAUUUUGUUUCUUUCCAAUAUUAACUUUUCCUAUAUGCACUCCCAACCAUUCACAAGCAAGAAAUCUGCAUCCUUCUUCAUCGACAAAACCUUUACAAGCUAAAAUAUUUGAGGGAUAUUAUAGGAAAAUUUUUUGAAGCCAUCUUACAUAUUAAAAAUGGUUUUAGACACAGAGUCAUCCUAAAAGAAAAUUAGUUUGAAACAGAACUAAUAAAUUGAACAAAUAGCUAAAAUUUUACGAGAAUGAAAGUUAAUACGUCCAACAUUGAAGCAGUCUUGCAUUUUUUUUCCCUUCCAUAAUAACAAUGAUUUGGUUGAAAAAGUAUAGUGAUUUAAAAAUGACCGUCCUUUCAAAACAAAACAAAAAAAAUUCAAGACUGCUUCAAAGUUUAUAAGCCUUGCAAUCCACCAACAUUAUUUCGGUGAAGGUAGCUCAAACUAUAUUGACCGAAAGUUUUCUACACCCAAAAUAAUGUUCACCUGGAAUAAUGUUCUAUGCAUCUUGAAACUAAUGGGAAAAUGAAUCUCGGUGGACAGCAAGGAUAAGAAAAUUGUGAGUCUCACAAAUUUGUGACAUUGUUUGUUGAAUGAGCAUUUUGUUCACAUUUUUAAUCAAGAAGUCUCACAAAAUCCAUCCCAUAAAGAAUUAAUCGAAGUCUAUCAAUUUUUGAAUACCCAAAGACAUUUUAUAAGUUGUGAGAAAUCCUAAUUGAAUACCAAUGGAUUUCGUUGCAUUGAAAAAAAAGUCUUGAUUGUCUUAAUUGAAUACUACAAGAUUUAUUUAUAUUUUAUAAAAGUUUUGAUUGAAUACCACAAGACUUUUUUAUAAUCAAAAAGUUUUUUAAAAUUCCUUGAAAUUUCAAUCCAAAACACCAUCCUUAAUUGAAUACCACAAGAUUUAUUUAUAUUUUAUAAAAGUCUUGAUUGAAUACCACAAGAUUUUUUUAUAAUAAAAAAGUCUUUUAAAAUCCCUUGAAAUCUCAAAUAGUUUCAGACUUGGUACAACUCAAAUAGUUCUUCUGAAUUUCGAAUAGUUCUCAAGAUUCUCUGUUUUCUUUUAUCUAAUAAAACUUUUGAUUAGACUGUUAUCCCAUUAUUUAAUAUUUAAGAUUUAAGUGUCAUUCUCAAUCUAAGAAGAAUCACGCUCUGUAGGAUUUGAACCUACGACAUCGGGUUUUGGAGACCCGUUCUACCGAACUGAACUAAGAGCGCUUUCUUUUCAUAAACUAUUUUUUACAACAAGUACUUAUUUUAUUUAUAUUAUGCUUUUAAUCCAGGCUUCAGACCAACCAUAAUUCAUUUGUUCCGAGGAAAUGGACAAAAGAAUAAAAAAAAGAAUAAAUGGAGAAUUGCUCUAUCUAACUGGUGACUGGUUUCAUUCAUCUACCACCAUGAACAAUACUCUUUCGCGAAUGUAAGUACAAUAUUUCUUUUUCGCAAUUUACAUUUCAAUGAAGAACUCUGACUAUGAUAUCAACAUUCUGAGCGAUACAAAAUUAAUAAAUUUCUUUAGACAAAUACAUCCAAACUCAUAUCGAGGAUGAAAAAAGUAGCGCGGAAAACUCAUAGCAGAAUCACUUGUUAAACAUUAACAGACAAUCUAUACAGAUUGAAACGUCCCUGUUUGGAUAAACAACUUAUUUUGCACCUUAUCUCAUAAGCGCUUACCAUAUAAGUGCUUAUGAAUAAGUUGAACAUGUCAUAUAAGUGCUUAUGAAUAAGUUGAACAUGUCAUAAGCGCUUACCAUAUAAGUGCUUAUGAAAAAAGUAGCGUGGAAAACUCAUAGCCAAAUACAAUUGACAUUAAUGGUUGAACCUUCCGCUCACAUCACUUGGCAUUAAUACAUAAGUUUUUAAAUAUCAUAUAGAAUCCUUAGCGAAGACUUUUCUUAAUAUUUUUUUAUUUAGAUUUGUGAAACUAAACUGAAAUUUGAAGGGCAGAGAAACACAUCAAAAUAUUAAAAUCUUGUCUCCACACCAAUAUUUCAUUUUGUCUUUCUUUUGUUAUUUGUACAUUGGAACCAUUCAUCAAUGGCUUGUUACUGAUGAUAACAUAUUGUUCUAAAUAUCCUUAAAUGAUACUCCCUCCGUCCCUUAAUACUUGACACAGUUGACUUUAUUACGCAUGUCAAUGCAUAACUUUGAACUUAAAUAUCUUGAAUAAUAUAUUAGGAAAAAUUAUGAAAAUUUGAUAUUUUGAAAAUACUCAUCGAGACGAAUCUAACGACAACUUAUAUGAUGUUAUUUAUUGAUAGAUUUUUUUAGCAAGUGUACUAAAUACUAUCGAAGUAGUAAAAAUAUCGUUCCCACGAGGACUGUGUUAAUCUCAAUCUCAAUUUAGCAAUUUAGUAAAUAUUUAGGAUGUAUAAAUUAUUUUGUUUAUAGAUUUGAUUUGAUUGCAUAAAAUUAAAUAAACAGAAAAUAAAGAUAGUUUUGGAAAAUAUAUAUGAGAGAUGAGACUAGGUCUUUUGAAUCAUCUAUGUUUCCUAAUUGGUAUACUGCACCUAUUCUUAUGAAUGAUUUUCUAGUUUCACGAUAGUUAACAAAAUAGUCCUAAUCAAUCCCUUGACUUAGAACCCUCUUCUCAAACUACAGCCCCUAAUUCCUUAGGUGGUCUAAUAAUAUUUGAAGGUGUAAGCACGUUAACCUAAUAUCACUAACAAAUGAUUAUCCAUUCCUAGACUAACCCUGUUUAUUAGAACAAUUCAAUUAUGUCUAAGUAGAAAGUUAUGGUCAGUAGUCAUUCAUUCUCACUAAAUCAUGCUUAUAUUUGAUCAGGAUAUAAAAAGCAUUAAGAACAAUUGAAUUGAAUAAAAACUAGAUUAUCAUUCACAAUAAAUAGAGUUUCAUAGCAACAUGGUUCAAUUAGGGUUACAAGGAAUAUCUCAGAUCUAAUCAAAGGAAAUUAGCUAGACAUAAUCAAAGAAUUAAACAACAUAGUAAAGAAAAUAAACCAAUAGGAUUCCGUCGUUGCCGGCUUAGCUUCUAAUUUUCUUUCAAUCGAUGUUGUUCUUUUUUUGUUUCCAUAUGCAAGCUUUUUCUUUUUCUCUCGUGCUGCGUGAAUGCCUAAUUCCUCUCUUCCAAAACGUGGCUUCUCUGUACCAAGCGUCCUCCUUUUUUUUGCUGCUCUCCUCAUAUAUAUAUAUGCCAAUAAGUAAAGAAACCUAAUUCUUCAUUUGUUUCUUUCCGUUAGUAACAACACAUAGAAGCCCAAUUCUUUUUUUAUGCUAGCGACACCUCCUGUUUUGCGAUCUUUUUGAUCAUUUUCUCUUGCUUUCAUUUCUUUCCUUGUGCCAUAUGUCCCUAAAAUCGUGUCACGAAAUAACCAUCGUAACGCGUUUUAACCAAUGUCAAAUUAACUUCAUUCUGUGCUCCAAACCGUGACACGUGACACGAUUUUGCUUUCUUCAAAAUCUUCUAUUUUUCUUGUUUUCUUUGUUGUUUAAGCUUGCUUGUGAACUCAAAAUAUCAUGAAAAUGACACUAAAAACAGUGAAUGACUGACUGUCAUCAUUUAUAUUUGUAUAUUAGUUGAAAAAUACGGUCAAAGUCAUUUAGGUUAAAAUUAAAAAAAUUUAAAUAGGUCAAGUAUUAAGGGACGGAGGGAGUAUAUUAAUAGGAAAGAGGUGGCCCUCAAUUAUUAUCAUUGGGUCCAGCAGUUCAGCUUCAUUUUGAAUAGCCAAGGGGAAAAUAAAUUUAAGGACUAAUUUAAUUCUCUUUUUUGUUUGAGUUUAUAUCGAUCAAGUCAUUAUCUCAGCAGUAAAGACAAAGAGAAUCGUAAACUUUUAUUUCUAAAACCCAAUAACUAUGGUCAUUAGAGUUUCGAACAAUUUUAAAAUACUAGUCGAUCCACAGUCAGACUAUAUAUUGAAAUGUUCCACAAUAAAAUUUAUCAUUCAAGUGUUAGCCGACCCUAGUUUUCUAGUGGGAGAAACUCCAACUUCUCUCUAAACUUUCUUUCUCCUUUGUUCAUCGAGGAGGGGUGGUUUUAGGUCAUUUUGACCUAGAAUCACCCCUCUACAUCUUUUUUCCCCUUUUCUUUCAAUCUAAAUAAGUGGUUUUCACGUCUAUCAAGUUUUUCCUUUUGUGUUUUUGUGAUUUCGUCGUCUAAGUGCGGCGUUGUGUUGUUCGUCGUCUUGUGCGGCGUUUGAUUUCGCGUUUUGUCGCGGUGUUUGCUCAGUUCCUCUUGAAAGAUCUACAUCAGUCAAUUACAAAUUCAACCAAUGAUUUGAACGAUAACGUUGCAGAUCCAGAUGCAUGAGUAUUUCGGCGACUUAAGUUUUAUCAUAUUAUUUGUAGGCAUUUUGCCGUUGUAUGCUAUUAACUUGGGUGCUGUGAGUUUGUUCGUAGAUUCACCCUUUACGUUUUUAGCUAUGUUUGUAUUUGAUGUACUCUAUCGAUUUGAAUGAAUGAAUAUCGUUUUAUUUUUGUCAAAAUUUUUUUUAUCAUUCAAACUUCAAAGAUGCCAAUUGCUUUUAAAGUGUGCAACUAUUCUUUGUAUAUCUAUUAUUUUGUCUGAUGUGGGUCCAUUAACAAGCAUUAUUUCAUUCACAUAUGAGUCUUUACUAUAUGCACAUGCUAAUAUCCUCUCGAGUCUUAACUCCUUAAUUGCAUUCACAUAGCUCUUACUUCCAAUCAUUUCUAUAACUAGUAUAUAGUGACCCGUGCCAGCACAGGGAAAUAAAAAACUUUUUUGAUCAAAUGUAUAGAUUUUAAAUUCGAUAUGAAAAAAAUAUCAUCUUAAUUUUGUAUAUAUUUUGAAAUAUCUAAACAUUGCAUAUAACGAUAAAAAUAUUUGGAUUAUUAUACUUGUACUAAUUAUUUGUAGUAUAAGAUGCACUCAUUUUUAAACUUAGCAUAUGUAAUUUUAUUGCAAAAAUACGUCGACGUACUGUGUAAUAAUAUUUGUUGACAAAAUGUAUUUUAUUAAUCAUAAAAACUAAAAAAUAUGUUUUUUUUUUUUUUAUAUAAUAGUCAUUGUCACAUGCAUACACGUAGUCGGUAAAUGCAAACGUUUAAUUUUUUACGGGUGUGUAUAAAUAUAGUUUGGGCUACAGAAACACCGAUUGUUAUUUGUUUUUAAUUUUUACAAAACAAAUGGUGUAAUGUAAAUAAUGUAUUUUAGGGUAACAAUGAUGUAAAAAAAAAAUGUUCCGCGGAUUGUUAAACCUGAAAAGUGCAUGAAUUAAUAGUCAAUGACAGGAGGAUCUGCUUAUAUAGAAAUUGCAUGUCUAUAAUGACCCGUGCCAAGCACGGGAAAUAAAAAACUUUUUUGAUCAAAUGUAUAGAUUUUAUACUAUGUUAUCUUAAAGUUAUAAGUGUUGUUAUAAUUUACAUUUGAUAUGGAAAAAAAAUAUCAUCUUAAUUUUGUUAAUUUUGUAUAUAUUUUGAAAUAUCUAAACAUUGCACAUAGCGAUUAAAGUAUUUGGAUUUAUUAUAUUUAUACUAAUUAUUUGUAGUAUAAGAUGUACUCAUUGUUAAACUUAGCAUAUGUAAUAUUUUUGCAAAAAUACGCCGAUGUACUGUAUAUUAUUAUUUGUUGACAUAAUGUAUAUUAAUCAUAAAAACUAAAAAAAAUGUAUUUUUUUUUUAUAUAAUAGUGAGUGUCAGAUGUAUACAUCUAGUCUGUGAAUGCAAACGUUAAAUUUUUUUACGGGUGUAUAUAAAUAUAGUUUGGGCUACAUAAACGUCGAUUGUUAUUUAUUUUUAUAUUUUACAAAACCAAUGGUCUAAGUUAAAUAUUGUAUUAACGAUGUAAAAAAAAAGUUCCGCGUAUUGUUAUACCUGAAAAGUGCAUCAAUUAAAAGUCAAAAGCAAGAAGAUCUGCUUAUAUAGAAUUUGCAUGUCCUGUAAUGACCAGUACGUCUUACAAAGAAAUUAAAAAAAAAAAAAAAACUUUCAAUCAAUACGCAACUUUAGUUUUCUAAAUUAUAGCAACAACAAUUCUAAAACAUAACCAAUGAUCAUACUUUUUAAAAAACUUCACGAUACACAACAUUUGUGGUCUCCUUGAAAACAUUAUUAUCUUCAUCCAAGAUGAGCAGUUUCAAACCUUUUCUAGAAGUAACUCGAGAGACAACGACAUAGAGUUGCUCAUGCGUGAACACGGGCUUAGGAAGAUAAACUCCCACUCGAGAUAAAGAUUGACCCUGACUUUUAUUUAUUGUCAUUGCAAAAUAAAACGUCAAUGGAAAUUGUCUGCGCAUGAAUUUGAAGGGUAGUCCUGGAUCACUCGGAAUAAGAUUCAUCCUGGGAAUGAAUACGUUGGUACCUGCCCUUUUUCCUGUAAUUACGGUAGCAGCUAUCAUGCUCUUCCCUAGAUGUGUAACUGUCAGCCUCAUACCAUUACACAGUCCAUUGGCCCGAUCGAUGUUUCUCAUCAGCAUAACUGGACAUCCCACCUUUAGUUUCAACCGGUGAUUUGGAAUUCCAGAGCUCUUAAUAUCAUUAAGGAAUUCCGUUGUGAACCACUUGAUUUGGACAUCAGAAUUUUCACCCGAUCAACAAACAUAAUCAAAGCUUAAAUACUCUUUCUCUUCACCUGGAAUCAGUGACAUCAUAUAUUCGUUAACAUGCUCAACUGAAUCAAGCGUUGGUGCGAGUAUUCCCCUUUCUUGGAAAAAUAGCGGGUCACCAAGGUUAUCAUUCAAAUCGAGAUACACAAAGUCUGUAAGUGACAUCAACAGAUUUGUUGCGUCUGAUAUGAGCAAAUCUUCAGGAAUUUCUACCUUCAUUUCACCAUUCUCCUCCGAAGCGUUGUUGCCGUCUCCAAUUCAUAGUAUCCACUUGCCAAAAUUAGCAAUUUCUUUCUGCUCUGUAGGUACCAAAGAUGCACCCAAUCUCAUAUUAACAGUAAGCAUUAACACAUUAAAAUAAGCUCAUAUCUUUGAUGAAUUGAUUGAUGCAUCAACAAUAUCCUGCCUCGUUCCUUUUCGGACAACAGGCAAUAUCUGCCUGAAAUCACCACCUAAAACUAUUGUCAUUCCAUCAAAUGGUUUAAACUCGUUUAGGGAAUCAUUCUUGGACAUGAUACCACACAUUGAUCGGUCAACUGCCUCAAAACACCAUCAGUGCAUCAUUAGAGCCUCAUCCCAAAUUAUCAACUUUGCAGCACGCACCAAGUCUGCCCUAGGACUAUCCUUUUCCAUCGUAAGAGAUGAUGCCUCAUAAUCUCAAUAGGGACUGUCAGCGUCAGGUGUGCGGUUCUUCCUCCUGCUAAUAGAAGAGUCACUAUACCGCUAGAUGCAACAUUCAAUACAAUUAACCCCUUCGAUCUAACAGCAGUCGACAAUGUUUUCAUAUAAAGGUUUUUCCAAUACCACUGUAACCAUAUAAGAAAAAGAAACCAUCGUCGUUAGAACCAACGGACUCCAUGAUCUUUUCAUGCACAUAUCUUUGUUCAUCAAUCAGCAUCAGUAACAUAUCAGCAUGUGUCUUUUCCAGUUCAUCUUUGUUGUAAUUUAGCUCAUCAACGAUAAGCUUGUUUGUGAAAGUUGGCAUGUCUGCUGCGUUUUGUAUGGGUAUGGAUUUGAUGUCAGUAAGCGACUGUUCGUUUUCCUGAAGCAACAUUUCAAUUUCAAUCAAACAAAGGUUCUUCAAGUCAUCGUCACCGAUACGCAGAUCUGUAUAUUAAAUGUAAAGUCACGAAAUUAAUAUUAACACCUUUGCAUGCAUUUGUGUGCACGUUGAAGAGAAAGAAAAAAUAUUAGCUUUAUAUGAGAAUCCUUUAUAUUUAAACUUAUCAGCCUAAAAAAUGUAGAAAAUGUUGAAUGGUAUCGUAGAGUUAUUAACUCUUAGUUUUUUCUUUACUAUAUCCUAAAAAAAGUACCUUUUAACUACUUAAACUACUCUAAUCAGCCUUUACUAUAUCCUAAAAAACACACCUCUCGAAAACAACCCUGUCAUCAAGGUUGGAAUGUGUUAAAUUUCUUAAUGUGUAAUAGUCUUCAUAUGUAUCACCCUUAUCCCUAAUUUUUAUUAGUGAAGUACUGUUUUGAUUCUCACUUUAAUUUGAACUAUUUGGUUCCACCAAGAUAUUUUACUCCUAGCUAGGUCCAAAACCUAUUAAUUCUUCUAGUGUCUCUUUUGCUACUUUUCUAAUCUCAUAUGUCAUCUUGUUCCACGUAUCAUUUUCACUUAUAUGUAGCUUCACACAACCUUCCUUCAAAAUCUUUUGCAGGAAAACACUUUGGUUUUGAUCCUUUAAAUGUCACCACUUGAUCCUUGUUUCUCAAUCAUGGCCUCUCAUCUUCGCUCUUAUCUUAACCCUUACAUCCAUAACCAAUACUAUAUGUUGGAUGAUCAAACUCUCCAUGUAAAACUUUAAAUUCAAACAAAUAUUUAUGUCAUAAUUCCUAAUAAGAAAUAAAUCUAUUUGAGAACAUGAAAUCCCACUCUUGUAUGUAAUAAAUUUCCUUUUUAUUUUCCUAAAGUAAGAUUAAAAGACAACAAAAAAAUCUAGGACGAAUUUACCCAAUGCAUUUAUCUCCCCUAGGCUAUACCCUCAUUCAAGCCUUUAUAACUUAUCAAGCACUUCUUACAUGCCCAUUUAGAUCCCCUCCUAGAAAAACAUUUUCUCCUUGUGGUAUAUCUUGAAUUUAACCUUUCAAAAUUUAACUUUAGAAUAUUCUUCCAAAUCCACCUAAGAUGGAUAAACACUCAUAACAUUAAAGAUGUCUUAUUUCCUUUAAAAAAUAAAAAAUAAAGAUGUCUUAUUAAACUUAAAAUUUGUAGGAUACAAUCAAAUCUCACAUCCUCUUUACAUCCACAAUAUCCUUUUUCAAUUCCUUAUCCACAAUAAUGCCUACAUCAUUUCUCGAUCUAACUUUUCCAGUUUAUCAAUUUGAACUAUCUAAUUCUUUCGUCUUUUCACCUACCCACAUAGUUUUUUGCUGGCACAUAAAAUUAAUCUUCAUUUUAGUCAUAGCGUCAACUAUUUCCAUAUAUGUGAUCUCAAAAAAAAAAAAAAAACUAUUUUCAUAUAUGUUCAAGUAAGAGUACCUUUAUUCCAUGUUCUAAAACGGAUUAUACUCUCAUUAACUAACUUCUUUACCCACACUCGUUCACAAAGAUGUGGAGACUCUUGCUUAUUUUUUACUGCAUUCAGGCAGCGAUGUACCCAUCCUUGCUCAUUUAACUUUGUAUUUGAGCUAUACAACGUGUUUCUUCUACGCAUUGACCCAGUUUCACACUAUUAUAUACUUGGUUCAUAUAUGCCUCAUUAAUAUCAAUAGGGACUGUUAGUGUCGAGUGCGCGGUUCUUCGACCUGGUAAUAGAAGAGCCGUUAUACCGCUGAAUGCAGCAUUCAAUAUAAUUAAUCGAUUAAAGAACAGAAAAUGUGAACAAAUUAAUCUCGGGAGCGUAAAGUAGCCGCUGCUCCCCCCAAUAUUUUUUUUCUUCUUUCGUAUACUACUACAAAUGCAGCACUCAACCGCUCACCCUUUGCGACUGUGAACAUGUUAUCUCUCAUUAAGCCUACUUCUCAAGUCACUACGUAAUUGUAGCAUAAUCUCCAUCACGUGAAACGAUCACGUCGUAGUGACACUUUUUUAUUUCAAUGUAUUUUAUAUGACAUGAACACUAUAUAAAUAUUUAAAUAUUUUAUGUAUGUAUAAUACUGAGAUUUGGUUAAUCCAUUUUUAAAUUUUCGCUGCUCAUGAGCAAGAUCCGCCACUGGUUGUUAGAAUAUUAUUCUGUUUCAUCCAAAAAGACAGGUCAUAUAACCUUUUUGACAAAUAUUCAUCUAAAUUUGUUUAAGAAAUCUUCAGGGUUAAUUGUUGUCAUGUAACAUUUUUAAGAAAGCUUCAUUUUAUGUUAGAUCAUUAAAACAGAUGAUUGAUGUAUAAAGUGAAAGAUUUACUCGCAACGUCUCAACAAAAUCAAUUCCUUAACUCAGAUUUUCUUGUUUGGAAUAAACAGGGACAUAGAUGAAAACUCGGAAUACAAAACAAUUGAGAUGAAUGAAUAGCUUUGGGAAAGAUUAAUGUAGGCAAUUUUCUUGUUUAAAUUCACAUAUGGCAAUUUCUCUUCGGGAAAGAUUGGCGCACAUAAACUAAUUUAUUGAAUAGCUUUUUCUGUGUAAAUAGUUAAGAAUGAAAUCUCUUUUGAAUUGCAAUCUCCCAAUUAUAUUGUAAAUGUUUAAUGUCACGGUAUAAAACAAUAUGAAAUUUAUUGACACAAUAUUUCAAGUACUACCAGAAAAUUCCCCCCUUUUUUUUUCUUUCUUUUUCUAGACCACAAAAAGGCCUUGUAUUUUUUCGGUACAUCAAUCAAUACUUCACUAAAUAUGAUAAAACCAAAAAUAUUCUAUUUAUGAAAACUUAAUAGAGAAUUUCAUAUCUGAUAUAACUUGACAUUGCAAAUAAAUUACACAUCAUCAAUGAAUCUUAGGCCUAAUACGAAAAGGUAUCCUUAUUGUGAACGCUUCGAGACGAUGACAAACCCUUUUUGCAAAAGGUUGAAGAUUAGUACAUCACCCUUUUCGAGACGUAAGCUUUUCAGGAUAUAUUAACCUCACAAGAACGGUACAACUUGAGGGUCCACAAAGUUUGAGAUAUGUAAGACAUGUUUCUUUCAGGAAUUCUCCAAAAAUAAAAUCAUAUAGAAUCUUCUAAGACAAUAAAAGAGAAUAUAUUAGUAAUUCAGGUGGGUCGAUAAAUCAACUAUUACGAAGAAACCAAUUAAAAAAUGUACUCCCUCCGUCCUAAAUUAUAAGCAAAAAAAAUUCAUUUUCUUUGUCUCAAAUUAUAAGCAAAAAAUACAACUUUUAUCAUAUUUAAUUAUGUUUUUUCAACAGAUUAUCUUUUCCAAAGGAAAAUUAAAAGCAAAGUGCAUUCAAUUUGCUCUAUUUUUCAUUUUCUCUAUAAUCAACUACCAAUGAAAAUUGUUUUUACAUCUUCCUAUAAAACUUAUUUCAAAGAUAAUACAAAAAAUUAUGUUACAAACUACUAUGUUUUAGUUUUCUUAAUAAGUGUGAUUUUUAUUUUUCUUAUAAUAUGGGACGGAGAGAGUAUUAAAAUAAAAAAUCUUAACCAUGGGUGAUGAAGUUGCAUUACGACCAGUAAGAUGGCAGAACUGUGGUUAAAAGAAUAGAAACAAAAAAAAUAAGACUGAAAAAAAAUAAGACAUAAUAGAAAAGGGGAUAUAAAAAUAUGAAAAAAAAAAUUAAGUUAAUCAACCUUAUUGUCCAUUAGAACCAUUUCUAAGGAGAAAGGAAGUUGGUCAUUUUUCAUAUCUGUCACAAACCAAAUGCGAACGACUCGAACCUGAUAUUUCAGUUUUCUUUGUAAUGGGAUAUAUCAGAGAUCAAGUCAAUCUUUGGGGCCAUUUCGAUUUAAUGAAGAGACACAAAAAGUACGCAAAGAAAAAGAAAUAAAAUAGAGAGACAACUGUAAAAUUGGAGUUGUGGUGUGAGAAAAAUGUUUGUCAAUACAAUUUAUAAUAAUUUUUAGAGGACAAUGAUGUAAAAUAACCACAUUCAAUUCGAUAAAUGAUAUCAAUCUGCUUGUAGCCGAAAAUAAAAAUUCAAUAGGUCAUUAGGUUAUUUAUUUUUUUUUUUUGUGUUUGAUUGCAUCCUUUUUUUUUUUUUUUGAUUAAGUGUUGGAUUGCAUCCUAAAGUUGCUCAUUAAACCACACAAAUCAAAAUCAAUAGGUUAUUUAGUUUUAGAAAGUUUUCAUCCGAUUUUAAUAUCAAUAAAUUCCAAAAUAUUGUAGCCGAAAAUAAAAAAAUCAAUGGGUCAUAAUGUUUUAUUUUUAUUGCUUCAGAUUGCAAAUAAAGUUGCUCAAUAAACCACACAAAUCAAAAUCAAUAGGUUGUUUAGUUUAAAAAGUUUUAAUCUGAUUUUAAUCCCAAUAAAGUCCAAAACCUUUUUUUUUUCCGGUCAAAUAAAAAAGCUACACAUCUAUGAGAAAAAUAUACAAUUUGAUAAGGUAUCAAUCGAUCAAUGUUACAAUAAAAUUUUGUAUUAGAUAAACUAUUAUUAAAUUUAUAUAAUAUAGAUUUUACUACUUAAUAAAAAAAAAAUUACGGAUUGGCCAAAAAAAAUCAAUUUGAUAGGGUGUCAAUAGGUUAAUGUUGCAAUAAUAUUUUGUAUUAGAAAAAUUAUUAUUAAAUUUAUAGAUUUUAUUGGUUCACAAAAAAACCAAUUUGAUAGGGUAUCAAUCGGGCAAUGUUACAGUAAUAUUUUGUAUUAGAAAAAUAAUUAUUAAAUUUAUAUAAUAUAGAUUUCAUUAGUUCAUAAAAAAAGUUUAUGGAUUGGAAAAAAAAAUCAAUUUAAUAGAGUAUCAAUCGGUCACUGUUACAACAAAGAAUUGUAUGAUUACAAUGAUUUUGAGAUGACACAAUAUACAAUUAUAUUGCACAAUUAUAUCGCCCAUUUUUGAUGGAUGAGAAACCGUUGUGAAAGAAAAAAAAAUAAAAAUGGAUUGAUUUGAUUUCGGCUUAUGUGGCCAAACUUUGAUUUGAUUUAUGUUUAAUGCAUAUGAUUUUUUUUUUCUUGUGGUAAAUGCAUAUGAUAUUUUAGCAAUUGCAUGAAAUUUAUUUUGAGCCAUCUUUAUUCUUCGUAAGAUAAAACCAAAAUGAUGCGAUCAUGUUUUUUGAAUAAAAUCUUAGAGAAGCAUUAACAGUAGAAUAAUCAAUAUAUAUUCUUUUUUUUUUUUUUGAACAAAUCAAUAUAUAUUCAUUUGUUUAUAUUGUUGAUUACAAUUGUUAUAAAUAACCAAUUAAGAUGUUUAAGCUUAUGAUACAAUCUUUACAUUUUUUAUUUAUACAAAUAAUUGAAUCAUACGAUAUAUAUAUAUAUAUAUAUAUAUAUAUAUAUAUAUAUAUAUAUAUAUAUAUAUAAGAUUUAAAAAAGAUCAACUAUAUGAUUCGACCAUUGAUUCUUUAAAUUUCUUUAUGCAAAUGGAGAUAUUGGGAACGUAUGUGAAUGGAGAUACCACGAACUAAUUCAAACAAACUAUCGACUAUAUAAAAAAGAUCUAAAAACAUAACAAAGUCGAAUGAGAAAUAUCAGACAUGAAAUUAAUUUUCGGUGUUAUUUGGAUUGUAUAGAAAUAAGAAGAAGAAACAACAAAUAGAAACAACAAAUAGAGUUGUGAUGUGAAAAAAUUGUUAAACCAUAGGUCUAAUUUAUAGUAAUUUUUACAGGAUAUUUUGGUAAAAUGACCACAUAUAAUUUCAAAUAUUCAUUAAUUUCACUUUUUUUUUUUGUCUUGCUUUAACUUUUUUCUUUUUUUCGGUUACUUUUAUUGCCUCACCAUUUACAUAUGGACGUUUCCUUAACUGUUUUUUUUUUUGGCUUUUCAUCCAUUUUUGAUUUUUUUUCGGUUACAACUUUGCCUCUCAACAAAUCCUCACAUUUAUAUCACUUUGAUUUUUCCCUCAAAAAAAAAAUCACUUUGAUUUUGGAAAAAGAGAAAACUUAGGUACAGUUCCUUAGGUGCUUUUCAUAUGGUUCUUAACUAAAAAUACAUAUUUUUUUGGAUAUAACAAACUUUGAGAAAAUUAUGGAUUUGAGAAAAUUGAAUUUAGUUAAGAACCAUACGAAAAGCACCUAAGGAAUUGUACCUAAAUUUUCUCCUUUGAAAAAUCCGUUUUUGAUUGUAAGUUUUUAUAUAGUUGACUAUCAAAAUUAGAAGUUUUUCUUCUUCUUUUUUUUUUUGCCUCAAUAAAUAUUUCUUUAAUUUUUUUCCCUAUUGUUAAGGAAAUCAAAACAUAUCGUGUUUAAUUGUUUUAAUGCAAUUACAUAUAAAAUAUCUUUGACAUAGUUUUAAACAAAAUAUAUAUUUUUUGAAUAAAUUAAACAAAUAAAUUGUAUCACAUUAUUAUUAUUAUUAUUAUUAUGAAAAUAAAAAUUAAGAUAUUGAUUUCAAUGAAAAAUAUGAUGUUAUUUAAAAAAAAAUUAAAAUUGUCUGACAAUAUUAUUAUUAUUAUGAAAAUAAAAUAAAAAUUAGUUAAGUUCAUUAAUUCGUUAAUUUUAUUAAUUCAUAAAAGCAUAAAAAUGUGAAUUGGUUAAAAAGAAACAUGAGUUGAUAAGGUUAUAUUAUUUUUCAAUUUUUUUUUGUUUGGUUUAAAGCUUAUAUAAGCUAUAUUAAAUCGUAUUUUUAUUAUUUGGCAUAUAUCAAUUAUUUGAUCUCUUUGACAUUAAAAUAUUUAAAUUUUAUUAUUUGUUUUAAUAUAAUAUCUGAAAUUAAAUAUUUAAAUUUAAAAUUAUUUGAUUUAAAUCUGUAUUAUUUGAAUUCAAAAUGUUUGAUUUUUAAUUUAAUAUGAAAUAUUAGAAAUAAAAUUGAAUUUGAAUUUGAAAAACUUCCUUUUAUUCAUAAGCAUUAAAUACAAAUUUGUGAGGAUGAAUGUGGUGAGAGUAUUUUGUGAGGAACAAUAUGAUGAGAGUAUUUGUAAAAAAGAAAGGGACAUAUGACAACACCAAAACAAUAGUAAUUCAUUUCCAUAAAAGUCUAUGAAAUGGAUCCUAAAUUUAUAUUAUAUAGAUUCAAUCUCCAUAGCUCUUAAUUACCUUCAAAAUUUUGCUAUUUACGUGUGCAGCUUUAUCAACAAAUGAAUUAACCACAUAUUUAAUAACAAGAUGUCCAAGAUAUUUCAAAGAUGCAAGUUGCAAUUUAUGCGUGCAACAUUUCUUUGUAUAUUUACUAGUGUAACGCCCCGUGCCAAGCACGGGAUACAUUUUAUUUAAAUUUUUUUAAUAUGAUUUAAAUUUUAACAGAUUUUUUAAAUAUUAUUGUUUUUGUUUCUUUUCAUCCAUAAUUUUGGCGUUAUGUGGUAUUUUAUCUUUGUAUUUAAAAUUGAACAAUAAAUAAUCAUUUAUUGAGAUCAAAAAGUUAAAUUUUAUAGAUGACUAUUUUUGUGAGAGUGAUAAAAUAAUCAACAAAAGUACAAUUAAACCCAAAAGAUAAAAACACUAUAAAUAAUUAAUAUAUUUCUAAAAAAUUAACUAAUUAGUAAAUGGAUAUGAUUACCUAUGGUUAGCUUUGGUUUGUCAGUCAUUCAAUAUAUCAAAUGGAUAUGAUUACCUAUGUUUUAAUUUUUCACUCUUAAUAAAAAUAUUAAUUUUUUACUUAAUCACAAUGAUCUCUAUGAUCGCAAUUAUAAAUAAAAAAAAACCUAAAUUCAAAAUUUUAGUUACAUCUAUUAUUUUUAUUGGUUUCAUAAAUAAUAUUCAUUGACAUUAUUUUUUUAAUUUAUCAAAAUAAGCACAUUUUUGAAUAAAAUUUACCUCAUAAAUAUAUGUAUAUUUUGUAUUUCAUUAAAAAAAAUUGAAUUUUUAUGUUAAAUUUUGAAUAUAAAAAAAGCAUUAACAAAUCAUGUUUGGUUUUAUAUUUGUGAACAAAAAAUAAGUUUAAAACACAAAAACAAUAUUUUUAAAAUAAUAGGUUAUCGCUAAUUAUUCACACUUAGGGAAACUUAAUUUUUGUAUUUACUUUAGAAUUUGUGUAAAGUUUAAGACAUAAGUAAAUUGUAAAUAUGGAAACUGUAUAUUUUUUUUAUUGAAGUGUCAAUACAUGCAACAAAAACAAUUUGUUCAAUUGAAAUUGAAAUUCCCAAGACAAUAAAAGAGGUGCCCUGCAUCACCAUACAAAAUAACAUUAUACCAAAAGGUGUACAAACUUUACCAAAAUAGAUCUGUAAUAAAAAAUAAAAUAAAAAAACCGUAUUAACAUUCUUCAACUCCUCAAUAGUGGUCCUAGGAGUAAGUAAGAGAAACUCCUCAUUUACAGGUAUGUGAGAUGAAUUUGGUAACUGGAUCAAUCCCGAUGCAGGAGAGUUUGUAUUUGCAUUAAGAAAGAGUAAAUAGUCAAUUUCCCCCCUGAAAUUGUAAAUUUCAUCAAUUACCCCCUGAAAUUAACAAAACUUCAAUUACCCCCCUGAAAUUUCACAACGUUAGUCAAUUUACCCCUUCCGUCAAAUUUUUCUGUUAGUGAACAUGACGUUUUGCAAAUACCCCCCUGAAAUUUUGCACUUAUGUGCAAAAUGCCCCCAAACUUAAAAAUUUAUAUUAUUUUUUUCUUAAAAACAAAACAAUUAAUAGUUAAAUAUUAAAACUAACUAUUAAUUUUGAAAUUUGGGAAAACUACAUGCAUAUAUACAUCAAAAUAGGCUCCAAAAUGGAAAAAAAAUAUGUAUUUUUUAAAGUGACAAUAAUGGGAUGAUUUGUGGAUUAAUAUUGAGGGUUGUGUAGUUUAAAUGGUUUGAGCAAAUUGUUGAAGGAGUUGGAGGAGUUAAAAGACUAAGAUGGUGAAGGAGAAAAUAUAAAUUUAAAUCUGAUUAUUAAUUUGUUUAUAAACCUCUAAAAAUAAUAAUUUGUCUAUUAGAAAUAACUAUUAUUGUCACUUUAAAAAUACACUUUUUUCCCUAUUUUGAUGUAAAUAUGUAUGUAGUUUUUCCAAACUCCAAAAUUAAGAGUUAGCUUUAAUAUUUAACUAUUAACUGUUUGUUUUUAAGAAAAAAAUAAUAUAAAUUUUUAAGUUUGGGGGGCAUUUUGCACAUAAGUGCAAAACUUCUGGGGAGUAUUUGCAAAACGUCAUGUUCACUAACAGAAAAAUUUGACGGAUGGGGUAAAUUGACUAACGUUGUGAAAUUUCAGGGAGGGUAAUUGAAGUUUUGUUAAUUUCAGGGGGGUAAUUGAUGAAACUUACAAUUUCAGAGGAGAAAUUGACUAUUUACUCCCCUAAGAAAGCUAUAAUAAAAAGUAUCAAUCAAUAAUAUUAUAACUUAAGAAGAAAAAAUAUAUAUACCUUUUCCUUAGUUCCUUUGUUUCACCAAUUUCAGGAUUGAAUGUGAUUCUAGUGGAAGAAAAUGCAUUUUGCAAUGCUGGUUUUCCUAUCAUUAAGAUUCAAAAGUAUAUGAAUCAAAUAUAUAUAUUCGUAUAAACAAACAAUCACAAUUGCUAGUCAUAAAUUAUUACCUUAAAACAAUUUAACUUUUGUCAACAUAAUGGCUACAACAACAUUUUGAGAUUCAUCGGACGAUAGAAAAGAGUUCAACUCUUCAACAUACUCUCCAAAAAGAGUACAUUUAAAACGGUACCUAUUUAAAAUUGUCAAAGAUUAUACAAAUAUUAAUAAAAAUACUAUAAAAUAGGUCUUAAAAAAUUACAAUUACAAAAAAAAAAAAAAAAAAAUCAAACCUACCCAUUUGAAUCCAAUUCAAUGACAUUCAUUUUAGUUUUUACACCAUCUCUUUCGUACUCUCUUUCAACUCCAACUCCAAUCAUGACUCCAAUUACGUCUGCAUAUAUAACACACAUUAAAAUUUCGAUCAAAUUAUUAUUUAUUAUUAAAAGAAUAUAACGUACAAUUGAAUCAUAUUAAAUAAAACAUUUUAUUAAUUCAAUAUAUAAAUUAUUGUGUUAUUUUUGUAAGAAAAAAAUAAUAUUUAAAAAAAUCUACAUGAAGAAAAUUAUAGUCACUUACCAACUAAGUAGUUGUUGUCGUAAGAUUCAUUGAAAACAUCAGGUGUAGGUGUAAACGAAUACACGUUUAUUGGGACCAAAACAGUUUUAGAUAGUUUGACUUUUGUGAAAUUCAGUUUGUAUUCGUUGCGUGAUGGUCGAUACGGACCACUGUUUGCUAGCAACAUCAAAUGAGGAAAUCGUGAACACCAUUCCCUCUUGGAGUUGCUCCUUGAACUUGUAGAUCAAUGUUCUUCGUAUAGACGCACCAAUUUGAUCACCCUAGAUAAAAAAGAUGAGAACACUAUACUUUAAACAAAAAAAUACUAAAAAAACAAAAAAGAAAAACGAUAUGAAAAAGGUACCUUUUGAUCAAUUAGAACAAACUCCAUGGAAAAUGGUAGUUUUUUAUUUUUGUAGUCUUGACCAAACCAAGCACGAACAACCCUCACAACCAAUGUCCACGAUUGUUUUCUUGGCGAAACAUCAGAGAUGAAGUCGUGUUUCGUAGACAUUUUCAUUUGCAAUAGAAAAAUUACAGAAAUAGUUUAGAAUAUAGAUAUCAAAGCACCAAAGAACAGAAAACGAAAAACUAUAUUUUGUGAUUGUUGUGUACUCAUACCCAAAAUCUCUACUAUUUAUAUAGAAAAAUAGUACCAUAACGGUUAAUAUAAAUUAAUUAUCAAUUUAACCGUUUUAAAAUUAAUAUUAUCAACGUCUUUAAUAUUAUAAAACGUGCAUUAAACGAUUAAAUUAUAUUUCAUGUAACGUACAAAAAAUUAACUUCAUAACAUUUGAAAUUUAAUUUGAUAUUUAUUAAGAUCUUAUAAAUUAUUAUGUAAUAUAGUUUUGUAACAAACAAAAAUUAAUUAUAUAACCUUAAAAACUAAUUAAUACAAUUAAUUUUUUAAUUAGUAGGUUAAUGCCUUAGUGUAACGUCCCAAAAUUCAAAAUAUAAUUUAUUCAGUUUAUUUAUUAUAAUUUUAUAACCAACCAAAUUUUGAAUGUUACAUAUAAAUGUUAAUUGAAUACUAAUUAGAUUAAUAAUUAUUUGAUUUGUAACGUUCAAAUUUUUAUUGUAAAAUAUAAAUUUUAAUCGAAACAGUAAUUAUAUUAAUCAUUAUCUGAUUGUAACCAACUAUUUACUUUAUGUACAAUUUAAUGUUAAAUAAAAAACGGUUUUUAAUAAUAAUUAAAAUUAUUAAGGUUGUAUUAAAAAUUAGGAGGAAUUUCGGGAACAUAUGCCAAGUAGGCUUUUGAUGAGAUGGACAUCUUUAAAGGAAAGGAAUUUAAAAUAGGCUAUUUCUAAGAACUCUAAAUUGUUAGUAUAAAGAUUAUUUUGUCAGAUGGAGUUCCAUAAACCAUUAUUGAGCCAACAAACAAGUACUAUUAUUAGUUAUUACAACCAUUGUUGAGCCAACAAACAAGUACUAUUAUUAGUUAUUACUACCAUUAUUGAGUCUUAACUCCUUAAUUGCAAUUACUACUAUAUCCUUGAAUCUUCAUUGCUCUUAACUUUCUUUCCUCCUUGAAUCUUCAUUGUGGUAAAUAUUAACUUUCAAAUAUCUUUAAAAAAUAUCAUAAAAAAAUAUUUAGAAGAUAUUAUAGGAAAUAAUUGAAAGAAGUGGCCUCAUAUAAUAAUAAUUCACAACAUUAUUUUUCUCUGAAACAAUAUUUGACUGAGGAUGUGUCAUGACUUUGUUUUGGUAGGUGGCACACUUUUAUUGACCAUUGAUAUAUAACAUUGAUACUUUAAUGGUACACAAGUGGAAUCCGCAAUAAUAUCAUCUCUUCUUAAAAAGUGUGUGUUGUUAGGAAACAUGGCAUCCAUGAAAAGAAGGAGAGAAAACUAACAAACUCUUUGUAUUGAUGGAAAUGAAAUAUUACAAAUGAGUGGAAGUAACCCUCUAAUAAGGUGGUUACAAGUUAUUUAUACUACUUUCUACUCACUACUAGAACUAAUAUGCCACUAAUCUCUAUUUCUAAUUUGUGUUUUGAAAUAUCAUUUACGAUCAAACCUUAUAUUUAGUAAAUGCUAUACUUUUCACAAUGAUAUACUCAUCAGUUAUCACAUUUAGAAAGGGUUAUCAACAUAUUAUAGAUAAGAAAGGUUAUCAACAUACUCAGAUAUAUUUAUUUUUAAUUUUAACACAGGUGAUAAGAAAAAUGACAUAUGCUACAUUUAUUUUUAGUAUAUGAGAGGACUUUAACGAGAAAUUGCAUAUUUGAAUCACUUUCCUAAAGUAAAUAUUAACCACUGCUGAGCUUUUGCUUUCCAGCUUUCAAAUGUUGUUUCUUACCUAACCAUUGAAAAACAAUGUUAUCCAUUCAGAUAAGUGUUCUUGAGUCUACCCUUUACUAUAUGCACUUCAAGCCACUCAAAAAUAAGAGAUUUAAGGUUUGGAGUUGGUUACGUAAAGUGAAUGUAUUAGUACACUAAACGUCUAUAGUACUCUACAGGAAUUUCUUGUAUUUUUUAUUUUUGACUAAAAUUGAUUAUUAUUUGCUUGCGAAAAAGAUUAGUGAGAUAACAAAAAAAGAAAAUAUUUUGUUAUAUUUUUUGAUUUGGAAAGACGAAGUCUUUUGCCUCCGUACCCGCGAAGGAUUAAAAUCACGUAGUUCGGGGUAAAAAGUCGAGUGAUUUGUUCGAUGUUUUUUAAUCGUUUUUGAAAAGGUUUUAAAAAAUAAAAGCCAAAAGGCAAAAUGAAAAGUUGUUUAGUGUUUUUUCAGUUUUAAGAAAAAAGUUUAAAUAUGUUUGAAAUAGAUUAAAGUUUUUAUUAAAGAAAAUAAAAAAGGGAAAUUCCUUGAUAAGAAUCAAGGGUUUUUUAGAAGAAAAAAAAAAUAGUUCUUUUUUUUUUUAAAUUUGUUUUGCGACUACUUGAAUAUUUUAUUGAUUUUUCAAUAAAAGCCUAAAAGAAAUAAAAAUUGAAAAUAACGACGAUUAACGCGCGAGGAAACCGUAAACUACCUAAUAUGAGAAAGUGAAGUUUUUGAGUCCUAAGUACCAAUAGAUGACUAUUGAAUCCAAUAUUGAUAAGUCUAUUUUUGAAAUUGAGUAGUUGUGAUCAGCAUUAUUGGAUCCAUACAGAACUUUUCAAAAUAUGGAUCAAUCAUUUUGAGUGCCAAAGACUAUCAAAGUCUAUGCUUUUCAACUACAUUUUUAUAUGUGAAUCAAUCAUAAUUUUUGUAUCAACUACAUGAAUCAACCAUAAUUUUCAACGUGAGUUGAAUUAAUUAUCUAUUCAAUUGAAUUAACCACAUUUUUAUACAUGACUAACUAGGUGUCGUAAGUGUAUGACAAAAUAUGUGCAUGAGGACUAAUAUCUUCUUUGGAAUAUAAAAGUUUACGGUCUUCAUAUUGUCACUGGCCAUAGAGUCAAGAGGAGGACAGUGAGGUUUUAUUUCUAGGCGAGUUUUGGCAUUGGGCAAUUGUCAAAUUGUCCUAUUUUAGAUCAAUUUUAUUUUAUUUGCUAUUAGUUGUACAUCCUGAAUUUUUAUAUUCCAAUUUAUAACCAUAUUCAAUUAUAAUAUAUUAGUUUUAAUUUUAAUUUAACGGAGACUAAAAUAUUUUGAAGGGACAAAAAUGUCAUUAUUUAUAAGAAUUAAAAACAAAUUUAGUUAUAUUUAUAAGCACCAAAAAUAUAUUUAACCCUAAUUAAUAUUAAAAAGUUUUGUGGAUGGGAUUAAUAUUAAGAUACAAACUAAAUUUAUUUCUUUACAAAUAAUGUAGUAAAUAUAUAUUUACGCCAUAUUUUUUUUAGCCUAGAUUUAAACAUGUCUAUGUUUUCAAAUUUAAAAAAAAAAAGUUUUCAAAUUAAAAAAUCAUUGAGAAUGAGCUGGACCUAUUAGAUUUUUAAACGGAAGAUUAAAAAAUAAUGUAUUUACAAAUAAAUUAAUUUGAGUCAAAUUAUAAUUGAGUAAGGCUAUAAAUUAGAAAUUUUUUUUUUUCUAAGGAACAUGAUCAUUAGAGUUUUAAAUAAUUUUGAAAUAAUGGUCCAUAAACCACUAAUGAUCUUUGCCGACAAACAAGCAUUAUUACUAUUACUAUUCAUUCACAUGUGAGUUUUAUUGAGUCUUACCUUUACCAUAUGUACUGCAAACCAUCCAAAAACAGUACUGUUGUCGGUUCAUUCAUAUGCUAAAUCCUCUUCAGUCUUAACUCCUUUACCAUAUCUCUAAUACGAUGUCCUUACUUAACAAGGAUCACUCCUUGUUAAGGACACUCAUUGGAAGAAAAAAAAACGAGUCUCCGUUAAGGAACAGACAACUAUAUAAGAAUCUUUCUUUUCCUAAACAACUAACGGAUCCUACGUUUAAAAGAAGUAAUAAAAUAUGCACUAUUUAGUCCCACUUAUAAAAAAGUAAUAUUUUUCAGCAAUCAUAUACUUAUCACCAAAUGAUUAUUACAUUUAUCUCUUUUGUUGGGUAAUACUACAUUUAUAAACACAUUCUCAAUAAUAUUUCAUUAUUUUUUAAUUUUCACACAGGUGAUUAGAAAACUGAUAGUAUGAUGGUAAAGGAAUAAAAGUGUACAAUUAAACCGAUUUGAGUGUGCAACUUUUUCUUUUGCUUUGUAUCAAUUAUUUUGAGGGAUGUGGGUCCAAUAUUAAACAAUGAUGACCUUUGCUUUCCAGCUUUCAAAUUUUGUUUCAUACCCAACAAAUCAACCAUUCAUUCACAUGCAAUUAUUUCUAUCAUUCAAUCUUCAUAGUUCUUAAUUUCCUUCAAAAUUUCAUCUAAAACUUUUAUCCUUGCUGCUUUACUAUAACCAAUCAGAGAUGGCUGCAGCUUUGGUUGGAGGUGCGUUUCUGUCUGCUUCUGUUCAAACCUUAAUGGACAAACUAACUUCACCUGAGUUUCGUGAUUAUUUCACAAGAACAGAGUUGAAUGAAUCAUUGAUGUAUGAGAUGGAAACAAGUCUACUUACUCUUGAGGUUGUACUAGAUGAUGCAGAGGAGAAGCAGAUCCUCAAACCCAGAAUCAAACAAUGGCUGGAUCGGUUAAAAGAUGCAAUCUAUGAUGCUGAGGAUUUGCUCAAUCAAAUCAGCUACAAUGCCCUACGAUGCAAGCUGGAGAAGAAACAAGCUAUCAAUUCUGAAAUGGAGAAGAUUACAGAUCAGUUUCAGAACUUGCUUUCAACUACAAACUCAAAUGGAGAGAUCAAUUCUGAAAUGGAGAAGAUUUGUAAAAGGCUGCAAACUUUUGUCCAGCAGAGCACCGCCAUCGGCUUGCAACACACUGUAAGUGGUAGAGUUUCUCAUAGACUGCCUUCAAGUUCAGUGGUAAAUGAAUCUGUCAUGGUGGGUAGGAAGGAUGACAAAGAGACAAUAAUGAACAUGUUGCUAUCUCAGAGAGACACAUCCCAUAAUAAUAUAGGUGUUGUUGCAAUUUUGGGCAUGGGAGGUUUGGGAAAAACUACCCUUGCCCAACUUGUUUACAAUGAUAAAGAAGUUCAACAACAUUUUGAUUUGAAGGCAUGGGUUUGUGUGUCUGAGGAUUUUGAUAUUAUGAGAGUAACAAAGUCUCUCCUUGAAUCUGUCACUUCCACAACUUGGGAUAGCAAUAAUCUUGAUGUCCUUCGAGUUGCGUUAAAGAAAAUCUCGAGGGAAAAAAGAUUUUUGUUUGUGUUGGACGAUCUAUGGAAUGACAAUUGUAAUGAUUGGGAUGAGCUAGUAAGUCCCUUCAUUAAUGGAAAACCUGGAAGCAUGGUGAUUAUAACAACGCGCCAACAAAAAGUUGCUGAGGUGGCACGCACAUUUCCUAUACAUGAACUAAAAGUACUAUCAGAUGAAGAUUGUUGGUCUUUACUAUCAAAGCAUGCAUUGGGAAGUGAUGAGAUUCAGCAUAAUACAAAUACAGCCCUUGAAGAAACAGGCAGGAAGAUUGCAAGAAAGUGUGGAGGAUUGCCAAUAGCUGCUAAAACACUAGGAGGACUUCUACGUUCAAAGGUAGACAUAACAGAGUGGACUUCAAUUUUGAACAACAACAUAUGGAACUUGCGAAAUGAUAAUAUUCUUCCUGCAUUGCAUUUGAGUUAUCAAUAUCUUCCCUCUCAUUUGAAAAGAUGUUUUGCAUAUUGUUCAAUUUUUCCAAAGGAUUUCCCACUUGAUAAGAAGACAUUGGUUUUGUUGUGGAUGGCAGAAGGCUUCCUUGAUUGUUCUCAAGGGGGAAAAGAGUUGGAGGAAUUAGGUGAUGAUUGUUUUGCUGAAUUGUUAUCGAGAUCAUUAAUUCAACAAUUAAGCGAUGAUGCUCGUGGAGAAAAGUUUGUCAUGCAUGACCUUGUCAAUGAUUUAUCUACAUUCGUAUCAGGAAAAAGUUGUUGCAGGCUUGAAUGUGGUGACAUCUCUGAAAAUGUUCGUCACUUCUCAUAUAACCAAGAAUACUAUGACAUUUUCAUGAAGUUUGAGAAAUUAUACAAUUUCAAAUGCUUGCGAAGCUUUCUAUCCAUUAACACGACGAACAAUUACAAUUUCUUAUCCUCCAAGGUGGUUGAUGAUUUGCUACCAUCACAAAAACGGUUGCGUGUUUUAUCACUAUCAUGGUAUAUGAACAUCACCAAGCUACCAGAUUCAAUUGGAAAUUUGGUGCAGUUACGGUAUCUAGAUAUCUCCUGCACUAAAAUCAAAAGCUUGCCUGAUACAACAUGUAACCUUUACAAUUUACAGACCUUGAAUUUAUCACGUUGUUCGAGUCUCACUGAAUUACCAGUACAUAUUGGAAAUUUAGUAAGUUUACGUCACCUUGAUAUAAGCUGGACUAACAUAAAUGAGUUGCCUGUAGAAUUUGGGAGACUAGAAAACCUUCAAACUCUCACACUAUUUUUAGUGGGCAAGAGACAUUUAGGGUUAAGUAUCAAAGAGCUAAGGAAAUUCCCAAACCUACAAGGAAAACUUACCAUCAAGAACCUGGAUAAUGUUGUUGAUGCCAGAGAGGCACACGAUGCAAACCUGAAAGGCAAAGAGAAAAUUGAGGAGUUAGAACUGAUAUGGGGAAAACAAAGUGAAGAGUCGCAAAAAGUGAAAGUUGUGCUCGAUAUGUUGCAACCACCAAUAAAUCUAAAGAGCCUGAAUAUUUGUUUGUAUGGUGGGACAAGCUUUCCGAGUUGGUUGGGAAAUUCUUUGUUUUCUAACAUGGUAUCUCUGCGCAUCACUAAUUGUGAAUAUUGUAUGACACUUCCACCCAUAGGGCAGUUACCUUCUCUCAAGGACAUAGAAAUACGUGGUAUGGAGAUGUUGGAGACAAUUGGCCCGGAGUUCUAUUAUGCCCAGAUUGAAAAAGGAUCUAAUUCUUCCUUCCAACCAUUCCGAUCCCUUGAGCAUAUAAAGUUCGACAACAUGGUCAAUUGGAAUGAAUGGAUUCCCUUUGAAGGCAUAAAAUUUGCUUUUCCUCAACUUAAGGCUAUAGAGUUAUGGAAUUGUCCAGAACUAAGGGGACAUUUGCCCACCAACCUUCCUUCCAUAGAAGAAAUUGUAAUAUCAGGUUGUUCUCAUCUAUUGGAAACACCAUCUACUCUGCAUUGGUUGUCUUCAAUAAAAAAAAUGAAUAUCAAUGGGCUUGGUGAAAGUUCCCAAUUGUCAUUGCUUGAGAGUGAUUCUCCGUGUAUGAUGCAACAUGUAGCGAUUCACAACUGUUCUAAGCUAUUAGCUGUGCCAAAAUUGAUUCUGAAAAGCACUUGUCUUACACACUUGAGACUCUAUUCUCUUUCUUCUCUCACUGCAUUUCCCUCAAGUGGACUACCCACUUCAUUGCAAUCACUUCAUAUUGAAAAAUGUGAGAAUUUAUCCUUCCUACCUCCUGAAACGUGGAGCAAUUACACAUCACUUGUGAGUAUUGAUUUACGGAGUAGUUGUGAUGCACUUACAUCCUUUCCACUUGAUGGUUUCCCUGCGCUCCAAACACUU